AACAAGUGUGGCCCGAUAUUCCGAAAGGUUCUGGUAACUAUCGAUUUGGUGGAAACGAGACACAAAUCAAUCCAGCUUGCGAACAACACGAUUCGAAACCCUACAAUUCUUUUUAUUUUUUUUGAUAUUUUUCUUUUACUUAGGAGCACUCAAGAAGUAACCACAGGAAAUUUGAGCUUAAACAAGUGAAAGACCUGACCUGUGGAAAGUUUUGAAAAUUGCUAAAAAUAUGAAAAAAAGUUUUGGAGGUGAAAACUCAAACUUUAGAGGCGAAUUUGGGGAUUCUAAAAUUGUCAAACCCGCACACGGUGGGGAUAGACAGAUCAGAAAAUUUGGUUUGAUCGAUUUUAAUAUAUGGAACGUCAAAAUCGGAGCUCGUAUGCGAAAAUUAUGGCUGUUUUACGAACGGACACCGAAUUAGAAGACAAAACGGUCCGGAUGUGGGAAAAACUUGCGGCGGUGGCUAGAAAUUGAUGGAAACGGUGGGAAGAAACACACAAAUUGGACUCUAACAAGACCUAACCAGUAACAAGACCUCGACCAGGACACAAACUCAACACUACGGACUCAGAAACUGAAAUAUGCAAAGGCUAUGGCGCGGAUGGGUUGUAGGAUAUGAAAACAAUAUGGCACUAGACUUGUGAGACGAACACAAGGACACUCGAAACUAAGUGUAGAUGUGAACCUAACGGUAUGUCUGAUGCUUUGGUUACCACUUGAGGAGAACAAGUGUGGCCCGAUCUUCCGAAAGGUUCUAGUAACUAUCGAUUUGGUGGAAACGAGACACAAAUCAAUCCAGCUUGCGAACAACACGAUUCGAAACCCUACAAUUAUUUUUAUUUUUUUUUGAUAUUUUUCUUUUACUUAGGAAACUCAUGAAGUAACCACACGAAAUUUGAGCUUAAACAAGUGAAAGACGUGGCCUGUAGAAUUUUUUGAAGAUUGCAAAAAAUAUAAAAAAACUUUAGGAGGUGAAAACUCAAAUUUCAGGGGCAAAUUUGGGGAUUCUAAAUUAUCGAACCCGCCUCUAGCGGAGAUAUAUAGAUCCAAAAAUUUGUUCCGAUCGAUUUUGAUAUAUGGAACGUCAAAAUCGGAGUUCGUAUGCGAAAGUUAUGGCUGUUUUACGAACGGACUCCGAAUUAGAGGACAAAACGGUCCGGAAGUGGGAAAAAUUUGCGGUGGUGGCUAGAAAUUGAUGGAAAUGGUGGGAAAAAACACACAAACUGGACUCUAACAAGACCAAAUCAGUAACAAGACCUCAACCAGGACAGAAACUUAACACUACGGACUCUGAAACUGAAAUAUGCAAAGUUUAUGGCGUGGAUGGGUUGUAGGACAUGAAAACAAUUUGGCACUAGACUUAUGGGACGAACACAAGGACACUCGAAACUGAGGGUAGAUGUGAACCUAAUGGUACGUCUAAAGCUUUGAUUACCACUUGAGGAGAACAAGGCCCGAUCUUGUGAAAGGUUCUGGUAACUAUCGAUUUGGUGGAAACGAGACGCAAAUCAAUCCAGUUUGCGAACAACACGAUUCGAAACACUGCAAUUCUUUUUAUUUUUUAUGAUAUUUUUCUUUUACUUAGGAGCACUCAAGAAGUAACCACAGGAAAUUUGAACUUAAACAAGUGAAGGACGUGGCCUGUGGAAUUUUUUGAAGAUUGCGAAAAAUAUGAAAAUAAAGUUUAGGAGGUGAAAACUCAAAUUUUCAGAGGCAAGUUUGGGAAUUCUAAAUUUGUCGCACCCGCCUAUGGCAGGGAUAGACAAAUCCAAAAAUUUUUUCUGAUUGAUUUUGAUAUUUGGAACGUCAAAAUCGGAGUUCGUAUGCGAAAGUUAUGGCUGUUUUACGAACGGACUCCGAAUUAGAGGACAAAACAGUGCGGAAGUGAGAAAAAUUUGAGGCGGUGGCUAUAAAUUGAUGGAAACGGUGGGAAGAAACACACAAAUUGGACUCUAACAACAAAUAACCAGUAACAACACCUCGACCAGGGCACAAACUCAACACUACGGACUCUGAAAACUGAAAUAUGCAAAGGCUAUGGCGCGGAUGGGUUGUAGGACAUGAAAACAAUAUAGCACCGGACUUAUGGGACGAACACAAGGGCACUCGAAACUAAGGGUAGAUGUGAACCUAACGGUAUGUCUGAAGCUUUGAUUACCACUUGAGGAGAAUAAGUGUGGCCCGAUCUUCCGAAAGGUUCUGGUAACUAUCAAUUUGGUGGAAACGAGACACAAAUCAAUCCAGCUUGCGAACAACACGGUUCGAAAACUUGCAAUUAUUUUUAUUUUUUUUGAUAUUUUUCUUUUACUUAGGAGAACUCAAGAAGUAACCACACGAAAUUUAAGCUUAAACAAGUGAAAGACGUGGCCUGUGGGAUUUUUUGAAGAUUGCGAAAAAUAUAAAAAAAACUUUAGGAGGUGAAAACUCAAAUUUCAGGGGGGAAUUUGGGGAUUCAAAAAUUAUCGAACCCGCCUCUAGCGGUGAUAGACAGAUCCAAAAAUUUGUUUUGAUCGAUUUUGAUAUAUGGAACGUCAAAAUCAGAGUUCGUAAGGAAAAGUUAUGGCUGUUUUACGAACGGACUCCGAAUUAGAGGACAAAACGGUCCGGAAGUGGGAAAAAUUUGCGGUGGUGGCUAGAAAUUGAUGGAAACGGUAGGAAAAAACACACAAACUGGACUCUAACAAGACCAAAUCAGUAACAAGACCUCAACCAGGACACAAACUCAACACUACGGACUCUGAAACUGAAAUAUGCAAAGGCUAUGGCGCGGAUGGGUUGUAGGACAUGAAAACAAUAUGGCACUAGACUUAUGAGACGAACACAAGGACACUCGAAACUAAGGGUAGAUGUGAACCUAACGAUAUGUCUGAUGAAUUGAUUACCACUUGAGGAGAUGCCCCUGCUUCACCAACUCCGAAGCCCUAGAUCAUCUUCCUUGUGACGAGAUGGCCAUCAACUUCACCGUUCCUGAGGUCAGUUCUUCAUCCCACCUUUUGUGCCUUUUCUCGCAUCCCUGUUCAUCCGCAAUUCAUUUUACUAAACAUUUUCCUUUUUUCUUUUUGUUCUUGUUCUUCCUUAUAUACCCAAAACCAUUAGGAUUUGUCCAACAAAAUUGUCAUCACCACCGAUCAACCACACCUCCAAUGCCCUGGCCUGUUAGGGAAUCCAGAUCCAACCGACCUCAUUAACGCAGAAACCAACAGGAUCCCUUUUAGAGCCGAAAACUUUUCUUUGGAUCUAUGGAAGGAUACUUUCCGUUCUUGGCCCAGUCCUACCGUGGGAUGGACGGAUUGGUUCUUGAGGGUCAGCCACUCAAAUGAAGUCCAGUGGGGGGAGAGAAAACUAGACCAAUGCAUCAGGCUGUCUAUUGCCGAUAUGCAUAGAAAUGAGUCAUUGCUGGUAGCUGCAUCAUACUUCUGGUCAGACAUGCUCAACGCCUUUGUCUUUGGCCAUGGCCCUACUUCCCCUACUCUUGCCGAUGUAGCUCUGCACACUGGCCUAGAUGUAUCUUCUGCCGAUAGCACCCAUUUUUUCGACACCAAGCCCAGUGCCAAGGUAGAAACUCGUUCCAUCGGCGGUUGGUCAGGGUAUAUUCAGAAAUAUAAACGAACUGGCCCUGUAAACAUAAAGGAGCAGACCAACUUUCUGAACAUGUGGCGGGACAAAUUCGUGUUUUGCGGCCGAUCGGCAGGACCAUCCUCCGUCUAUUUAGCAGCAGCAGAAAACUUAGCUAAUGGUGGCCGAUUUCCCCUCGGCCGAUACCUGCUUGGUGCAGCCUACCACCUCCUUCACCAAGUGACUAGGAAACUCUUACUCGGCCGAUACCCUAAACCCUAAACCCUAAACCUUGUAUGAAGGCUUGACCAAAGAGGAACGAGCAUGGUUGGCUUAUGACGAUCCAGACACCAUGUUUCCUCUAGUUUUCAACCCGUUCAAUGAUGCUCUUGACACGGAUCACGAAGUGAAGAUGGCACUGGUCACUCCCAGAGCUAUACCAGUGAAUUUCUUUGGUAGUGGGAAAACCUCCAUCCAGACCUAUGAGUUUUAUAACACAUCGGCAUUAGCUCGUCAAUUAGCUUUCGGCCAGCUGCCGAUUGCACUCUGUUAUGCCGAUGUGAUAAAACCCAGGGAAGCCAUCACUAGCCUUCAUGAAUGGAUUCGAGUGGCCCAACUGCCAUCAAGUGCCAAUACAGAUGUAGACCUGUCAGAGUGGGUUCCAGCCGCCUUCAUCACUCAGGCAUACAAGCAAUGGUGGGCAGAAUGGAAGGAACAUCUGUUCUGCAGAUCGGAUCUCACGUAUCGCGGAAUGAUCGACCCCGAGUACAAGGUUCCCGAUGACACUGUAAGUAUCUUUGAACCGAUGUUUCAAUUUUCUCAUUUUUACUUUCAUCGGUGAUUUACCUUUGCAUCAUCUUGCAGGUUGACAACACCCCUCCAUCGGUCAGCAGGAGUGGCAAGCCGAUUGACCUGUUUCCAUCAGGCCCAAUCUCCUUAAUCGGCAACAACGCUCCUACCCUGGCCGCCAUCAUGCAUCGAGGUGUACGCCUCAAGAAGGUCAUCACUAGGAGGACUCAGAUAUCUCCAUCGGUAGCUGCUUCCACCUUGGCACAGGCAUUCAAGGUAAUUGUUAAACCUUUUCAUUCAUACCGAUUCUUAUCACUGGGCGUGCCAAAAGAUGUGUUGGUGCAAAAGCUGAUCUGCAAACACAAAGGGCUAAUACCCGAUUUAAACGUUAAGGCGUGCCAACCGAUUUGACCUUACUAUCGGCAAAGGUAGUAACUCGAAUACUUUGGUCCCGACAACAGCGAUGCGCUCGGAUGUCACGGCCAAGAGGUAUUCACGCGGAACUUGAGAAUACGCCGAGCUUAAGUCGACGAAUUCCUAAGAACUCGUAACGAAAAGGAAAAAGUAUGACGAAGUCGUCGAAAAAGUAGAUGAAUGGAAUAUGAGUAAAAAUGUGUGUUUGAUUGAUUGAUUGAUAUCUUCAUUACAAGGAGACACGACUAGAAUUCGAAUUCAAAUUUAAACAGAAUCCGUGUACAAAACGAUCUAAAUAACUAAGGAAAACAUAAAACCAUCCUCACGUGACAAACCAGAACAUCCCCACCAGCCGAUCGGCAAUUUCCAGGUUCUCCCUCUGUAUCACCGGCAGACUCCUUUGUCAUAGCCAUCGGCACAAACACAUCAUCACCUAUGGACUUGGUCACGUUCAACCAUCCUUCCAUCGGCAACCAUCUUCAUCGGCAACUCACCCUGUAGAUCAAGCACCACCGUCCUAUUUUGACGAUUUACACUUUACCGAUCAUGGACACGUGCCCAAAAACGGUGUCAACACAUGCCCCCCAAUUUCGGAGUAUGAGAUCAUUAAUGCUCCGAAAUUCUCUGCAGUAAUGAUGCCUUUUCCGCAAUUAGUGCUCCCAAUCUGGUAACCGACAUCCUUAAUCUGAACAACUCUGAUCCUAUUCCUCUGCAGGUUCCUCGAAAUCCUCAACUUCCCCAAACGGACAUUUCCACUUUAGUCGCACAUCGGCAAUAUUACCGUUACAGGGACUUGCCGAUGGACGUCCAUAUCUUAUCCUUUCAAACGGCUAUCUCCACGUUACUCGCCCAUCGGCAAUAUGACCGUUACAAGGCGCUGCCGAUGGACCGACUAGGAGAUCUCGCACAGUGAAAUAUCUAUGGAUAAUGACCGCUUCCUGUCAAAUCGGCUGCACAAUCCCUUGAUUACCGUGCGAACAGUUACCAUAUCUACCUGAGUACCCUCAGAUUUCACGGAUACGGCGAAGAGAUAAGUCAGAUUUGCCCUUGCCCGUUUUGUCCUAUAAAUAGUUCCUUCUCGGGUACUCCUUCUCCAUCACAUCAUUCCACGGUUCCAACUCCACUCUCCCGGCGACGGCGCUGUCCAAGAGCUCAAAGAUCUCCAACGAAGCCCCUGCUUCACCAACUCCGAAGCCCUAGAUCAUCUUCCUCGUGACGAGAUGGCCAUCAACUUCACCGUUCCUGAGAUCAGUUCUUCAUCCCAACUUUUGUGCCUUUUCUCGCAUCCCUGUUCAUCCGCAAUUCAUUUUACUGAACAUUUUCCUUUUUUCUUUUUUGUUCUUGUUCUUCCUUAUAUACCCAGAACCAUUAGGAUUUGUCCAACAAAAUUAUCAUCCCCACCAAUCAACCACACCUCCAAUGCCUUGGCUCGUUAGGGAAUCCAGAUCCAACCGACCUCAUUAACGCAGAAACCACCAGGAUCCCUUUUAGAGUCGAAAACUUUUCUUUGGAUCUAUGGAAGGAUACUUUCCGUUCUUGGCCCAGUCCUACCGUGGGAUGGACGGAUUGGUUCUUGAGGGUCAGCCACUCAAAUGAAGUCCAGUGGGGGGAGAGAAAACUAGACCAAUGCAUCAGGCUGUCUAUUGCCGAUAUGCAUAGAAAUGAGUCAUUGCUGAUAGCUGCAUCAUACUUCUGGUCAGACACGCUCAACACCUUUGUCUUUGGCCACGGCCCUACUUCCCCUACUCUUGCCGAUGGAGCUAUGCUCACUGGCCUAGAUGUAUCUUCUGCCGAUAGCACCCAUUUUUUCGACACCAAGCCCAGUGCCAAGGUAGAAACUCGUUCCAUCGGCAGUUGGUCAGGGUAUAUUCAGAAAUAUAAAUGAACUGGCCCUGUUAACAUAAAGGCGCAGACCAGUUUUCUGAACAUGUGGCUGGACAAAUUCGUGUUUUGCGGCCGAUCGGUAGGACCAACCUCCGUCUAUUUAGCAGCAGCAGAAAACUUAGCUAAUGGUGGCCGAUUUCCCCUCGGCCGAUACCUGCUUGGUGCAGCCUACCACCUCCUUCACCAAGUGACUAGGAAACUCUUACUCGGCCAGUCUAUCGGCAACUUGGGAUGUCCUUGGUUGUUCAUCAACAUGUGGCUCAGUCUCCACAUGCACAAGCGUCUUGAGUUUGACCUUUUUGCACAGCGUUUCCCAAGGGACAUAGCCGAGAACUAUGAUCUGGAUGAAGAAGAAUCGACAACACGCCCUCCCCUAAACUUCGGUGAGGCUGUCAUAGUUUUACCUGGUACAGGGGGUAAUGCAGACCAGGUCAGCCGAUUCUUCCAAACCUUGUAUGAAGGCUUGACCAGAGAGGAGCGAGCAUGGUUGGCUUAUGACGAUCCAGACACCAUGUUUCCUCUAGUUUUCAACCCAUUCAAUGAUGCUCUUGACACGGAUCACGAAGUGAAGAUGGCACCGGUCACUCCCAGAGCUAUACCAGUGAAUUUCUUUGGAAGUGGGAAAACCUCCAUCCAGACCUAUGAGUUUUAUAACCCAUCGGCAUUAGCUCGUCAAUUAGCUUUUGGCCAGCUGCCGAUUGCACUUUGUUAUGCCGAUGUGAUAAAACCUAGGGAAGCCAUCACUAGCCUUCUUGAAUGGAUUCGAGUGGCCCAACUGCCAUCAAGUGCCGAUACAGAUGUAGACCUGUCAGAGUGGGUUCCAGCCAUCUUGAUCACUCAGGCAUACAAGCAAUGGUGGGCAGAAUGGAAGGAACAUCUGUUCUGCAGAUCGGCUCUCACGUAUCGCGGCAUGAUCGACCCCGAGUACAAGGUUCCCGAUGACACUGUAAGUAUCUUUGAACUGAUGUUUCAAUUUUGUCAUUUUUACUUUCAUCGUUGAUUUACCUUUGCGUCAUCUUGCAGGUUGACAACACCCCUCCAUUGGUCAGCAGGAGUGGCAAGCCGAUUGACCUGUUUCCAUCAGGCCCAAUCUCCUCAAUCGGCAACAAUGCUCCUACCCUGGCCGCCAUCAUGCAUCGAGGUGUACGCCUCAAGAAGGUCACCACUAGGAGGACUCAGAUAUCUCCAUCGGUAGCUGCUUCCACCUUGGCACAGGUGUUCAAGGUAAUUGUUAAACCUUUUCAUUCAUACUGAUUCUUAUUUUACAUCUGCCACACUUGUACUCAUAAAUCUUUUCCAUAUCAUCAGACCGGCGCAUCGGCAAAGACCAGAAGCAAAGGUGCCGAUGCCCCUCAGUCUAGCCAGCAGAAGAGAAGAGGUGCCAAGAGUACAAGGGCACAAGCAAAGCGCCAAAACGUAGCAAUGCCUUCUCCUCCCCCGGUAUCUCCAAUCCCGGUAGAAUCUUCUCCUUCUCCUCCAGAAGCCCAGAUGCAACAAGUGCCAUCUCCACCUCCAAUGCAAGAAGCACCACAAGUGGGAGAACCCCAACCAGAAGAGCCUCAACCAGAAGUACCUCAACCAGAAGACACAUCGGCUGAUGUGCAUGAACAAACUACCGAUCCAGCAGGUUCCAUUAUAGCACUGGUGGUCUCUUCCGUCCAGACAAGCACUGCUCUUCCCCAAGGUAACACAUUUUUAUAAUAUUACUGCCAAUGAACUUAUUCUUUUUUGGCCUUAUAACCCCUUCUGUUAAUUUUCAGCUGACGUAGUUCCAUCGGCAACUCUGGCCGAUCAACCCGUGGCUCCAUCGGCAUCUUCCAGUCAAAGGCGAGAGAUUGCCUUGAAGCAAGUAAGCCAUCCAAUCUCCAUCAGUAAUAUUUGCCGAUGCUCUGACCAUAGAAUGACUCACUUCGUUUUCCUUUUCAGGAACAGGAUUCUCCCGAUAGCCUAUUCUCCUUUCCAUUGAUAUCUCCGAAGAUGAAGGUGAGGAAGCAAGUUCCUCCCGGGCAGUUGGGAUCGCAUCGGCAGAGAUCAGGGCAAAGCUCGAAGAACUGUCGGCUCUCCUCCAUCAAGACACGGCUCAAUUGGUCGAUGACUCUGACCCGACCAAGGCUCUGUUCAAGGCUCUCAGAGGCUAGAUUCCUGCUGAUGUUGAUGAAAUCCUCUUCCAGGCCGCACAUCUGGAGAGCCAUCAGCUGCAGUACCAGAAAGCUGCCCAGCGCCUUGCCGAUAGAGCGGCUCAUGCCCAACUCUCCAAGGAGACGAUGAAGGUGAAACUCCUUGCCGAUGAGAAGCACAAGAACAUCGGCAUUUUACAGUCCUCGGGAGAUGUAUUGAAGCAGAAGAUUUCCGAUCUAUCGGCGAGAAGAGAAGCCCUGCUGGCAGAACUCAAGCAAGUAGAGGAUGCUCUGUCCCAAGCCCGACAAGAAGAAAGCCAACUGCCAGAGACAAUUAAGCUUCUCGAGCAAGAACGAAACACCCAUGGCCGCAAGGCGCUGCAGAUGAAAAAGAAGCUGAAGCUAGUGGAAGGCUCUGCCGAUGACGACGUGAAGGAGAUAGAGGAAGCCAACCAGAUUUGACUGCGCGCCAUAUCGGCGAUCCAGGCGCUGUUGAGCACAUGAACCCUUCAUUGGCAACACAUCCUUGCCCCUCUGCACUUUCCAGCUCUCUUGUUGUUUAGUCUAGCCAAUACGACUGUUAUCGGCAUCUUUUGAAACAUUAAGUCCGGCCCCAGAUACACUUCAAUCUAGCCGAUAGGAGUGUUAUCGGCAUUUAAACCUUUUAUGCAUCGACCCAUAUACUUCGGUAGUACUUUUUCAGAUAUUUGCCAUUUAAUGCUCUGGAAAAUUCAACUCCUUCGAGAGUUUCUAGAAUAUAGGCAUUACCAGGAGCCGACCGACUUAUCCGAUAGGGACCCUCCCAAUUGGGAGACCACUUCCCAAAUUUUGAACUUUUAGUCCCGAUCGGCAAGACCAACUUCCAUACCAAGUCAUCAUCGGCAAAUUCCUUAGCCUUUACUUUCUUAUCAUACCAUCUAGCAACUCUCUUCUUAUUUUCUUCUAUACUCAUUAAAGCCUUUAACCGAUGUCCUGCUAGAUCAGGUCAUCAAAGUAGCAUAAUCAUCGGCAGCCAAUUAAUCCUGAAAAGAUAGUCGCCUAGAUCCAGCCUUAAUUUCCCAAGGCAACACUGCAUCAUGUCCAUACACCAACUGAUAAGGUGAAACCUUGGUUGAUCCAUGACAAGCCAUUCGAUAGGACCAUAAAGCUUCAUUUAACAAUGUGUGCCACCGCUUAGGAUUUUCUUCAAUUUUUAGUUUGAUAAGCUUGAUAAUUCCCUUGUUAGAUGCCUCGGCUUGCCCAUUAGCUUGAGCAUAAUAAGGAGAAGAGUUUAACACCUUAAUUCCCAUACCGAUUGUGAAUUCAUCAAAUUCCCCUGAUGUGAACAUAGUACCUUGGUCGGUAGUAAUUGUCUGAGGAAUCCCAAAUCGGUAAAUAAUGUGCUCCUUCACAAAAUCAAUCAUAUUGGCUGAGGUAACUUUCUUCAAAGGAAUAGCCUCAACCCAUUUGGUGAAAUAAUAGGUGGCAACCAUGAUAAACUUAUGCCCUUUGCGAGAUGGCGGAUAAAUCUGACCGAUUAAGUCAAUAGCCCAUCCCCGGAACGGCCAAGGUUUGAUAAUAGGAUUCAUGGCCGAUGCGGGUGCUCUUUGAAUAUUACCAAAUUUCUGACAUCCUUGACAUCCCUUGAAAUAUUUAAAGCAAUCUUCAUGUAUGGUCGGCCAAUAAUACCCGUUCCUCCUAAUCAUCCACUUCAUCUUAAAAGCCGACUGAUGUGCUCCACAUACUCCUUCAUGGAUUUCUCCCAUCAAACUCUUAGCUUCAUCAUCACCCAAGCAUCGGAGAAGAAUCCCAUCAAUAGUUCGAUAAUAUAAUUCAUCUUCGAGGAGCACAUACUUGGUGGCUUGAAACCGAAUUCGUCUUUCAACUUUCUUAGAUGGAUCUUUCAAAUAAUCAAAGAUUUCUUUUCUCCAAUCAUCGGCACCAAUUGCCGAUAUUGCAUUAAUCAUAGGCUGAUAUCCCGAGGCAUGCUGAGCCAACCGAUUGGCCUCUUCAUUAUGCAAUCGAGGAACAUACUCUAAUUGGAAAUCCUUGAAUUCCUUCAACAAUUGCAUACUCCGCUCGUAAUAAGUUAUGAGAACUUCACUUUGGCAUUCAUAGCUUCCAGUCAAUUGAUUUAUAACCAGCAUAGAAUCUCCGAAGACCUCGACAGCAUUAGCAUGAACUUCCCUUAACAAUUCCAAUCCCUUUAUUAAAGCUUGAUACUCAGCCUGAUUAUUCGUCGACGUGGCAACAAUCGGCAAGGAAAACUCAUACUUCCUUCCCUGAGGUGAAAUUAAUACUAUACCGAUUCCUGCCCCCCGGUCACAUGUAGAUCCAUCAAAGAAAAGUGUCCAAGGUAUAAUUUCCAAAGCCUCCACUGCACCGCGAUGUUGAGUUACAAAAUCGGCCAUAACCUGCCCUUUAACUGCCUUAGCCGAUUCAUAACGCAGAUCGAACUCCGACAGCGCCAAAAUCCAUUUACCGAUCCUGCCACUCAUAAUCGGCAUGGAUAGCAUGUACCGGACUACAUCAUCCUUGCAAAUAACAGUGCAUUCGGCCGAUAACAAGUAAUGCCUUAACUUGACACAAGAGAAAUAUAAGCACAAGCAUAGUUUCUUAAUAGCCGAAUACCUGGUCUCAGCAUCAAUCAACCUUUUGCUUAAGUAAUAAAUUACACGCUCCUUCCCCUCAAACUCUUGAAUUAAAGCCGAACCGAUGACCAUCCCAUCGGUAGACAAAUACAAUCUGAAGGGCUUCCCUUGCUGAGGUGGAAUCAGAACUGGAGGAUUCACUAAAUAAUUCUUGAUUUCAUCCAGAGCCAACUGCUGUUCCUUCCCCCAAACAAACUCUUGAUCAGCCUUUAACUUAAGAAGAGGACUGAAAGCACGAAUCUUACCAGACAAAUUAAAUAUAAACCUUAUGAUAAAAUUUACCUUGCCGAUCAAGGACUGGAGCUCGGUCUUGUUGGUUGGGGCCACUAUUUUAUUGAUGGCGUCAAUAGAUCUUCGACUGAUUUCAAUCCCCCUUUGGUGUACAAUGAAACCAAGAAAUUGUCCUGCCGAUACACCAAAUGCACACUUAUUGGGGUUCAUUUUCAAACCAUGGUUCCUUGUGCACUCCAACACCUUUCGUAAAUCAGCAAGAUGCUUUGUGAAGUCUCCAGACUUAACCACCACAUCAUCAAUAUAAAUCUCCACCAGCUUGCCGAUGAACUCAUGAAAUAUAAAAUUCAUGGCCCUUUGAUAAGUAGCACCAGCAUUCUUUAAGCCAAAGGUCAUGACUAUCCAUUCAAACAAUCCAACGUGACCAGGGCAUCUGAACGCGGUCUUUGGAAUAUCCUCUUCAGCCAUGAAUAUUUGAUUGUAUCCUGUAUUGUCAUCCAUAAAGCUAAUAAUCCGAUGCCCAGCCGCAGCGUCAACUAGCAGAUUGGCAACUGGCAUUGGGUAUCCAUCCAUCGGUGUAGCUAUGUUAAGAUUCCUGAAAUCAAUGCAGACCCGAAGCUUCCCGUUCUUCUUGUAGACCGGAACAACAUUGGAAAUCUACUCGGCAUACCGACAUUGCCGAAUAAACUUGGCUUCAAUAAGUUUGGUUAUUUCAGCCUUAAUAUCAGGGAGAAUAUUAGGAUUACAUCGGCGAGCCGGUUGCUGAUGUGGCCGAAAUCCAGACUUGAUAGGUAACCGAUGUUCAAUAAUUGAUCGGUCCAAACUAGGCAUCUCAGUAUAAUCCCAAGCAAAGCAAUCUUUAAAUUCCUUUAACAAAUCGGUUAACUGUUCCUUACACUCAGAAUCUAAUUUAGCACUAAUAAAAGUGGGUCUAGGCUUAUCACCACUACCUAUAUCUACUUCUACUAGAUCAUCGGCCCAUGUGAAUCCCUGGCCUAACUUUCCAUCAUCGGCGAACCUAUCCAUUAAAAACCUUCAUCAGAACUGACUGCUUGGAUCGGUGGAAUGUCGUAAUCGGCAACCUUGAGAAAAUCCUUUUCCCAAAUUUCUCCUGAAAUACACCUAGUCCUUUCGUAGGUGUCUGCCUCUGCCGAUGCGAUGGCAUAAGAAGAAUCUCCUGGGACAAUUUCAAUCUUGUCACCUACCCACUGGACCAAGCAUUGGUGCAUUGUAGACGGGAUGCAACAAUUAGCAUGAAUCCAAUCUCUUCCUAACACUAAGUUGUAAGCACCCUUUCCACUGAUCACGAAGAAGGUUGUCGGCAAGGUCUUACUGCCGAUGGUCAACUCUACGCAUAUUGCUCCCUUGACCGGAGACACAUUUCCUUCAAAAUCCUUAAGCAUCAUAUCAGUCUUGGUUAAAUCCUGAUCCCCUUUUCCAAGCUUCCGAUACACUGCAUAUGGCAUGAUAUUAAUGGCGGCUCCACCAUCAAUUAGAAUCUUGGUCAUCGGCUGACCAUCCACUUUUCCUUUAACAAACAGGGCCUUGUGGUGCUGCCUUUCAUCAUCGGCGGGCUUCUCGAAGAUAGCCGUCAUCGGAUCUAGAGCCAACUGAGCUAUUUGGUCGGAAAACUCCACCUCAUCAUCACUGGAUGGUGCAAGGAACUCCAUCGGCAACAUAAAUACCAUGUUGACAUCUGCCGAUGGACCUUUCCCCUUAGGAUCUGAUUGUUGCUGAUCCCUAGACUGUCUGGAGUUUUCCCCCUUGCUCAACUCUUCACGCCUUUCGCGCUGCAGUCUUCUCUUCUGAGUCCUGGUCAACCCCUCCGGACACCAUGGAGGAAGCUGCUGUUGCCUUACCGAUGGGCGGCGAUUUUCUCCUGACUCAAUUCGGUAAGUAUUGGCAUCUCGGCAGAAGAUGAACUCAUCGGGAACCCGUGCAUUAGCCAUCUCUUCGAGUUCUUCCUGGUUCCUGGGAAAAUAUUGAACACGAUCACCAAGCCUGUCAUGCACGCUGAGCCUGCCCCCCAACCGAUCGUGAACGGACGCUCUUCCUCUAAUCGGCCCAUUAGACCGCCGAUUGUCGUCGUGGUAGCGCCGAUCGGAUCUAUCAUACUGAUCAUAACCGUUGCACUCAGGGCAAUCUAUGACAGUGGGAAGCUUGACAUUCUCCUCCCAAAAAUAAAUGAAGAACGGGCAAUUCCAGUGAUCCCUAUGUCGAUUCCAUUCUUGUCGGCGUCUUUCCUCUUCUAGAUGAUAAUCCUCUUGCUAGCGCCGGUACCGAUCUUCUCGUUGUUGCCAAGUCUCCCGAGGCCUCCUGUGAGUUAUCACAAUACCAGAUCGGGGAGGCCUUCCUGAGUUAGCUCCCUCCUGGAUCAAGCCUUUUCCUUUGGCAUCGGCAGUAGUGACCUGAUGCUGAGGAUCCACCGAUGCACUUCUUUCAGCUGCUUCCGACGUCAAGACCUUGGCCUUUCCCUUAGCAUCCAACAUGUUCGUUGGGAAACGAUGUUGAUCAAUCUUCAUCGGCUUUUGGGUCUUGGAAGUGUCGAAUUUGAUUCUUCCAGACUCUAUAGCCAAUUGCAGCUGCUGUCUGAAAACCUUGCACUCAUUAGUGUCGUGAGAAGUUGCAUUGUGCCACUUGCAAUACUUCAUCCUUUUUAAUUCUUCAGCCGAUGGGAUCACAUGAUUAGGUGACAGCUUGAUCUGACCUUCCUGAAGUAGAAAGUCUAAUAUCCUAUCGGCCUUAGUGGUGUCAAACGCGAACUUCUCUGGUUCUUUAUGUCCAAAAGGACAAGACAUCGGCUUUUUAUUUUUCACCCAUUCUGCCAAGCCGAUGACUGGUUCUUCAUCAGAGUCCGAGCUUACCGCUUCAUCCACAAAUGAUACCUUUUUAUUCCAUGCUCUCUUGGGUUCAAACGGCUUGAUAUCUUGAUCAGAGAUUCUCUGCACCAGAUGACUUAAGCUUUCAAACUCUUGAGAUGCAUAUUUGUCCCUUAUGUGUGGCAACAAACCCUAGAAAGCCAAAUCAGCUAGCUGCCGAUCAUCCAGAACCGGGCUAUAGCAUUUGUUCUUAACCUCCCGUAUCCUCUGCACAAAACUCUCAACCGAUUCAUCAUUGCGUUGCCUUAAUUUGACCAAAUCGGUGAUUUUCUUUUCAUGGACCCCCGAAAAGAAAUAUUUGUGGAAUUGUUUCUCCAAAUCGGCCCAAGUAAUCACUGAGUUGGGAGGCAAUGAUAUAAACCACGUGAAAGCCGAUCUAGACAACGAUGACGAGAAUAAGCGAACCCUUAACUCGUCCCUGUUACCAGCUUCCCCGCAUUGAAUGAUGAACCUGUUGACGUGCUCCAUGGUUGACGUGUCAUCCUGCCCAGAAAACUUAGUAAAAUCCAGUACCUUGUACCGAUUCGGAGGCAGGAUCAAAUCGUAUGCGGGAGGAUACGGUGUCCGAUAAGAGUAAGUGUUGACUUUGGGUUUUAUCCCAAAUUGGUCCCUCAUUACUUCAGCAAUCUUAUCAGCCCAAUAAGCAUCGGCAUCUUGCUGAUGAGGUGGUUGUGGAUCUGGCACCUACUGGUAAGCUUCCACGUGUCUGUGCGGCACACGAUCUGCAUGAAAUAUUGGAUUAAUCAUUUGGCCCUCAAUCUGCGGACUACCAAGCUGUUGCCCGCCAAUCUGCUACCCGAGAUUCAUUGGCUGGUUAGGGAUCCCCUGAUUCUGGAACCCGGGAUAGAUCUGUCCUUGCUAGAACCUGGUAGCUUGAUGACUCUGUUGGGGCGUUUGCGGAAAGACUUGCUGCCCAAGCCAUCCAGUAUUGGCAUUCAUCGGCAUAGGUCCUGCCGAUGACUGAUAAUUGGGCAUUAUCAUUGAAUUGACAUACCCUGGUUGAGUCAAAGACCUCUGUUGCAUCAGCAUUGAGUCUGCCGAUGCGUUAGGCAUCUGGAACGUUAGAGCUUGAGAAUUCCCAGUGUAAGGUCUUGGAGUAGUAGUCGUAGUAUACUGGGGACUCUGGUUCAUCGACAUACUUGGAGGUGCCGAUGCCAUAGGAGCCUUGCCUCUCAUAUCAGUUGCCUGAGAUGUGCCAGGUGUCUUCAUGUUUUCCGGGGGCAUACCAUAACCCCACCAGUUGGGAGGAGGGACCAGUGCUGACAUUGCCGACGCCAAUAAAUCUGUAGUGAGCCUAAUCUGCUCAUCUGAAGUCGGCGGAUUGGUUGUCAUCGGCGUAGAUUGUGCAUUGGUGACUCCCAACGUGCUUGGAGGAACGGUAGUCUGUGUUCCCACAGCGGCUGUAGUGGCCGAUGGUGCUGUGACCAUCGGCGACCCUGGCUAGUGAUAAGAGGGGCCCACAUAAUCUGGUGGCAAUUGUCCUUCCUUCAAGGUUCGGGCCACAGCAUUGAAGACCGUAUUAGACAGUACACCAUCUUGGUUGAUCAAAGCACGGUUGAUAGCACUAUCAACCAUCUCCUGAAGUUUACCAGGAUUGGCUUCAAAAGUAACCUGCCGAGGCGUCGGCAAUGCAUCCUUCUGGAUCACUUCGCCGCUCCUGUUCAUACUGAAGGAUCUCAGGCACUGCUGUUUGUAAUCCUCCAUGGCUUUAGCAAUAGCUCGCUUCUGCUCAUCCUUGAGAUUGGCUUCCGUCACGGGGAUGACGUUCUCUUGAUCAAACUCAGAAGUCGACAUGAUGAUCUUGAUCUUGAAUCUGUCCCACUGGGCGUGCCAAAAGAUGUGUUGGUGCAAAAGCUGAUCUGCAAACACAAAGGGCUAAUACCCGAUUUAAACGUUAAGGCGUGCCAGCCGAUUUGACCUUACUAUCGGCAAAGGUAGUAACUCGAAUACUUUGGUCCCGACAACAGGGAUGUACCCGGAUGUCACGGCCAAGAGGUAUUCACGCGGAACUUGAGAAUACGCCGAGCUUAAGUCGACGAAUUCCUAAGAACUCGUAACGAAAAGGAAAAAGUAUGACGAAGUCGUCGAAAAAGUAGAUGCUUGGAAUAUGAGUAAAAACGUGUGUUUGUUUGAUUGAUUGAUAUCUUCAUUACAAGGCCCUAGGGUCUACAUUUAUACCCUGCUCAAAGAGCUACAACCAGACACGACUAGAAUUUGAAUUCCAAAUUUAAACAGAAUCCGUGUACAAAACGAUCUAAAUAACUAAGGAAAACGUAAAACCAUCCUCACGUGACAAACCAGAACAUCCCCACCAGCCGAUCGGCAAAUUCCAGGUUCUCCCUCCGUAUCAUCGGCAGACUCCUUUGUCAUAGCCAUCGGCACAAACACAUCAUCACCUAUGGACUUGGUCACGUUCAACCAUCCUUCCAUCAGCAACCAUCUUCAUCGGCAACUCACCCUGUAGAUCAAGCACCACCGUCCUAUUUUGCCGAUCUACACUUUACCGAUCAUGGACACGUGCCCAAAAACGGUGUCAACAUAACCACAGGAAAUUUGAGCUUAAACAAGUGAAAGACGUGGCCUGUGGAAAUUUUUGAAAAUUGCAAAAAAUAUGAAAAAAACUUUUGGAGGUGAAAACUCAAACUUCAGAGGCGCAUUUGGGGAUUCUAAAAUUGUCAAACCCGGAUACGGUGGGGAUAGACUGAUCCAAAAAUUUGGUUUGAUCGAUUUUGAUAUAUGCAACGUCAAAAUCGGAGUUCGUAUGCGAAAACUAUGGUUGUUUUACGAACGGACUCCGAAUUGGAAGACAAAACAGUCCGGAAGUGGCAAAAAUUUGCGGCGGUGGCUAGAAAUUGAUGGAAACGGUGGGAAAAAAUACACAAACUAGACUCAAACAAGACCUAACCAGUAACAAGACAUCGACCAGGACACAAACUCAACACUACGGACUCUGAAACUGAAAUAUGCAAAGGCUAUGGCGCGGAUGGGUUGUAGGACAUGAAAACAAUAUGGCACUGGACUUAUGGGAGGAACACAAGGACACUCGAAACUAAGGGUAGAUGUGAACCUAACGGUAUGUCUCAUGCUUUGAUUACCACUUGAGGAGAACAAGUGUGGCCCGAUCUUCCGAAAGGUUUAGGUAACUAUCGAUUUGGUGGAAACGAGACACAAAUCAAUCCAGCUUGCGAACAACACGAUUCGAAACACUACAAUUCAUUUUAUUUUUUUUAUAUUUUUCUUUUACUUAGGAGCAAUCAACAAGUAACCACAGGAAAUUUGAGCUUAAACAAGUGAAAGACUUGGCCUGUGGAAAUUUUUGAAAAUGGCGAAAAAUAUGAAAAAAACUUUUGGAGGUGAAAACUCAAACUACAGAUGCGAAUUUGGAGAUUCUAAAAUUUUCAAACCCGCACACUACGGGGAUAGACAGAUCCAAAAAUUUGGUUUGAUCGAUUUUGAUAUAUGGAACGUCAAAAUCGGAGUUCGUAUGCGAAAAUUAUGGCUGUUUUACGAACGGACUCCAAAUUAGAAGACAAAACGGUCCGGAAGUGGGAAAAAUUUGCGGCGGUGGCUAGAAAUUGAUGGAAACGGUGGGAAGAAGCACACAAAUUGGACUCUGACAAGACCUAACCAGUAACAAGACCUCGACUAGGACACAAACUCAACACUACGGACUCUGAAACUCAAAUAUGCAAAGGCUAUGGCACAGAUGGGUUGUAGGACAUGAAAACAAUAUGGCACUAGACUUAUGAGACGAACACAAGGACACUCGAAACUAAGGGUAGAUGUGAACCUAAUGGUAUGUCUCAUGCUUUGAUUACCACUUGAGGAGAACAAGUGUGGCCCGAUCUUGCGAAAGGUUCUGGUAACUAUCGAUUUGGUGGAAUCGAGACACAAAUCAAUCCAGCUUGCGAACCACACGAUUCGAAACCCUACAAUUAUUUUUAUUUUUUUAUAUUUUUCUUUUACUUAGGAGCACUCAAGAAGUAACCACAGGAAAUUUGAGCUUAAACAAGUGAAAGACGUGGCCUGUGGAAAUUUUUGAAAAUUGCGAAAAAUUUGAAAAAAACUUUUGGAGGUGAAAACUCAAACUUUAGAGGCGAAUUUGGGGAUUCUAAAAUUGUCAAACCCGCACACAACCAGGAUAGACUGAUCCAAAAAUUUGGUUUGAUCGAUUUUGAUAUAUGGAACGUCAAAAUCGGAGUUCGUAUGCGAAAAUUAUGGCUGUUUUACGAACGGACUCCGAAUAAGAAGACAAAACGGUCCGCAAGUGGGAAAAAUUUGCGGCGGUGGCUAGAAAUUGAUGAAAACGGUGGGAAAAAACACACAAACUGAACUCAAACAAGACCUAACCAGUAACAAGACCUCGACCAGGACACAAACUCAACACUACGGACAAAGGCUAUGGCGCGGAUGGGUUGUAGGACAUGAAAACAAUAUGGCACUAGACUUAUGGGACGAACACAAAGAUACUCGAAACUAAGGGUAGAUGUGAACCUAACGGUAUGUCUCAUGCUUUGAUUACCACUUGAGAAGAACAAGUGUGUCCCGAUCUUCCGAAAGGUUCCGGUAACUAUCGAUUUGGUGGAAACGAGACACAAAUCAAUCCAGCUUACGAACAACACGGUUUGAAACCCUGCAAUUCUUUUUAUUUUUUUUUGAUAUUUUGCUUUUACUUAGGAGCAUUCAAGAAGUAAGCACAGGAAAUUUGAGCUUAAACAAGUGAAAGACGUGGCUUGUGGAAUUUUUUGAAGAUUGCGAAAAAUAUAAAAAAAUUAGGAGGUGAAAACUCAAACUUCAGAGGCGAAUUUGGGGAUUCUAAAAUUACCGAACCUGCCUUUGGCUGAAAUAUGCAAAGACUAUGGUGCGGAUGGGUUGUAGGACAUGAAAACAAUAUGGCACUAGACUUAUGGGACGAACACAAGGACACUCGAAACUAAGGGUAGAUGUGAACCUAAUGGUAUGUCUCAUGCUUUGAUUACCACUUGAGGAGAACAAGUGUGGCCCGAUCUUCCGAAAGGUUCUGGUAAAUAUCGAUAUGGUGGAAACGAGACACAAAUCAAUCCAGCUUGCAAACAACACGAUUCGAAACCCUACAAUUCUUUUUAUUUUUUUAUAUUUUUCUUUUACUUAGGAGCACUCAAGAAGUAACCACAUGAAAUUUGAGCUUAAACAAGUGAAAGACGUGGCAUGUGGAAAUUUUUGAAAAUUACAAAAAAUAUGAAAAAAACUUUUAGAGGUGAAAACUCAAACUUCAGAGGCAAAUUUGGGGAUUCUAAAAUUGUCAAACCCGCACACGGCGGGGAUAAACUAAUCCAAAAAUUUGGUUUGAUCGAUUUGGAUAUAUGGAAAGAAAUUGAUGAAAACGGUGGGAAAAAACACACAAACUGGACUCAAACAAGACCUAACCAGUAACAAGACCUCGACCAGGACACAAACUCAACACUACGGACAAAGGCUAUGGCGCGAAUGGGUUGUAGGACAUGAAAACAAUAUGGCACUAGACUUAUGGGACGAACACAAAGACACUCGAAACUAAGGGUAGAUGUGAACCUAACGGUAUGUCUCAUGCUUUGAUUACCACUUGAGGAGAACAAGUGGUUCUGGUAACUAUCGAUUUGGUGGAAACGAGACACAAAUCAAUCCAGCUUGCGAACAACACGAUACGAAACCCUACAAUUCUUUUUAUUUUUUUAUAUUUUUCUUUUACUUAGGAGCACUCAAUAAGUAACCACAGGAAAUUUGAGCUUAAACAAGUGAAAGACGUGGCCUGUGGAAAUUUUUGAAAAUUGCGAAAAAUUUGAAAAAAGUUUUGGAGGUGAAAACUCAAACUUUAGAGGCGAAUUUGGGGAUUCUAAAAUUGUCAAACCCGCACGCAGCGGGGAUAGACUGAUCCAAAAAUUUGGUUUGAUCGAUUUUGAUAUAUGGAACGUCAAAAUCGGAGUUCGUAUGCGAAAAUUAUGGCUGUUUUACGAACGAACUCCGAAUUAGAAUACAAAACGGUCCGCAAGUGGGAAAAAUUUGCGGCGGUGGCUAGAAACUGAUGGAAACGGUGGGAAAAAACACACAAACUCGACUGAAACAAGACCUAACCAGUAACAAGACCUCAACCACGACACAAACUCAACACUACGGACAAAGGCUAUGGCGCGGAUGGGUUGUAGGACAUGAAAACAAUAUGCCACUAGACUUAUGGGAUGAACACAAGGACACUCGAAACUAAGGGUAGAUGUGAACCUAACGGUAUGUGUCAUGCUUUGAUUACCACUUGAGGAGAACAAGUGUGGCCCGAUCUUCCGAAAGGUUCUGGUAACUAUCGAUUUGGUGGAAUCGAGACACAAAUCAAUCCAGCUUGCGAACAACACGAUUCGAAACCCAACAAUUCUUUUUUAUUUUUUUUAUAUUUUUCUUUCACUUAGGAGCACUCAAGAAGUAACCAUAGGAAAUUUGAGCUUAAACAAGUGAAAGACGUGGCCUGUGGAAAUUUUUGGAAAUUGUGAAAAAUAUGAAAAAAACUUUUGGAGGUGAAAACUCAAACUUCAGAGGCGAAUUUGGGGAUUCUAAAAUUGUCAAACCCGUACACGGCGGGGAUAGACAGAUCCAAAAAUUUGGUUUGAUCGAUUUUGAUAUAUGGAACGUCAAAAUCGGAGUUCGUAUGCGGAAAUUAUGGCUGUUUUACGAACGGACUCUGAAUUAGAAGACAAAACGGUCCGGAAGUGGGAAAAAUUUGCGGCGGUGGCUAGAAAUUGAUGGAAACGGUGGGAAGAAGCACACAAAUUGGACUCUAACAAGACCUAACGAGUAACAAGACCUCGACUAGUACACAAACUCAACACUACGGACUGUGAAACUGAAAUAUGCAAAGGCUAUGGCGCGGAUGGGUUGUAGGACAUGAAAACAAUAUGGCACCAGACUUAUGGGACGAACACAAGGACACUCGAAAUUAAGGAUAGAUGUGAACCUAAUGGUAUGUAUAAAGCUUUGAUUACCACUUGAGGAGAAUAAGUGUGGCCCGAUCUUCCGAAAGGUUCUCAUAACUAUCGAUUUGGUGGAAACGAGACACAAAUCAAUCCAGCAUACGAACAACACGGUUUGAAACCCUGCAAUUCUUUUUAUUUAUUUUUUUUGAUAUUUUGCUUUUACUUAGGAGCACUCAAGAAGUAAGCACAGGAAAUUUGAGCUUAAACAAGUGAAAGACGUGGCUUGUGGAAUUUUUUGAAGAUUGCGAAAAAUAUAAAAAAAUUAGGAGGUGAAAACUCAAACUUCAGAGGCGAAUUUGGGGAUUCUAAAAUUACCGAACUAGCCUUUGGCUGAAAUAUGCGAAGGCUAUGGCGCGGAUGGGUUGUAGGACAUGAAAACAAUAUGCCACUAGACUUAUGGGACGAACACAAGGACACUCGAAACUAAGGGUAGAUGUGAACCUAAUGGUAUGUCUCAUGCUUUGAUUACCACUUGAGGAGAACAAGUGUGGCCUGAUCUUCCGAAAGGUUGUGGUAAAUAUCGAUCUGGUGGAAACGAGACACAAAACAAUCCAGCUUGCGGACAACACGAUUAAAAACCCUACAAUUCUUUUUAUUUUUUUAUAUUUUUCUUUUACUUAGGUGCACUCAAGAAGUAACCACAUGAAAUUUGAGCAUAAACAAGUGAAAGACGUGGCAUGUGGAAAUUUUUGAAAAUUACAAAAAAUAUGAAAAAAACUUUUAGAGGUGAAAACUCAAACUUCAGAGGCAAAUUUGGGGAUUCUAAAAUUGUCAAACCCGCACACGGCGAGGAUAGACUGAUCCAAAAAUUUGGUUUGAUCGAUUUGGAUAUAUGGAACGUCAAAAUCGGAGUUCGUAUGCAAAAAUUAUGGUUGUUUUACGAACGGACUCCGAAUAAGAAGACAAAACGGUCCGCAAGUGGGAAAAAUUUGCGGCGGUGGCUAGAAAUUGAUGAAAACGGUGGGAAAAAACACACAAACUGAACUCAAACAAGACCUAACCAGUAACAAGACCUCGACCAGGACACAAACUCAAAACUACGGACAAAGGCUAUGGCGCGGAUGGGUUGUAGGACAUGAAAACAAUAUGCCACUAGACUUAUGGGAUGAACACAAGGACACUCGAAACUAAGGGUAGAUGUGAACCUAACGGUAUGUCUCAUGCUUUGAUUACCACUUGAGGAGAACAAGUGUGGCCCGAUCUUCCGAAAGGUUCUGGUAACAAUCGAUUUGGUGGAAACGAGACACAAAUCAAUCCAGCUUGCAAACAACAUGAUUCGAAACCCUACAAUUCUUUUUAUUUUUUUAUAUUUUUCUUUUACUUAGGAGCACUCAAGAAGUAACCACAGGAAAUUGGAGCUUAAACAAGUGAAAGACGUGGCCUGUGGAAAUUUUUGAAAAUUGCGAAAAAUUUGAAAAAAACUUUUGGAGGUGAAAACUCAAACUUUAGAGGCGAAUUUGGGGAUUCUAAAAUUGUCAAACCCGCACACAGCGGGGAUAGACUGAUCCAAAAAUUUGGUUUGAUCGAUUUUGAUAUAUGGAACGUCAAAAUCGGAGUUCGUAUGCGAAAAUUAUGGCUGUUUUACGAACGAACUCCGAAUUAGAAUACAAAACGGUCCGCAAGUGGGAAAAAUUUGCGGCGGUGGCUAGAAAUUAAUGGAAACGGUGGGAAAAAACACACAAACUCGACUGAAACAAGACCUAACCAGUAACAAGACCUCGACCAGGACACAAACUCAACACUACGGACAAAGGCUAUGGCGCGGAUGGGUUGUAGGACAUGAAAACAAUAUGCCACUAGACUUAUGGGAUGAACACAAGGACACUCGAAACUAAGGGUAGAUGUGAACCUAACGGUAUGUGUCAUGCUUUGAUUACCACUUGAGGAGAACAAGUGUGGCCCGAUCUUCCGAAAGGUUCUGGUAACUAUCGAUUUGGUGGAAUCGAGACACAAAUCAAUCCAGCUUGCGAACAACACGAUUCGAAACCCAACAAUUCUUUUUUAUUUUUUUUAUAUUUUUCUUUCACUUAGGAGCACUCAAGAAGUAACCAUAGGAAAUUAGAGCUUAAACAAGUGAAAGACGUGGCCUGUGGAAAUUUUUGGAAAUUGUGAAAAAUAUGAAAAAAACUUUUGGAGGUGAAAACUCAAACUUCAGAGGCGAAUUUGGGGAUUCUAAAAUUGUCAAACCCGCACACGGCGGGGAUAGACAGAUCCAAAAAUUUGGUUUGAUCGAUUUUGAUAUAUGGAACGUCAAAAUCGGAGUUCGUAUGCGGAAAUUAUGGCUGUUUUACGAACGGACUCUGAAUUAGAAGACAAAACGGUCCGGAAGUGGAUAAAAUUUGCGGCGGUGGCUAGAAAUUGAUGGAAACGGUGGGAAGAAGCACACAAAUUGGACUCUAACAAGACCUAACGAGUAACAAGACCUCGACUAGUACACAAAUUCAACACUACGGACUGUGAAACUGAAAUAUGCAAAGGCUAUGGCGCGGAUGGGUUGUAGGACAUGAAAACAAUAUGCCACUAGACUUAUGGGACGAACACAAAGACACUCGAAACUAAGGGUAGAUGUGAACCUAACGGUAUGUCUCAUGCUUUGAUUACCACUUGAGGAGAACAAGUGUGGCCCGAUCUUCCGAAAGGUUCUCAUAACUAUCGAUUUGGUGGAAACGAGACACAAAUCAAUCCAGCUUACGAACAACACGGUUUGAAACCCUACAAUUCUUUUUUUUUUGAUAUUUUCCUUUUACUUAGGAGCACUCAAGAAGUAAGCACAGAAAAUUUGAGCUUAAACAAGUGAAAGACGUGGCUUGUGGAAUUUUUUGAAGAUUGCGAAAAAUAUAAAAAAAUUAGGAGGUGAAAACUCAAACUUCAGAGGCGAAUUUGGGGAUUCUAAAAUUACUGAACCUGCCUUUGGCUGAAAUAUGCGAAGGCUAUGGUGCGGAUGGGUUGUAGGACAUGAAAACAAUAUGGCACUAGACUUAUGGGACGAACACAAGGACACUCGAAACUAAGGGUAGAUGUGAACCUAAUGGUAUGUCUCAUGCUUUGAUUACCACUUGAGGAGAACAAGUGUGGCCCGAUCUUCCGAAAGGUUCUGGUAAAUAUCGAUCUGGUGGAAACGAGACACAAAUCAAUCCAGGUUGCAAACAACACGAUUCGAAACCCUACAAUUCUUUUUAUUUUUUUAUAUUUUUCUUUUACUUAGGAGCACUCAAGAAGUAACCACAUGAAAUUUGAGCUUAAACAAGUGAAAGACGUGGCAUGUGGAAAUUUUUGAAAAUUACAAAAAAUAUGAAAAAAACUUUUAGAGGUGAAAACUCAAACUUCAGAGGCAAAUUUGGGGACUAUAAAAUUGUCAAACCCACACACGGCGGGGAUAAACUGAUCCAAAAAUUUGGUUUGAUCGAUUUGGAUAUAUGGAACGUCAAAAUCGGAGUUCGUAUGCGAAAAUUAUGGUUGUUUUACGAACGGACUCCGAAUUAGAAGACAAAACGGUCCGCAAGUGGGAAAAAUUUGCGGCGGUGGCUAGAAAUUGAUGAAAACGGUGGGAAAAAACACACAAACUGGACUCAAACAAGACCUAACCAGUAACAAGACCUCGACCAGGACACAAACUCAACACUACGGACAAAGGCUAUGGCGCGGAUGGGUUGUAGGACAUGAAAACAAUAUGGCACUAGACUUAUGGGACGAACACAAAGACACUCGAAACUAAGGGUAGAUGUGAACCUAACGGUAUGUCUCAUGCUUUGAAUACCACUUGAGGAGAACAAGUGUGGCCCGAUCUUCCGAAAGGUUCUGGUAACUAUCGAUUUGGUGGAAACGAGACACAAAUCAAUCCAGCUUGCCAACAACACGAUUCGAAACCCUACAAUUCUUUUUAUUUUUUUAUAUUUUUCUUUUACUUAGGAGCACUCAAGAAGUAACCACAGGAAAUUGGAGCUUAAACAAGUGAAAGACGUGGCCUGUGGAAAUUUUUUAAAAUUGCGAAAAAUAUGAAAAAAAUUUUUGAGGUGAAAACUGAAACUUCAGAGAUGAAUUUGGGGAUUCAAAAAUUGUCAAACCCGCAUACGGCAGGGAUAGAUAGAUCCAAAAAUUUGUUCUGCUCGAUUUUGAUAUAUGGAACGUCAAAAUCGGAGUUCGUAUGCGAAAGUUAUGGCUGUUUUACGAACGGACUCCGAAUUAGAGGACAAAACGGUCCGGAAGUGGGAAAAUUUUGCGGUGGUGGCUAGAAAUUGAUGGAAACGGUGGGAAAAAACACAUAAAGUGGACUCAAACAAGACCUAACCAGUAACAAGACCUCGACCAGGACACAAACUCAACACUACAGACUCUGAAAUAUGCAAAAACUAUGGCGCGGAUGGUUUGUAGGACAUGAAAACAAUAUGGCACUAGACUUAUGGGAUGAACACAAGGACACUCGAAACUAAGGGUAGAUGUGAACCUAACGGUAUGUCUCAUCCUUUGAUUACCACUUGAGGAGAACAAGUGUGGCCCAAUCUUCCGAAAGGUUCUGGUAACCAUCGAUUUGGUGGAAACGAGACACAAAUCAAUCCAGCUUGCGAACAACACCAUUCGAAACCCUACAAUUCUUUUUAUUUUUUUUAUAUUUUUCUUUUACUUAGGAGCACUCAAGAAGUAACCAUAGGAAAUUUGAGCUUAAACAAGUGAAAGACGUGGCCUGUGAAAAUUUUUGAAAAUUGCGAAAAAUCUGAAAAAAAACUUUUGGAGGUGAAAACUCAAACUUCAGAGGUGAAUUUGGGGAUUCUAAAAUUGUCAAACCCGCAAACGUCGGGGAUAGACAGAUCCAAAAAUUUGGUUUGAUCGAUUUUGAUAUAUGGAACGUCAAAAUCAGAGUUCGUAUGCGAAAAUUAUGGCUGUUUUACGAACGGACUCUGAAUUAGAAGACAAAACGGUCCGGAAGUGGGAAAAAUUUGCGGCGGUGGCUAGAAAUUGAUGGAAACGGUGGGAAGAAGCACAAAAAUUGGACUCUAACAAGACCUAACGAGUAACAAGACCUCGACUAGGACACAAACUCAACACUACGGACUGUGAAACUGAAAUAUGCAAAGGCUAUGGCGCAGAUGGGUUGUAGGACAUGAAAACAAUAUGGCACCAGACUUAUGGGACGAACACAAGGACACUCGAAAUUAAGGGUAGAUGUGAACCUAAUGGUAUGUAUAAAGCUUUGAUUACCACUUGAGGAGAAUAAGUGUGGCCCCAUCUUCCGAAAGGUUCUCAUAACUAUCGAUUUAUUGGAAACGAGACACAAAUCAAUCCAGCUUACGAACAACACGGUUUGAAACCCUGCAAUUCUUUUUAUUUUUUUUGAUAUUUUGCUUUUACUUAGGAGCACUCUAGAAGUAAGCACAAGAAAUUUGAGCUUAAACAAGUGAAAGACGUGGCUUGUGGAAUUUUUUGAAGAUUGCGAAAAAUAUAAAAAAAUUAGGAGGUGAAAACUCAAACUUCAGAGGCGAAUUUGGGGAUUCUAAAAUUACCGAACCUGCCUUUGGCGGAGAUAGACAGAUCCGUUCUGAUCCAUUUUGAUAUAUGGAACGUCAAAAUCGGAGUUCGUAUGCGAAAGUUAUGGCUGUUUUACGAACGGACUCCGAAUUAGAGGACAAAACGGUCCGGAAGUGGGAAAAAUUUGUGGUGGUGGCUAGAAAUUGAUGGAAACGGUUGGAAAAAACACACAAACUGGACUCAAACAAGACCUAACCAGUAACAUGACCUCGACCAGGACACAAACUCAACACUACGGACUCUGAAACUGAAAUAUGCGAAGGCUAUGGCACGGAUGGGUUGUAGGACAUGAAAACAAUAUGGCACUAGACUUAUGGGAUGAACACAAGGACACUCGAAACUAAGGGUAGAUGUGAACCUAAUGGUAUGUCUCAUGCUUUGAUUACCACUUGCGGAGAACAAGUGUGGCCCGAUAUUUCGAAAGGUUCUGGUAAAUAUCGAUCAGUUGGAAACGAGACACAAAUCAAUCCAGCUUGCGAACAACACGAUUCGAAACCCUACAAUUCUUUUUAUUUUUUUUAUAUUUUUCUUUUACUUAGGAGCACUCGAGAAGUAACCACACAAAAUUUGAGCUUAAACAAGUGAAAGACGUGGUGAAAACUCAAAUUUUCAGAGGCCAAUUUGGGGAUUCUUUAUUUCUCGAACCCGCCUAUGGCAGGGAUAGACAGAUCCAGAAAAAAAUUCUGAUCGAUUUUGAUAUAUGGAACGUUAAAAUCGGAGUUCGUAUGCGAAAGUUAUGACUGUUUUACGAACGGAUUCCGAAUUAGAGGAGAAAACGGUGCGGAAGUGGGAAAAAUUUGCGGUGGUGGCUAGAAAUUGAUGGAAACGGUGGGAAAAAACACAGAAACUGGACCUAACCAGUAACAAGACCUCGACCAGGACACAAACUCAACACUACGGACUCUGAUACUAAAAUAUGCAAAGGCUAUGGCGCGGAUGGGUUGUACGACAUGAAAACAAUAUGGCACUAGACUUAUGGGACGAACACAAGGACACUCGAAACUAAGGGUAGAUGUGAACCUAACGGUAUGUUUGAUGCUUUGAUUACCACUUGAGGAGAACAAGUGUGGCCCGAUCUUCCGAAAGGUUCUGGUAACUAUUGAUUUACUGGAAACGAGACACAAAUCAAUCCAGCUUGCGAACAACACGAUUCGAAACCCUACCAUUCUUUUUAUUUUUUUGAUAUUUUUCUUUUACUUAGGAGCACUCAAGAAGUAACCAUAGGAUAUUUGAGGUUAAACAAGUGAAAGAUGUGGCAUGUGGAAUUUUUUGAAGAUUGCAAAAAAUAUGAAAAAAAACUUUAGGAGGUGAAAACUCAAACUUCAGAGGCGAAUUUGGGGAUUCUAAAAUUAUCAAACCUGCCCAUGGCGGGGAUAGAUAGAUCCAAAUUUUUUUUGAUCCAUUUUGAUAAAUGUAACGUUAAAAUCAGAGUUCGUAUGUGAAAGUUAUGGCUGUUUUACGAACGGACUCCGAGUUAGAGGACAAAAUGGUCCGAAAGUGGGUAAAAUUUGCGGCAGUGGCUAGAAAUUGAUGGAAACGGUGGGAAGAAACACACAAAUAGGACUCUAACAAGACUGUUGAUAGUCCUUAAGUAUCAAAUUUAAUUAUCAAAUAAACAAAGAAAAGGAUCCAAAUGAAAUCAACAUCUAGACUUAGGGUUUUAUCUGACAGAAUUCCACGAGUUUUGGUUUUUGUCUAUUUCUGCAGGGGGUUAUGAGGAAAUACGGAAGAAAGGCCCACACAUCGGGAUUACAUAGAGAUAUCAAUGUGCCGCACUAUUAUCUUACAUCUAUAAGACUCCAGAAGCCACGGGAAGGAAGCGGAGGCCGAACGGGGCCAGGCACUGGGCGCCCGCCCAGUUGACCUGGGCGCCCGCCCCCUCCUGGAGUCCAAACAGGACUCUCUUUUGGGAAAGAUCUCCAUCGACCUAAAGGAUCAAGGAUAACCGUUCAAUCUAUGUCGGUUUGAUCCAACGACCCAUAUUCACUUGAAGGGACUAUAAAACCAGACCCCCUGGCCCCUGGAGGAGAGAGCCUCUCAACCCUAAUUCAUUAUUCCUCAAGGGAGAAGAAGCCACUGAUCAAGAUUAGAGCCACCACAUCAAUUAGACAUCUAGAUUAGCAUAGCUACAUAGGAUUAGAACUAGAAGGAGUCAAUCUUUGAUUCGUUUCCGGAUCUGUCAAAAAGAUUCUUGGUAAUUCUCUAAUUGUGCUUCUAAUUGUUCUUCUAAUUAUCUUUGUUCUUCAAUAUUAUGAAUAUGACUUUGUUCUACUUCAAUAUAUUGCUUAUGACUUUGCUCUACUUGUUUAUAUUCAAGAUUAUAUUGUUCUUAGUUUAUCAUAGUUAUAUACUUGGCUUAGUUAGAUUGGAUCUGUAUAAAUGUUUAUGAUCCAUGGGUAAAUGAUAGAUAUUGUGUAGGCGUGGUGCUUAUACCGUAUUUAUCUACGAUUGUACCCAAUAUGACAGAUCGUGGGGUAGUUCGUGAUAGUUACAGCUUCAUUGAUUCUUAUAUAGUUCCCCUCUCGUGUAUAAUACAGGGGAGUGAUUGCUAUGUUUUUCAUUUACCUUGCAAAUAUCACUAUGCAUGGGCAUAGUCUUGUCUCGCAAUGAUUGCUAAGUAUGCUUGCACUAACUAUGAUAAUGCUAGACUAUAUAGUUGAGAAUAACUUAGGAAAUAUUCUUGUAGUUCGUUCUAAUACCAUGCUAAUGACUUUCUAGAGUAUCUAAUUGAGGUGCUUAUCAUAUUUAUAUGUGGCUAAGUUAUGCUGAUCAGAUUAAUUAUCUUUGUCACUAUUCAUUACUUCAUAUAUCUUUUAUGUGACACUUAUCCCUGUAUGAAAGAGUUAGAUAAAUGUUCUCAAUUAUACAUGCAAUGAUAGAUACUCAAUCUCAUAUUCCAUUCUGUAAUCAAUAUUGAUGAUUGUUAAUCCUUCCCAGUGGUAAAAAUAUAAAUAACGAUACCUGGACUACUUCCCGGUUAAAAUGCUACCUCGGUAUUAAUCUGUGCGCAUGCAGAUCCCAUUCAUUAUUUAUUUAGAAGAGCAAUUGCAUAUUUCAAUACCGCUCUCUUAUAUCAUGCUGGGGAUGACAGCUUGGCUUAAGUGGUAUGAGAGAUAGGUUUGGCAUUUUUGGCACCGUUAUCAGAAUUAGAAAACUAAGUCUACUUUUGGUAAUGAUGUUAAGAAUACCCAACAAGCAUUUUUGGCGCCGUUGCCGGGGAAGGUUGAUUACUAAUCAGGAAUGAAUUUAAGAUUUCGAGUUAUCAUUCGCAUCACUAAUAUGAUUGAGCUUAUCAAUUCUCUCAUACAGUUUUACCCCGAUAUUUUCUAUUUUAUCUUAUGCAGGGGAAUGUAUGAAUAGAAGACAUCUUCCAGGAAAUUUUGUUGAUAAUCCCGAAGCCUUAUUCAGAAAAAACUAGAGCCAAGCUCAAGAAGAGAUCAUCAACACUACAGCAAGAAGCUUCAUCCAAUCAAGAAGAUCACCGGAACUUGUCUUCAGAGUUCGAAGCCAUGGCGAACAAAUCAAUCUGCGAGUUCUCAGCUCCCACUACGGACAACAUCCGCACUGGACCUGCUGCAGAGAUCGAUGGCAACUUUGAGCUCAAGCCUAGACUUAUCAACAUGGUGCAAUCCAACCAGUUCUGUGGGAAGGCACACGAAGAUGCUAGUGCUCAUCUCCAACACUUCCUGGAGAUAUGCAGCACAUUUACCAUAUCAGGAGUUUCCAGAGAUGCUAUACUACUUCGCAUCUUCCCAUUCUCACUGUUAGGAAGAGCGAAGCAGUGGUUUUACGCUACAAAGGAGAAGAAUACUACAUGGGCACUCUGCUCAACAAACUUCCUGGCUAAGUUCUUUCCCAUGGGCAAGACCAAUGCUCUUCGUGGGAAGAUUACAAGUUUUCAGCAACAAAAUGAUGAAUCCGUUCCAGAAGCAUGGGAGCGCUUCCAAGACUACAUCCUAGAAUGUCCCCAUCAUGGAAUGGAGAGUUGGCUACUGAUGCAAACAUUUUAUCAUGGGCUCGGCAACAGUGCCCGAGAGACCAUGGAUGCUGCAGCUGGAGGAGCAUUCCUAUCACUUACCAUAUCACAAGCCACAGCUCUUGUGGAGAAGAUGGCGUCCAACCAAAGCUGGAAUGAAGAAAGGACCCAGACACGCAAGAGAGGUGGAGGUAUGCAUCAGCUCAAGGAGGUAGACAUGCUAUCUGCAAAGCUAGACCUGCUCAUGAAGAAGCUCGAUGAUAGAGCUGGAGAUAAGAAAGAAGUUAUGCACAUCUACGACUCUCACAUGACUUGUGAGGAGUGUGGAGACACUAGGCACUCAGGCAAUCACUGCCCUGAGAUGCUUGAGGAUGUGAAUUACAUCAUCAUCAUCAUCAACAACAACAACAACAACUACAACCGUCCUCAACAAAAUCAAGGUUCGAAUCAACAGAGGCCUAACUACUCAGGUAAUUAUCAAGGUAACAAUUCUUACAACAAUAAUAAUAAUUUUCCACCUCUGAGAGAGUUAGUGUCUAAUCAAGGAAAGCUAAUGGACAACCUGUCUAAGAAAUUGGCAUCUAAUGAUAAAAUGCUGGAAAAUAUAAAUAAUAGAAUGGAUAAUUUCUCUACUGCCAUCAAGAAUCAAAUUAGCUUUAAUAAAAUGAUUGAAUCUCAGUUAAAUCAAAUAGCUGCUGCUAUUCCUACUACUAACCUCGGUAUACCAUCACAAUCGGAAGGAUUAGAACCUGCAAAUCUUGUAGACAUGUUUGAUGCAGGUAGUAACUGGAGUAACCCCGUCACUGAGUUCACUACUGACCUUCUGCUGGUCAAGAGAGGCGAUCCAGGACGCCCCGUCAUCCCGAUCUCCAUCGGCAUGGUGGACGUCCCAGAAGCACUCUGCGACUUUGGCUCUAGCGUCAACAUUAUACCCAGAGUACUCUAUGAAAAAUUCUACACAUAUCCUUUAUUAUAGACAACCAUGUGUUUGUAGUUUGCAGAUCGGGCAUUAAGUUUUCCAAAAGGAAUAUUGAAGAACCUUUGCGUUCGAGUUGGUACCUUAUAUGCCCCAGCAGACUUCAUGGUGAUAGAGACCGGUAAUGAUGAAAGGGCACCCAUCAUCUUAGGGAGGCCAUUCUUAAACACCUCAGGAGCUGUCAUCUACGCUAGUGCUGCCAAGAUUAGUUUCUACAUUAAAGGGAGGAAGGAGACAUUUUCCUUCAAGAACAAGACUACACAAAUCCCAGAUCAAUCUAGAUGUGAAUCAAGGAAGAGGACCAACAGGAGGAACAGGAACAAGCAAGUGUGGACCGAGUCAGCCAAGAUGGUCACUGCAAUUCAAGGAGGUCAAGAUCAUCAAAUUAAGUCACUGUUUUUGACCAAGAAGGACGACCCAGGAAUGCCAAGCAUCUAUUGCUCCAUAAAUGGAUACAACUUCUACAAGACGACUUGCGACACCGGAUCGAGCGUCAACAUAAUGGCCGCAGUCACCUAUCGGCUCUUUUUCGGAACCAUGCCAUUAAAACCAACAUACAUUCAACUCCAGAUGGCAGAUCAGACAUUUCGAGAAGUUAAAGGAACAGUAACUGAUGUCCCUGUCAAAAUAGACGAUCAUUUUGUCUACACAGACUUUCAGGUUAUUGACAUGGGAGAAGACGAGUACGAUCCACCCAUCAUCCUUGGAAGACCGUUCCUCAGCACCGUUAAAGCAAUCAUCUACAUUGGAACCAGAGAAGUCCAUAUGCACUUCCCCUGAGAGAAGGUACGCCGCUAUUUUACUGACCCUAACUAUAUCGUUGAAGACUCUAAGCAGGUCAGAAAACGACGCAAUCGCAACCAGAGGAGGGAAAUCAUCAAGGACGGAUGGGCAGACUAUGAAGGAGAAGUUGUAAGGUCAGAAGACGUACAGUUUAAACAGAAUUAUCCUGAGGAGACCGUAGCACCGAGUCAGGUGUGGAAAGAAAAGAUAACUAUACAUGAAGAAGAGGCGCCGCCAGAAGUACCGACUACGCCACCCAACGAAUCCCAGGACAAUUGAGAAAACGGAGAGUCCCGUUCGGAGGACUUAAAAACACUGAACGCCUUGCCAAGAGGUAAACUUGGUAGUUAUCCUUUUCCUUUCAAUUAUUUUAAAAUAGUUUGCUUAGUUAAUUAUGUUAAUACCAUCCUAAAAAGAAAAUAAAAAUGUUAAAAAACAGUAAGCCCCAUGUGAGUAUAUGAGUGGCAUGAAACCUAUAAGUACAUUCACUGUGGUGGCAUAAAAAUUAAAAUAAAUAUUUCUUUUCUGCUUUAUAAAAUGAAAAUAUAAAAAAGGGAGUAAUAUUUAUUAAGGAGCCUCAACAUGAUAAAGGCUAGAUAUUUAUGCUAACACUUAAUCAGUUCCACAAAGCUUUGUUGUCUAUUUGAGCUCCACAGAAUUUAAGAAUCGGGAAGACUAGCAGACGGAGGACAUUCUAAUCGCUGUCAAGAUACUGCCGACUUUCAAAUACACCUCUGCCACCUGCUAGCUACAUCAAGAGAAAUUACAUCAAAAUUCAGCUUGGGGGAGAGCACCCCCAUUUAUCUCGCUAAGUAUUUCUAACUAUCUUUAUACUUAUAUUAUAUGAAAAUAUAAAUAUACAUAGUUAUGGAAAACCAAAUAAAGAUUUUAUGCUUAUAUAUAUAUAGCUUUUGCUUAGUGUGUUUAAUAAAUAAAUAAAGUGGCUAUGCUAAUCUGAAUCUUAAUAAUAAAACUCUAGCAUGGGUAUAAUGAAUAGUUGCUCUGCCUAAUUUUUAAAAUUUUGAAGUUCUCUCUCAAGUUUAGACAUAAUUGUUAUAAUUUAAAUCUUGCUCUAAACCUAAACUUGUGGGAAGAAAACUUGAUCUGAAGUCUAAGUUGUUAACAGAUAUGAUAUGGGAAGGUUGAGCUGCUGUUUCUGUUCCUAGAAAUGCUAGAAUUCUGGAGAAUUUUAUCUUUGAAAAAUCUUUAAAAUAUUGCAUGAUGAGUUCCUGUAUGAUGAGAGUUUAAAUUCCUACCACAGCCAUAUAUACAUGCUUGCUAGACUUUGAGCCACACAUUUACUUUUUACUGCUUAUGAGCAUUGAGUGUGGUCAAGCUGUUUAGACCCUUAGGAACUUGUCAUGUGGUUUAAAUCAAGAUUCACUUGCACGUUCACUCACAUAUGCUACUUCUACUCCGGAAGUACCAUCCACAUAUAUCCAGUCAUUUCCUUCUCCAUAACCACCCAAAAACACUCUACUCCUAAUCCGGGAGAGAAUAGCCAAAAACAUUUCUGUUUUCCCCUGUGAAAUAAAUGCUCAAAUUAUCUUGUUACUACCACUUGCUAUAUUAUCUCAAGAGAUGAGUGCUCUAAAAAGAGAAAAGAAAAGAUACGAGGAAAUAAAAAGGGGCAAGUGCCCGGAACCUCGAAAGAAAAGAAAAGUGAGACGAGAGGUAACAAUGGAUAAGUGUCUGACAGUAGAAUUAGGGGUACAAGAUACCUACCUGAGAGGAAAGAAAAAGAAAAAUAUAAAGCAUCUCAUUCUCCUCACAAAGUUUCAAAAAGCAAGGAAGGUAUGUAUCCCCUCAAAGAGCAAAAGUAGAAUUAGACUUUCACCAUUGUUAUCACCAUCAUCACCAUACACCAUUCAUUCACCACACAUGCACAUCUUGAUUUGACUUAUUGAUUUGUUUCUUUGGAUCCAUGGUUUGACUAUGUAAUAAAUGUCUUGUAAGUAUGUAUACUUUAUCUCCCACCUAUGAGCUCCAGAUAUCAAAAGCCUUAUUAGAGUAGGGUGAGAGAGAAGGCAAUGUCACUAUGCUUUAUACUACAAAUACCACAUAUUUGGAGAGAAGGCAUAUACCAUCACUGCCUUGGUAAGGAUCCAGAAAUACUACAAAAGAGAGUUAUGAGAGAGUCAUACAAGGAAUCUCUGAGUUUUAUUUGAAAAUCUGCAAAAACUCCAGAGCUAUAGCUGAUCAAGAAUAAGAGACAUGGCACUUGACUAGACUGUUCUAUCUUUUAACUACUCAAGACAGAAGAGACGAUUACAAGUCCCAUGGUGAAAGGUAAAGUAAGUAAGUUUUAAGUCUUGACAGUUUACUCUAACUCAGAGAUGGGAUCUUAUUUAGAAGCAUGUGUACCGACAACUUUUAAAGAUAUUGCAACAACUUCUGAUCCAUCACUGAGUCUAUCCUUGCUCAGGGACGAGCAAGAGGUAAGCAUGGGGGAGUUUGUUGACGGUCCUUAAGUAUCAAAUUUAAUUAUCAAAUAAACAAAGAAAAGGUUCCAAAUGAAAUCAACAUCUAGACUUAGGUUUUAUCUGACAGAAUUCCACGAGUUUUGGUGUUUGUCUAUUUCUGCAGGGGGUUAUCAGGAAAUACGGAAGAAAGGCCCACACGUCGGGAUUACAUAGAGAUAUCAAUGUGCCGCACAAUUAGCUUACAUCUAGAAGACUACAGAAGCCACGGGAAGGAAGCGGAGGCCGAACGGGGCCAGGCACUGGGCGCCCGCCCAGUUGACCUGGGCGCCCGCCCCUCCUGGAGUCCAAACAGGACUCUCUUUCGGGAAAGAUCUCCACCGACCCAUGUUCAAGGAUAACUGUUCAAUCUAUCUCGGUUUGAUCCAACGGCCCAUAUUCACUUGAAGGGACUAUAAAACCAGACCCCCUAGCCCCUGGAGGAGAGAGCCUCUUAACCCUAAUUCAUUAUUCCUCAAGGGAGAAGAAGCCUCUGAUCAAGAUUAGAGCCACCACAUCAAUUAGACAUCUAGAUUAGCAUAGCUACAUAGGAUUAGAACUAGAAGGAGUCAAUCUUCGAUUGGUUUCCGGAUCUAUCAAGAGGAUUCUUGGUAAUUCUCUAAUUGUGCUUCUAAUUGUUCUUCUAAUUAUCUUUGUUCUUCAAUAUUAUGAAUAUGACUUUGUUCUACUUCAAUAUAUUGCUUAUGACUUUGCUCUACUUGUUUAUAUUCAAGAUUAUAUUGUUCUUAGUUUAUCAUAGUUAUAUACUUGGCUUAGUUAGAUUGGAUCUAUAUACAUGUUUAGGAUCCAUGGGUAAAUGAUAGAUAUUGUGUAGGCGUGGUGCUUAUACCGUAUUUAUCUGCGAUUGUACCCAAUAUGCCAGAUCGUGGGGUAGUUCGUGCUAGUGACAGCUUCAUUGAUUCUUAUAUAGUCCCCCUCUCGUGUAUUGGGCUGGCAGAGCAACAUUAUUACAAGAGAGUGAUUGCUAUGUUUCUCAUUUACCUUGCUAAUAUCACUAUGCAUGGGCGUAGUCUUGUCUCGCAAUGAUUGCUAAGUAUGCUUGCACUAACUAUGAUAAUGCUAGACUAUAUAGUUGAGAAUAACUUAGGAAAUAUUCUUGUAGUUCGUUCUAAUACCAUGCUAAUGACUUUCUAGAGUAUCUAAUUGAGGUGCUUACCAUAUUUAUAUGUGGCUAAGUUAUGCUGAUCAGAUUAAUUAUCUUUGUCACUAUUCAUUACUUCAUAUAUCUUUUAUGUGACACUUAUCCCUGUAUGAAAGAGUUAGAUAAAUGUUCUCAAUUAUACAUGCAAUGAUAGAUACUCAAUCUCAUAUUCCAUUCUAUAAUCAAUAUUGAUGAUUGUUAAUCCCUUCCCAGUGGUAAAAAUAUAAAUAACGAUACCUGGAAUACUUCCCAGUUAAAAUGCUACAUCGGUAUUAAUCUGUGUGCUUGCAGAUCCCAUUCAUUAUUUAUUUAGAAGAGCAAUUGCAUAUUUCAAUACCGCGUCUCUUAUGUCAUGAUGGGGAUGACAACUUGGCUUAAGUGGUAUGAGAGAUAGGUUUGGCAUUUUUGGCACCGUUAUCAGAAUUAGAAAACUGAGUCUACUUUUGGUAAUGAUGUUAAGAAUACCCAACAAAAACCUAACCAGUAACAAGACCUCGAUCAGGACACAAACUCAACACUACGGACUCUGAAACUAAAAUAUGCAAAAGCUAUGGCGCGGAUGGGUUGUAGGACAUGAAAACAAUAUGGCACUAGACUUAUGGGACGAACACAAGGACACUCGAAACUAAGGGCAGAUGUGAACCUAAUAGUAUGUCUGAAGCUUUGAUUACCACUUGAGGAGAACAAGUUUGGCCCGAUCUUCUAAAAGGUUCUGGUAACUAUCGAUUUGGUGGAAACGAGACACAAAUCAAUCCAGCUUGCAAACAACAUGAUUCGAAACCCUACAAUUCUUUUUAUUUUUUUUUAUAUUCUUCUUUAUUUAGGAGCACUCAAGAAGUAACCACAGGAGAUUUGAGCUUAAAACAAAGAAAGACGUGGCCUGUGGAAUUUUUUGAAGAUUGCGAAAAAUAUGAAAAUAAAGUUUAGGAGGUGAAAACUCAAAUUUUCUGAGGCGAGUUUGGGAAUUCAAAUUUGUCAAACCCGCCUAAGGCGGGGAUAGACAGAUCCAAAAUUUUUUUCUAAUCUAUUUUGAUAUAUGGAAUGUCAAAAUCGGAGUUCGUAUGCGAAAGUUAUGGCUGUUUUACGAACAGACUCUGAAUUAGAGGACAAAACGGUGCGGAAGUGGGAAAAAAUUUGCGGCGGUGGCUAGAAAUUGAUGGAGACAGUGGGAAGAAACACACAAAUUGGACUCUAACAAGACCUAACCAGUAACAAGACCUCGACCAGGACACAAACUCAACACUACGGAUCUGAAACUGAAAUAUGCAAAGGCUAUGGCGCGGAUGGGUUGUAGGACAUGAAAACAAUAUGACACUAGACUUAUGGGACAAACACAAGGACACUCAAAACUAAGGGUAGAUGUGAACCUAACGGUACGUCUGAUGCUUUGAUUACCACUUGAGGAGAACAAGUGUGGCCCGAUCUUCCAAAAGGUUCCGGUAACUAUCGAUUUGGUGGAAACGAGACACAAAUCAAUCCAGCUUGAGAACAACACGAUUCAAAACCCUACAAUUCUUUUUAUUUUUUUCUGAUAUUUUUCUUUUACUUAGGAGCACUCAAGAAGUAACCAAAGGAAAUGAGCUUAAACAAGUGAAAGAUGUGGCUUGUGGAAUUUUUUGAAGAUUGCAAAAAAUAUGAAAAAAAAACUUUAGGAGGUGAAAACUCAAACUUCAGAGGCGAAUUUGGGGAUUCUAAAAUUGUCGAACCCGCCCGUGACAGGGAUAGACAGAUCCAAAUUUUUUUUGAUCGAUUUUGAUAUACGGAACGUAAAAAUUGGAGUUCUUAUGUGAAAGUUAUGGCUGUUUUACGAACGGACUCCGAAUUAGAGGACAAAACGGUCCGGAAGUGAGAAACAUUUGUGGCGGUGGAUAGAAAUUGAUGGAAAUGGUGGGAAGAAACACACAAAUUGGACUCUAACAAGACCUAACCAGUAACAAGACCUCGACCAGGACACAGACUCAACACUACGGUCUCUGAAACUGAAAUAUGCAAAGGCUAUGCCGCGGAUGGGUUGUAGGACAUGAAAACAAUAUGGCACUAGACUUAUAGGGCGAACACAAGGACACUCGAAACUAAAGGUAGAUGUGAACCUAACGGUAUGCCUGAAGCUUUGACGUGGCCCGAUCUUCUGAAAGGUUCUGCUAACUAUCGAUUUGGUAGAAACGAGACACAAAUGAAUCCAGCUUGUGAACAACACGAUUCGAAACCCUACAAUUCUUUUUAUUUUUUUAUAUUUUUAUUUUACUUAGGAGCACUCAAGAAGUAACCACAGGAAAUUUGAGCUUAAACAAGUGAAAGACGUGGCCUGUGGAAUUUUUUGAAGAUUGCGAAAAGUAUGAAAAAAAACUUUAAGAGGUGAAAACCCAAACUUCAGAGGUGAAUUUGGGGAUUCCAAAAUUGUCGAACCCGCCUAUGGUGGAGACAGACAGAUCCAAAAAAAAUUUUCUGAUCGAUUUUGAUAUAUAGAAUGUAAAAAUCGGAGUUCAUAUGCGAAAGUUAUGGCUGUUUUACGAACGGACUCUGAAUUAGAGGAAAAAAUGGUCUGGAAGUGGGAAAAAUUUGCGGCGGUGGCUAGAAAUUGAUGGAAACGUGUCAACGAAAGCUAGUCGGCAGUCUACCUUGGGGUAUACCCACGGUAGUAGUUUAUCGGUAGACGGUGCGCAAGCUACGAACUUGAUGGUGACGCAAGACACGGACAAGGUUUUUAUCUUGGUUCGGCCGCCGUGAGGGCGUAAUACCUACGUCCUGCGUCUGAUUGUAUUGGAUUGUGUUGAGAGAAUAAUCUAUCCUAAGGGGGGUCCCUUGCCCUCCUUAUAUAGUCCGGAGGGCAGGGUUACAGAUCUAGAAACCAAUCCUAGUCGGUUACAAUUGCCAUAGAUAGUACGAUAUCAAUUCCUAUUCUAACCCACCAGAAUCCGGCUUGAUCUCCACGUCCUGUUUCCUUGCGCAAAACUCCAAGCAGUUGGAUCAAGCCUCGAACUGUCCUCGUGAUGGGCCAAGCCUUCUGGCCCAAGACUAGCCGUAAGGGUAUAAGGGUUUAUACCCCCACAGCUAGUCCCCGAGCACCAUGUAUUAUGAUGUUACACGUCGUCUUGAGCUUCUUCGAUCAGUGAGGCUUGACGUCUUCAAUAGGAAGGAAAGUCGCCAAAUAGUUGCAACGGUAUUUUGACCAACUCAAAAGACAGUUGAUCAACAUUGACAUCGAAGAAGCAGGUUUUUCGAAGAAUGCAUGGUGCUCUAAAUUAAAAAAGAUUUAUUUCCUAGUGAAGUGUGCCCACUUUACUUUUCUGAAAAGUAUAGACCUCAAAAAAGCAAGCAUAUUCACCGCAAGGUGAAGUGUGCCCACUUAGUCUCCGAGCCUGAUAGUAGGUGGCGUAGACACAUGGUGCCAGGUUCAAAAAGAUCUUCAUAGAAAUUUCAAAACUGUGAUGCAUCGCGAGAUGCAUCGUACCGAUGUAGUCCUUGAGCUUGCUGGAAAGCGAAGCAUGAACCUUGUAGCAAGGUCUAAAAAUUAAAUUUACCAGUCCCUGAGCAUAUUAGGUACGUCUGCGAAUAGACUAAUCGACCAGUCCCCUUACUCUUCAAAUUUGUGUGCUGAUCAACCAGUCCCCGAGCAUACAGUGCUCGGUGGUCGGUACAGUCCCCAUGACUUCAAAUUGAUGGGCUGGUCGACCAGUCCCCGAGCGUACUGUGCUCGGUGGUCGGUACAAUCCCCAGGACUUCAAAUUGAUGGGCUGGUCGACCAGUCCACGAGCGUACUGUGCUUGGUGGUCGGUACAAUCCCCAGGACUUCAAAUUGAUGGGCUGGUCGACCAGUCCCCGAGCGUACUGUGCUCGGUGGUCGGUAUAGGCCCCAGGUGUGUUACGCGUAAUCCUCCACCAAUUAUAUUUGUCUUUUGGAAAAAGUAUCCUGCCACAUUAAUGUGUGAUGUGACAAGACACCCUGACCUAUUGCCAAAUAGUUGCGUGAAAAGGUGCGCCGGGUAACUGUGCAGCCGCUCUUUGCGUUGUUCAAGAAAAAGAAACCAUCAAUUAUAUAGGAAAGCCCCCGUAUUAACUGCCGGUAAUUAUUGAAAACCGAAACGCCGCAUCCGCCGCAGGAGCCGCCCACUUCCCAAGAAUGUGGGAAAUGGAAGAGGUGGAGCCGUUGCCUAUAAAGACUCUACACCACGCCCGUAAUCUUUUACCCUGCCUUGGCCUUCAAACCUUCUAUCCUUGCCAUUUCUGCCUUCUGCAACCUCCAUCUCUAAUCGUCCAACUCACAAUCGCUUCCGCAGCGUCCAUGGCUAAGAGUGACUCGAAGAAGAGGGUUUAACUGAUGGCAAAGGAGUGGAAGAAGUCCCGGAGCAGCACGAGGUCACUCAACGACCUCGUCGGAAUGGGGCUACUUCACAGUCAAGAACUCUAUGGCUGGAGGUCGCCGGAAGGGCAAAGCUACCCCGACCCUCGUGCCGGUGAGAUUGUAGUUUUUGAAGAUUUUUUCAAGAGGGGCUUUGGGAUUCCUGUCCACCCUUUCCUCCAGGGUCUUCUUCUUUACUAUGAGGUCGGGAUCUGCAAUCUGCACCCGAACUCAAUUCUUCAUUUCUCCACCUUUAUUCAUCUGUGCGAGGCCAAUGUUAGAAUAGAGCCGCACUUCGACCUCUUUCGUUACCUUUUUUGUCUGUGGAAGGAAGGAGCAGUUGGAGGCUCCAAGAUUGCAGGUGGAGUAUACCUCAAUCUUCGUGAUGGGAUGAAGAACCGGUAGCUCAACUGCCCAUGGAACACUUCCCUCACUGAAUGGUACAAGAAGUGGUUCUAUAUCAGGGAAGAGCCGGGCAGCUCCACGUUCUGUGACAUGGGCUACAUCCCCGAGAAGAGGGUCAGCUGGACGGACCACCCGGACUUCACUAGUCAGGUGACCGACCCGAUGAAACUGAUCAACUAGUCCCGCUUAGACGGGCCAGGAGUGGUCGGUAACUUUAUUUGUCGUCGGGUGAUGCCCUGCCAGAGGAGGGUACACUCGGCAUACGAGUACGCGGGGAGCCAGGACCCGACCAGGAUGAGCCCUGAUGGUCUAGAGAAGGCAGAGGUGCAGCAGCUGAUGAACGAGUUGUUCAACUUUACAGACGACAACUUCGUUCGAAGCAGUGAUCGUAUGCAUGCCUUCAAGCUAGGGCGACCAGCUCCUAAGGUAAAUAAAUAAUGUUUUUGACUAGUAUUGCUUGUUGAGUACUUGGCCUCCGAAUUGAUGACUUGUCGUUGAUUCUUCUGCAGAUUGGAGACGUUGACCGGUGCGUAGUGUACGUGUCACUGGCACCUGGUAUGGAAAAUCCUGCGGGGAUGGACCCGCUAGAGGAUGACGCUGUCCCGCCCCGACCACCGAGGAUAGGGUAGCGGGGAAAUGGCCACUGGUAGUGGAUCAGUUCCCUACGGAGGCGUUGCCGGCAGAGAGCAGCCAAGCACCGAAGCGUCGUCGGCUAGUCAGGAUCGCCGACAACGAGGAGGAGGAGGAGGCGGCACCCUCUUUGGUUCAAAGGCCGCGCACUCGUCUGGACGUUGCGCCGGUCACCACUGGUCGGAUGACCAGCGAUCCUCCUACCCCACACGCCGAGCCGACGCGUGUUGGAGAGACAAGGGCAGCGGUGGCGACCGGUAGGACCAGGAGGAGGUUCUUUACAGCGACGCACAGGCGCUUCGAUCUGUAAGUUGUCUAAUCUUAAUUUCACACUUCGAUAUAUUUUGCGUUUUGCUGCUGCUACUUCUGACAUUGGUUAAAUGUCGCAUUUUUGUUAGCGCGGCGUCGGACGUUGACCCUGACAACAUUGCUAGCCGGGGGACGGCCAAGCCCGUGGUUGUCGUUGAAGAUACCGCGCCGCAGACUCCCAGGAGCAUGCCGAGGAGCAGCCCACGGUGGGGACCGUGGCGGAGACUGCCGAGGAGCACCCAGCUCCGGUGAGGACUGGAGCGGGCACCCCUACGAGGGAUGGAGAGUCUACGAGGACGCCUCCCCCACGCAGUGUUGCAGAGGAGGACGGAGCUCCAACUCCCCCGCCUGCUGAAGAAGGGAAGGUCCCAACCCCACCCCGAGCAGAGGCCUCAUCACCAAAGGACACCCCUGGCCUGGACCAGGGUCCAGUGAUGGCUGCGACCACGGCUGGGGGUAGUGCGGAGGGUGAAGGGACCCAAGCGGCCUCCGACGAUGAAGUGGAGGAGAUCUAGGGUCCCCCAAGAUGGUCGCCAACACGUUUACAUAUGGCGCCAACGCGGGGACCAUUUCAUUGGUCAUGAAGAACUCGCGGAGACGGAGGAGGCCGCGAGGGUGGAGCGCGCAGCCAAGUGACUUGUUGACGAGGUUAAGGUAAGUGGUCUUUUGCGCUACUCGAAAUGUAUAUGCAGCGUCUCUAGCUUCAAUAUACAUUCUUCCUGUAGGGCGCAAUGAAAACGGUGAAGUACCGGAAGAGGUGCUUCGACCAAAUUGAAGGAAUCGUGGCCGAGAAUAAGACAUUAGACACGGAAGUAGACCGUCUUCGGUCGGAGGCCGAGGAGAAGACGGCCGAGAUGGGUGCUCAGGAAGAGCGCCUGCUCGAUCUCAAUCGGCAAAUAGCCGACAAGGAUCGGGAAAGAAAAGGUUAGUCAUGUAUUCCGAGCAGUUUUAUAACUGCAUAGUCAUUUUUAUUGACCAGAAAUUGCCCCUGCAGACUUGGAGGAGGAGGUUGCACGCCUCCGACAAGAGAGAGAGAAGCUCGACCAGAAGCUUGCCGGGGCGCUGGAGACCGGGCGCCGAGCUGGCGAGGAGCUAAGCAACAAGAGUCGGGAGUUGUCCGGUAAGAACCGUGCUAUCCCUUUUUUCUUUGAUUGCUCAACUUUCCGUUUCUUGUUUGUAUACUGACCUCCCGCUUGGUUUAUAGUGCUCAAAGUAAAUACCAAGAAGCACUUCGACGAGCUGAUCAAGGACCGGGACUCCUAGAAGGCCAACUGCAUCAAACUUUGGAAAGGAGUGGCCCCGGUUCUUGAUUUGAUCAGCCCUGAGCUCCCUGAAGACCAGCCCCGCGCACCGAAGUUGACUCCGGUCGAGAAGGCGCAACGGGUGUGGGACUGGCUCCAGCAGUUUGUCAAGGACGCCGGGGAGUUCGCCGGUGCGCAUGUCCUCAGCAUGGUGCGCACCCACUACCCUCUGGUCGACUUGUCCAUACUGGAGAGGGGGUACCCCAAGGAGGUUGGUCCGCAGGAUGCAGACGACCUUCGUGUUGGUCUGCUUGACCUGUCGUCGACGGUGAUCGGCAACAUCAACCUCUGCGGGACGGCCACUCCCCCCGACCAGCCAGGGUCAGACAGAUUGGCCAGGGAGUUGUCGGGAGCGUCCCUUGCUGGAGAUGGGCGAUCAACGCCUGCGGUCUCGACCAGCCAGGCGCCGGUAGCCCCGACCCCUUCGACUGGGCAGCAAGGCCAAGCGGGUGAUCAGCCCGAGCAGUAGGCCUGUAGAGUAGUCUGUAGCAAUAGACUAGGGACCGCCCAGAGGGGUGUUUAUUGUAAAAUUUGUAUAUAAAGUUUGUAAUAAAGAUUGAUUUGUUGUAACCAUGGUUGUGAGCGCUGUAAUGUUGUCUGAGUGAUGUAUCACUGAAUUGGGUUAAUAAUCCUUAAGGAUUUUGAUCCCGGAGGGAGAUUGUUGUACUUGUCGAAAGCUCUACGUAAAAAAGUAUAUAGCGAAGAAGAGAAAAUUUUAUUAUUGAUAAUCAUAAGAAAUUUACAAACAAAAGGUACUGGAACUUAUGGAUAGAAACGGCGCAGGUUGUCUAUGUGCCAAGAAUUAGGCAGGCGUGUUCCGUCUGGGUACGCCAGUCUGUAAGAUGUAGGGCGUGUGACUUCGGCGACCACGAAGGGUCCUUCCCAAGGCGUGGAUAACUUGUGCGUUCCUUCCUAGCUUGUUUUCCACUUGAGUACCAGAUCACCGACCACGAAGGAGCGGUCUUUGACGUUCCUGUUGUGAUACCGCCUAAUGGCCUCGAGAUACUUUGCUGUUCGAAGGCAUGAGAUUAGGCGUCUUUCCUCCAUGCAGUUGAUUUCGAGCUCCCUGGCGAUGUCAGCCGAAGACUGGUCGAAAUUUUCGACUCUUGGAGAUCCAAAGGUUACGUCGGACGGGAGCACUGCCUCGGUGCCGUAAACCAUGAAGUAGGGUGAUACACCCGUGUUGCGACUAGCCUAUGUCCGGAGACCCCACGCCACGACCGGUAGCUCUUUCAUCCAUCGUCCAGGUGCUCUGUCGUUCUCGGUGUACAACCUUUUCUUUAAAGCAUCGAUAAUCAUUCCGUUCACGCGCUCUACUUGACCAUUAGCCCGUGGGUGAGCUACUGACACGUACUUUAUGACUAUGCCCCUGUCAUCGUAGAAGUCCCAAAAUGUAGUGCCAGUGAACUGAGUGCCCAGGUCGGUGAUUAUACUAUUGGGGAUCCCGAAUCUGUGUAUGAUUUGAUUAAGAAACUCCACAGCCUUCUCGGAGGUUGCUUUGACUAGUGGCAUGAAUUCGAUCAACUUCGAGAAUUUGUCGAUUAGUACGAAGACAAACUUGAAGUUGUCGGGGGCCGACUUAAAUGGCCCGAUCAUGUCGAGACCCCAGCAGGCGAAAGGCCAGGAGGACGGAAUGGUUUGAAUUUUGUGAGCGGGCACGUGGGUCCGCUUGGCAAAGAACUGGCAUCAUUCACAAUGUCGAACCAGUUUCUCAGCGUCGGCGACCGCUGUUGGCCAGUAAAAGCCUGCUCGGAAGGCCUUCCCGACCAGAGUUCUGGAGGCCGCGUGGUUGCCGCAGGACCCGGCGUGUAUGUCAUCUAAGAGCUUGAUGCCGACAUCUUGGGAUAUGCAUUUGAGCAAUACUUUGGAACUUGCGUUCUUUCGCAUAAGUUUGCCAUCCACCAGUAUGUAAUUUCUGGAUCGUCGAAUGAGGCGCUCGUUCUCCGUUUUGUCUUGAAAUUCCGAUCCAUCCGAUAUAUACCUGAUGAAGGGGGUGCGCCAAUCACGGCUGCUGCUUGCCGGAGUGGUGUCAUCUAUGAGCAUUGCCUCAUUGGGUUGCUUUUCGACCAGGUCUGUGCCCACACUUGGCACGUGGAUGUCCUGAACAAAAACGCCUUGCGGAAUCUGGGCCCGAGAUGAUCCUAACUUUGACAGCGCAUCCGCUGCGUGGUUCUUAUCCCGGACCACGUGGAUGUAUUCUAUGCCGUAGAAAUUGGAUUCCCAUUUGCGGAUUUCUUUGCAGUAGAGAUCCAUCUUCUCGUGGGUUGUGUCACAUUCCUUAUUUAGUUGGUUGAUGACUAGGGUGGAGUCGCCGUGGACGUAGAGGCGUUUGACUCCCAGUUCGACGGCCAAUCGUAUGCCGUGUAGGCAUGCUUUGUAUUCGGCGAUGUUGUUCGAUGUCGGGAAGAGGAUCCUAAGGACGUAACGUAGUUUGUCCUUGUUAGGCGACACGAAGAGUAUCCCGGCGCCGGCGCCAUUUAUGUUUAGGGAUCCGUCGAAGAACAUCGACCAGUGGUCAGGGGUGUCGGAGACGGAGGGCUCGUUGAGGUCCGUCCAUUCUGCAAUGAAAUCGACCAGGGCCUGAGACUUGACGGUAGUGCGGCUCUAGAAAUCCAGGGAGAAUGGGCAUAAUUCCAUUGCCCAUUUUACAAUUCUACCAUUGGCAUCUUUGUUGCGCAAAAUGUCCCCCAGGGGGAAACUGGUGGUUACCAAGACCCGAUGACCAUCAAAGUAAUGCUUCAGCUUCCUUGAAGUUAUUAAGAUGGCGUAGAUGAGCUUCUGUAUCUGAGGGUACCUGGUCUUGGACUCAUUUAAGACUUCGCUUAUGAAGUAGACUGGUCCUGCACUUUGUAUACGUGGCCUGGCUCGUCUCGCUCGACCACCAUUGCCGUGGAGACAACCCUAUCGGUUGCUGCGAUGUAAAGGAGUAGGUCUUCAUUGGGCUGAGGUGCUGUGAGAACGGGCGGUGAGGUGAGGAAAGUCUUGAGCUGGGUGAACGCAGCGUGAGCUUUCUCUGUCCAGGAGAAUUUUUCCAAUGCCUUUAAGAGUUUGAAGAAGGGGAGGCCUUUUUCUCCCAGUCUAGAGAUGAAACGGCUGAGAGCAGCCAUACAUCCGGUGAGCUUCUGAAUAUCCUUGACAUUCUUAGGUGGUCGCAUGUCGAGCACUGCUUUUACUUUUGAGGGAUUCGGUCGUAUGCCGUCGCGGCUGACGACGUUGCCAAGUAGUAGACUAGAGGGGACCCAAAAGAUGCACUUUUUGGGGUUAAGCUUCCACUUGUAUUUAUUUAGUGCCUUAAAGGUUCGGUCUAGGUUGUCGAUUAGAGUGCUCGCGUCCCUUGUUUUGACGACGACGUCGUCUACAUAUGCCUCGAUGAGGUCAUCACGAAUCUCGUCGUGGAGGCAUUGCUGAAUAGCCCAUUGAUAAGUGGCCCCAGCAUUUUUGAGCCCGAAGGACAUAGUCGUGUAGCAGUAUGCACCGAAAGGAGUGAUAAAAGAUGUUUUGAUCUUAUCGUCUUCCUUUAGCGAGAUCUGGUGAUAACCAGAGUAGCAGUCUAGAAAGGAGAGGAGUUCGCAUCCAGCCGUUGAGUCGACCACAUCGUCGAUGCGAGGGAGACCAUAGGGAUCUUUAGGACAAUGUUUAUUGAGAUCAGUGUAAUCAACGCAUAUUCUCCAUUCAUUGUUCUUUUUCCUUACAAGAACCGGAUUGGCAAGCCAAUCGGGAUGAUACACUUCUUUAAUGAAUCCGGCUGCUAGAAGCCGUGUUAUUUCUGUCCUAAUAGCCACCUUUUUGUCGCGAGCGAACCGUCGUAGCUUUUGCUUGAUGGGUCUUGCGGUCUUCGAGACGUUUAAGGAGUGCUCGAUCAGGUUUCGUGGGACGCCGGGCAUGUCUGCCGGUUUCCAUGCAAAAACGCUCACAUUGUCCCUUAGAAACCUGACGAGCGCGUCUUCCUAUUUAGUGUCCAGGUUGGCCCCGAUGAGGGCCGUCUUCUCGGGGCUGCCGUCGACCAGCUGUACUUCCUUGUGCUCUUUGGACUUUGAAUUUUUCCUCAGAGUCUCCUGCUCAGGUAGUCGGAGCUGGUCGGGUGGAAUCUACGUGGCUUGAGCUACGGUUUCUGCCAUGCGGAUCGAGAGGUCAAUCGCCUCGGUGAUCUUGAAGCUUUCCUCCUCGCAUGUGUAUGCGGUAUAGACAUUGCCUCUGACAGUUAGGACGCCUUUCUCUGUUGGCAUUUUAAGGACCAGGUAUGAGUAGUGUGGAACUGCCAUGAACUUUGUCAGCCCAGGAUUGCGUGGUAAGUUCCGUCGAAAUCGGCGACCACGAAGUUGACGAACUCUGUUCGAAAGUGGUCGGGCGUUCCAAAUUGGACGGGCAAUGUUAUUUGUCCGAGGGGUAUUGAGCUUUGACCCGGCAGAACUCCCCAGAACUGAGCGUCAUACGGCUUUAGCUGUGCCGGAGUUAUCUUGAGAGCAGGCAAGCUGUUGCGAAAGAGGAUGUCGAUGGAGCUUCCCCCGUCCACGAGCACGCACUCGAAUCUGACGCUGUUGAUGCAAGGAUCCAGGAUUAGAGGGAAACAUCCUGGUUUCGGGAUGGCGGCCCAUUGAUCCUUCCUGUUGAAGGAGAUCUCCCUGUGUGACCAGGGGGGAAAUUUUGGAUCGGCGAUCGGGCCGUCUGUGCUGUCCACGUUGAGGCAGGCUCUCUUCAGGAGCUUUCUUUCGCGCUUAGACUUGAUAGAAACUUUGCCUCCGAAGAUGGAGUGGACCACGUCGGUGGGACUGACAUACUAGUGUCGUGGGUCGCUAUCCUGGUCGUCAUCCUCGUCUUCGUGACCACGCCCGUCCUGCUUCCCGUUAUUCUUAGCAGAAUCUUCUUGAGCGGCCUGCCACGUGUAGAUGCUUUUAAGGACACAGCAUUCUUCCAUCAUGUGAUUGGACUUGGGUUGGAGUUGGCACGGUCCCUUCAACGUCUUGUUGUAGUCUUCCUGGUAGUCCCGCCGCCCAUUGGGGCGUUUGACCGUAUUCACCUCGUGAUCGUGGUCACGAGGGCGCUUGCCCCUGAAGUCAUCACGAUUAUCGCACCGCCUAUCCCAACCUUCUCUGUGGUCGCGGUUGUUAGGGCGACGAUGGUUCCUAUUGUCAAAACGACCAUGACUGUCGUCCCGUCGAGGAGGCUGGUCGGGACCUCUCGCAUCCUCUCGGAUGAGUUUUUCUGCGUCAUCAGCGUCGGCAUAGUUUUUUGCCAUGGCAAGGAGCUCGGCCAUCGUGGUCGGCCUUUUGCGCAGUAGCUUGUUCCUUAGUGCUUCGUGGAAGCGUAGCCCUUUGAUGAAAGCAGAUAUGGCCUCGUCGUGAGAAAUUUUCGGGAUUUUAAGGUGCAUAUCCGAGAAUCGUCGAAUGUAAUCGCGCAGAGGCUCGUUUUUCCUGUCCCUUAUCCUCUCAAGGUCGUACUUGUUCCCAGGCUGCUCACAGGUAGCGAUGAAAUUGUCCAUAAAUGCCUGGCGUAGUUCUUCCCAGGAGUCAAAAGAGUCCUCGGGCAGGCCAAGGAGCCAUUGAUGACCAGCCUGGUCGAGGACAACUGGGACGUAGUUAGCCAUGACGUGCUCAUCUCCUGCUGCUGAACGGACUGCAAUCUGGUAUAGAGUGAUCCAGUUUUCUGGGUUUUCCUUGCUGUCGUAUUUUUUAAGCUUCUCGAGUUUGAAGUUGCGGGGCCAUACGACUUGGCGAAGGUGCGAGGAAAACUGUCUCAGGCCGGGAGGGCCGUGCGCGGCAUCGUACUCAAUGCGCCGCAAGUUUUCAUGCACCGCUCUUUUCGUGGCGUGCCUGUUGAUGCGAUCCCGGUGUCCUUGGGAGGGAUGUUGUAUCGUAGAUCCCUGUCCUAGUUUACUUCCUGACCACGCCCUCGCUUCUGCUUGCGGUAGCCACCGGUGUCCCGACCACCGUCGCCGCGCCCAGCAUCCUUCCUACGAUUAUUGGGGGAGCAGUUGCGGUGGUGCUCGCUGAGUUGUGGUGAAGUCCGGCUGCGAUGAGUCUGGUCGGAAGAUACCUCUGCGUAGGAGAUAGCUUGGACCCUUUUGAGUAAGGUGGCUGUCUGUCCCAUCGCGGCGAUCAGGUGUGCGCGUACGCUGGAUCGGACGCCCUGGCACUCUGGAGUAUCAGGGAGUCAGUCCAGGUUUGCCAUAGCAACAGCCACAUUAGCACUUGGCGUUUUGUAGACUUGCUGAUCUCCGACCAUGUCGAAAGCUUCACUGAGGUUGUGGGGCACGAGUUGCCGUUCCUCAUCCGCGCGUCGCCGAGCACGGUCGGCAUUGCGUUGUUCAUGGAGCUGCUUUUGCUUGUCUGUCUCUGCAUCGACGACCGGUUCGUCGUUGCUGACAUUGAAGAUAAGAUCUCCCCGCCGGGGCGGAAAGAUCGGGAAGCGAGAGAAACCCAGAGGGUACGGUGGUAAAUCCAGGUCGUAAUCUACGUCCUCAGAGUUUAUAACCUCGGUGGGGAUGGCUGGAAGCCUGGUCGUUCGGUAGUUCUUGGAUUGACACCAUGUUGACGUAGUGGCGAGCCGGUCGACCGCUCUGUUUUGGUGACCAUCCCACCCUGUUGAAAAGGGAUUGGAUGUGCCGUGAGUAGUGAACGGCUGAGUUGUUUAGCCCAUAGGGAGGACUCUGGUCUGGGUCUGCCUUGAGUUCGGCGGACCGCCCCGUGGGGGUGGAGGUUAUUGUCAGGACGUCCCCAGUUGUUCGUGUGUGAUGACACGAGUUGGCCGGCGAGAGUCGAAAGAGUCUGUUGGCGCGACUUGAUCAGAUAGGCGUGAGAUCCCAUGUACCAGUCGGGAAGCUUCGAGGAGCCUGAGAUCAGCGCGAUCAAGGGCUCGGAAAAGAUCCGAGCCGUCGACCUUCUUUCCACUAUAACGAGGGAGCGGUGGUCGAGUGCUCGGUGUUAGCGUGAUCGGAGUCGACGCCGCUGUCGUCCCAGAUCGGAUCUUGGUUUCUUCCGAAGUCGCGAUCGCGGGGCCGCCGCCACGAGUCGUCCACGUGAUCUGGCCGAUGGUGAACGUGAGGACUUCAGGUACAGCCACGGAAGCUGGAAUGAUGACCAUCUUGUUCGCCGAGAGAGCUGUACGCACACCCCCUACCUGGCGCGCCACUGUCGACGAAAGCUAUUCAGCAGUCUACCUUGGGGUAUACCCACGGUAGUAGUUUAUCAGUAGACGGUGUGCAAGCUACGAACUUGAUGGUGACGCAAGACACAGACAAGGUUUUUAUCCAGGUUCGGCCGCCGUGUGGGCGUAAUACCUAUGUCCUACGUCUGAUUGUAUUGGAUUGUGUCGAGAGAAUAAUCUAUUCUAAGGGGGGUCCCUUGCCCCUCCUUAUAUAGUCCGGAGGGUAGGGUUACAGAUCUGGAAACCAAUCUAGUCGGUUACAAUUGCCAUAGAUAGUACGAUAUCAAUUCCUAUUCUAACCGACCAGAAUCCGGCUUGAUCUCCACGUCCUGUUUCCUUGCGCAAAACUCCAAGCAGUUGGAUCAAGCCUCGAACUGUCCUCGCGAUGGGCCAAGCCUUCUAGCCCAAGUCUAGCCGUAAGGGUAUAGGGGUUUAUACCCCCACACAAACGAUGGGAAGAAACACACAAAUUAGACUCUAACAAGACCUAACCAGUAACAAGACCUCGACCAGGACACAAACUAAACACUACGGACUCUGAAACUGAAAUAUGCAAAGUCUAUGGCGCGGAUGGGUUGUAGGACAUGAAAACAAUAUGGCACUAGACAUAUAGGGCGAACACAAGGACACUCAAAACUAAAGGUAGAUGUGAACCUAACGGUAUGUCUGAAGCUUUGAUUACCACUUGAGGAGAACAAGUGUGGCCCGAUCUUCCAAAAGGUUCUGCAAACUAUUGAUUUGGUGGAAACAAGACACAAAUCAAUCUAGCUUGCGAACAACACGAUUUGAAACCCUGCAAUUCAUUUUAUUUUUAUUUAUAUUUUUCUUUUACUUAGGAGCACUCAAGAAGUAACCACAGGAAAUUUGAGCUUAAACAAGUGAAAGACGUGGCCUGUGGAAUUUUUUGAAGAUUGCGAAAAAUAUGAAAAUAAAGUUUAGGAGGUGAAAACUCAAACUUCAGAGGCGAAUUUGAGGAUUCUAAAAUUGUCGAACCCCCCCAUGGCGGGGAUAGACAGAUCCAAAUUUUUUUUGAUCGAUUUUGAUAUAUGGAACGUCAAAAUCGGAGUUCGUAUGUGAAAGUUAUGGCUGUUUUACGAACGGACUCUGAAUUAGAGGACAAAACGGUCCGGUAGUGGAAAAAAUUUACGGCGGUGGCUAGAAAUUAAUGGAAAUGGUGGGAAGAAACGCACAAAUUGGACUCUAGCAAGACCUAACCAGUAACAAUACCUUGACCAGGACACAAGCUCAACACUACGGACUCUGAAACUGAAAUAUGCAAAGGCUAUGGCGCGGAUGGGUUGUAGGACAUGAAAACCAUAUGGCACCAGACUUAUGGGACGAACACAAGGAAACUCGAAACUAAGGGUAGAUGUGAACCUAACGGUAUGUCUAAAGCUUUAAUUACCACUUGAGGAGAACAAGUGUGGCCCGAUCUUCCGAAAGGUUCUGGUAACUAUCGAUUUGGUGGAAACGAGACACAAAUCAAUCCAGCUUGCGAACAACACGAUUCGAAACCCUACAAUUCUUUUUAUUUUUUUUGAUAUUUUUGUUUUACUUAGGAGCAAUCAAGAAGUAACCACAAUAAAUUUGAGCUAAAACAAGUGAAAGACGUGGCCUGUGGAAUUUUUUGAAGAUUGCGAAAAAUAUGAAAAUAAAGUUUAGGAGGUGAAAACUCAAAUUUUCAGAGGCCAAUUUGGGGAUUCUUAAUUUCUCGAACACGCCUUUCGUGGGGAUAUACUGAUCCAAAAAAAAUUUUCUGAUCGAUUUUGAUAUAUGGAACGUCAAAAUCGGAGUUCGUAUGCAAAAUUUAUGGCUGUUUUACGAACGGACUCCGAAUUAGAGGACAAAACGGUUCGGAAGUGGGAAAAAUUUGUGGUGGUGGCUAGAAAUUGAUGGAAAUGGUGGGAAAAAACACACAAACUGGACUCAAACAAGACCUCGACCAGGACACAUACUCAACACUACGGACUCUGAAACUGAAAUAUGCAAAGGCUAUAGCGCGGAUGGGUUGUAGGACAUGAAAACAAUAUGGCACUAGACUUAUGGGACGAACACAAGGACACUCAAAACUAAGGGUAGAUGUGAACCUAACGGUAUGUUUGAGGCUUUGAUUACCACUUGAGGAGAACAAGUGUGGCCCGAUCUUCCAAAAGAUUUUGGUAACUAUCGAUUUAUUGGAAACGAGACACAAAUCAAUCCAGCUUGCGAACAACACGAUUCGAAACCCUACAAUUCUUUUUAUUUUUUUGUGAUAUUUUUCUUUUACUUAGGAGCACUCCAGAAGUAACCAUAGGAAAUUUGAGGUUAAACAAGUGAAAGAUGUGGCCUGUGGAAUUUUUUGAAGAUCGUGAAAAAUACAAAAAAAACUUUAGGAGGUGAAAACUCAAGCUUCGGAGGCAAAUUUGGGGAUUCUAAAAUUAUCAAACCUGCCCAUGGUGGGGAUAGAUAGAUCCAAAAUUUUUUUUGAUACAUUUUGAUAAAUGGAACAUUAAAAUCGGAGUUCGUAUGUGAAAGUUAUGGUUGUUUUAUGAACGGACUCCGAAUUAGAGGACAAAACGGUCCGGAAGUCGGAAAAAUUUGCGGCGGUGGCUAGAAAUUGAUGGAAACGGUGGAAAGAAACAAACAAAUUGGACUCUAACAAGACCCAACCAGUAACAAGACCUCGACCAGGACACAAACUCAACACUAAGGACUCUGAAACUAAAAUAUGCAAAGGCUAUGGCGCGGAUGGGUUGUAGGACAUGAAAACAAUAUGGCACUAGACUUAUGGGACGAAAACAAGGACACUUGAAACUAAGGAUAGCUAUGAACCUAACGGUAUGUCUGAAGCUUUGAUUACCACUUGAGGAGAACAAGUGUGGCCCGAUCUUCCGAAAGGUUCUGGUAACUAUCGAUUUGGUGGAAACGAGACACAAAUCAAUCCUCCUUACGAACAACACGAUUCGAAACCCUACAAUUCUUUUUAUUUUUUUUGAUAUUUUACUUUUACUUAGGAGCACUCAAGAAGUAACCAUAGGAAAUGUGAGCUUAAACAAGUGAAAGACGUGGCCUGUGGAAUUUUUUGAAAAUUGCAAAAAAUAUGAAUAAAAAACUUUAGGAGGUGAAAACUCAAACUUCAAAGGCGAAUUUGGAGAUUCUAAAAUUGUCGAACCUGCCCAUAGCGGGGAUAGAUAGAUCAAAAAAAAAAUUUUCUGAUCAAUUUUUAUAUAUGGAACAUAAAAAUCAGAGUUCGUAUGCGAAAGUUAUGGUUGUUUUAUGAACGGACUCCGAAUUAGAGGACAUAACGGUCCGGAAGUGGGAAAAAUUUGCGGCGGUGGCUAGAAAUUGAUGGAAACGGUGGGAAGAAACACACAAAUUGGACUCUAACAAGACCUAACCAGUAACAAGACCUCGACCAGGACACAAACUCAACACUACGGACUCUGAAACUGAAAUAUGCAAAGGCUAUGCACGGAUGGGUUGUAGGACAUGAAAACAUUAUGGCACUAGACUUAUAGGGCGAACACAAGGACACUCGAAACUAAAGGUAGAUGUGAACCUAACGGUAUGUCUGAAGCUUUGAUUACUGUUGAUGGUCCUUAAGUACUAAAUUUAACCAUCAAAUAAACAUGGAAAAGGAUCAAUAUGCACCAAACAUCUAGAAUUAGGGUUUUAUCUAACAGAAUUCCACGAGCUUUGGUGUUUAUCUAUUUCUGCAGGGGGUUAUCAGAGAAUAUGGAGAGAAGGCCCACAUGUCACGUUUACAACGAGAUAAUUAUGUGUCGCACAAUUUUCCUUAAUCUAGAAGAGUCCAGAAACCACGGGAACGAACGGGCUCGGGGGCAGGGCGCCCGCCCACCCUCCUUGGGCGCUCGACCUAGGUUGGAGUCCAAACAUAACUCUUUUCAGGGACCAAGCUCCACCGACCUAAAGGAUGAAUCUAAACCAUGCAAUCAAGGUCGGUUUGAUCCGACGGCCCAAAUUCACUUGAAAGGACUAUAUAACCAAGGCCUCUCCACCCCUGGGGCAGAGAAGAUAAGAGGAGAAAUCAUUAUCAGAGGUAGCCAUCAAAGUUAUAGUUUAGAGCUUCUCUCCCACAGAGAAUUAGAAUUAGCUACUCCCUAAUCCUUCAAGUUUAGAGGUUUGAUUAGAUAGCAAUUAGAGAAGUAGAGCACUACGCUCUGGAUUCGGAUCUUCGGUAAUAAAGAUUGGUAUUGUUCAUAUCUUUCUCUAAUACUUUGUUCUAAUUGCAUUAUGUCUCUAUUUAUUAUGCUCUUAGUUUGCUCUAGUUCUAUAUUUGAUAUAGUUAUGAUUGAUAAUGAGUUUAUGUAUAAGUUUGCAAAGCGCUUAGCUCUUGACACGAGGGAGUUAAGUGGUAGAUCACAUGUGGGCGUGGUGCUUAGAUGUUAUUUACCUGCAAAUGUAUCCUAUUGGCCGGGUCGUGUGGUAGUUCGCGAUAGUGACAGCUUCGUUGAUUCUUAUAUAGUCCACCCUCCGUUGAUAGGAUAGGCAGAACUUGUAUUGCAGAGUAAGUCUUGCGAUGUUCUGAUUUACUUUAGCAAUGUUCCUUAUACAUGAAUGAAGAGUAUUUUAUGCUAUACAUGAUCUUGUAGAUAACUAGAGUAGAUUGUGACUUAGUAGAUAGUAGAUAAUUUACAAUCCAUUCUCUAGCUAAUCCGACGUCACCUACGUAUAUGAGGAGUAGUCUAUUUUCUAAUCGCUGUGUUAUUUACCCUUGUACUUAUAAUUCAUUAUCACUAUCUUUAUGGUUUACCCCUGCUAAAGUAAGUGACUGUGUGACGAGUUUCUCAUUAGUAAUAAUGUUCUUGGUCUAUGCCUUGAUAAAUUCUGUCCCUAAUUUAAUUUCAUCCCUUUUAUUCUCUUAAGCAAAAUUAUAAAUAACGAUACCUGGAAUACUUAUCCUGGUGAAAUGCUACAAUGAGGUGUUUUAUCUUUGCGCUUGCGGAUAGAAUGGAUUAUUUUCUAAAGAGCCUUUACAUUUAUAAAUACCUUUGUACACUUUGGCACCAUGCUGGGGAUGACAACCUAGUAUCUAAGUGGUGUUAGCUAGUGUCAACAAGCAUUUCUGGCGCCGUUGCCGAGGAGCAAAAGGGUAACACAUAGGAACGGUAAGGAAAGUCAGGAAAUCAGUCAAGGUUAUUCACAUAAAAUAUUAGACUAGACUUUAGAGAAAUAAUUGCAUAAAAACAGCUACUAAGUGAGAAAUUAUAACAAGGCACCUCUGCUUUGGCAGGUUCACCCGGUUGUUUUUCUAUGUUUAUAUUUUUAUACAGGGUAUAUCAGGAUUGACUUUGGGUACAUUCAACUCUUCAUCAUUAGAACCAAAGCAAUCAAGAAAGAAAGAAGAAGCUAGCUACCAAUUGUUGAAGCUAUGGCACAGAAGACCCUACAAGAAUUCUCUGCUCCAAGUCUUGAGAACAUUCCAACUGGUCCAAGAUUUGCAGUAGAAGAAGGAGUACCCGAGUUUGAGCUCAAGUCAAGCCUCAUCAAUUUGGUACAAGCUACACAAUUCAGUGGAAAGGCACAUGAAGAUGCUAGUGCACACUUGCAGAAUUUCUUAGAGAUUGGAAGCACAAUCCACAUCAACGGAGUCGACAAAGACGUCAUACUACUUUGCCUUUUUCCAUUCUCACUAGAAGGAAGAGCGAGGAAGUGGUUCUACACUCAUCAAGAUAACAUCAACAACUGGACGAACUUGUCAGAUGCCUUUCUAUCAAAGUUUUUCCCUAUAGGAAAAACAACUGCCUUAAGAGGAAACAUUGUCAGUUUCCAACAGUAGAAGACAGAAAAUAUUUCAGAAGCAUGGGAGCGUUUUCAAGGAUAUAUAUCAGAUUGUCCUCACCAUGGAAUGGCCACAUGGUUACUUAUGUAGACCUUCUACCAUGGAUUAACCCAGAAGGCUCGUGAGUGCCUAGAUGCAUCUGCUAAAGGAUCAUUCUUGGAGCUUACAAUUGGAAAAGCAGAGAUACUUUUGGAUAAGAUAGCAGAAAAUCAAAGCUGGUUCCAAGAUAAAGCUCAACAUUGUCAUCAAACUGAAGAAAUACCAGAAGAAGUAAAAGCACUAUCAACCAAAAUGGAAAAUUUGCUCCAUUGGAUUGACCAGAGGGCCAAGUUCAAAGAAGAUCAAAGGGCCAUUGAGACAGCAUACAAAUAUCAGCCUACCUCAAGUAAACCCAAUAGCAAAGGUAUGAAUUCAGGUAACACUUUCAAGCAACUUUCAUUAAAAGAGAUAAUUGCUCAACAAACAAAAACUAAUGAUGAAGUUAAACAAAGGCUUGAUACAAAUGAAUCAUCUCUAAAAGAUAUACACAAUAAAAUGGAUUUUCUAUUAACUGCCUUUCAUGAGCAAAACACUCUUAAUAAAAGGGUAGAACUUAAAUUAAUAAAGCUAGCUGCUGCACUGCCUUUUACUACUAACAUUGAGCAGGUAAAGAAUAUAACUACUAGACGAGGCAAAGCCACCAGAGAUCCCCCAUACCCAAAAGAGAAACAAAGAACAUCAGCACCAGUGCAACCAGCAGUGAUAGAAGAAGAAAGCCCAGUUGAAGCAGAAGAUCUGCUGCAACCACGAAGAACUGGAGAAAUGAGGAAAUAUUUUUACGACACCAACUAUGUGCCAUUUCCCAGAAGAAACAGAGGACAACAGUCGGAUGAGCAGUUUGGUAAGUUUGUAGAGGUCAUUCAGAAAUUAUAUGUCAACAUACCUCUACUUGAUGCCAUACAGGUACCCACAUAUGCAAAGUACAUCCGAGAUAUUCUUAACAAGAAGAGGCCACUGCCCACCACUGAGGUUAUCAAGCUGACAGAAGAAUGUAGUGCGGCCAUCCUCAAUAAACCACCAAAGAAGAAGAAAGAUCCAGGAUGCCCCACUAUUGAUUGCUCGAUCGGAAACCAACACUUCAACAAUGCAGUUUGUGAUCUCGGAGCAAGUGUCAGUGCGAUGCUAGCAUCAGUCUACAAAAAGCUAGAGCAUACGACCCUAGAACCAACAUCAAUGUGCCUACAACUAGCGGAUCAAUCAGUUCGAAACCCGUUGGGUAUCGCCGAGAACAUUCCAGUCAAGAUCAGAGAUUUCCUGGUGCCAGUAGACUUCGUAGUACUAGACAUGAGUCCUGACUCAAAAGUGUCCAUCAUCCUUGGAAGGCCAUUUCUGAGCACUGCCAAUGCCCACAUUGAUGCGGGAAGGCAGAAAUCAAGUUCAACAUAAACGGACAAGAAGAACACUUCACAUUCAAACCCAGACCAGAGAGAGACACUACAGUGAAGGAAGUUCAUGAAGAACCAUUGGAGACACCAUCUCCGGAGGAAGAUAAUUCAGAAGAUUAAAAGAUUUGGAGGUCCAGCUUGGGGGACCUAAAAAUCCCAAACCCUCACCGGGAGGUAAAUCGGUAUUUAUCCGCAUCAUUAAUUCUUGCAUAAUUAAUUCUUGCAUUAGUCAUAUUUAUUCAUAGCAUUAUUAUAAUAAUAAAAAGCCCCAUAUAAAUAAUAUUUAUGGUGUGUAACAACCCAUAUUUAUUAAUUAUUGUGGAGGCACAAAAAUAUUUUUCAUUAUCAUUUCAAAUAAAUUUCAAUUCUCAUAGAUUUUCCUGCAUUAUAUUUAAUUAUAGCAACCUUCUAGAAGCAUGACCCACACUCCUUGGGUCCCACAUGUCAUACACCACACCUGACAUACAUCCCAUCACAUUAUUUGAUCCACCAACAUGUCUCCACUAACCAGCACUUUUCCACCGGCCAACCACCACCCAUGAUGCAUUAUUUUGCGUAAGAAUUAAGCAAAGAAGGGCAGCCAAGAUGGGCACCACAAGUGGGUGCCCGCCCACCUAUAGAGGGCGCCCGCCCUGCCCCCUCUUCCUCCUAUAAAUAGCCACCUUCUACCUCCAUCUUCUUCACACAAGCAUUCCAGAAAACCACAUAAGUUUCAGUUUCUAGAGAAGGAGCUCUUCUAGUGAAGUGAGAAGAGAGUAGAGAGAAAGAGAAGAGUGGGAAAGAAGUUGGUAGUUUUUGAGUGAGAGAGUGAGUUUCACCUAGUAAGUAGUGAUCCCACUGUCCAAAACGGAAGUAAAAGUUGUUUAAGGGGGAGGUUCUGCCAAAAUAGAAACUUGUCUUAAAUGACUAACCCCUGGACUACUGACAUUCCGGACAGCUAACCACUAACAUUUUCUCUCACAUUUUCCACUAGUUGUGUUUUUGCCAGCUUUUGUUUACAGGAUGUUCAAGAAGGUGAAGAACGCAGGGAAGGCUCUCAAGAACAUUGGUACAAGGAGUUCAUCCCGACACUCCUCACACCCAUCAGAGAUGAGCGUCGACCCGACGCCCACACAAGCUCCAUCAUCUUCAUCUAAUCAGCAAGUCAAGGUCCUUCUCAAGAUAGGAGACCUUGGACUAAAGACCCGAAGAGAGAAGGAAGUAUACCAGCAACUGAAGAACAAAGAUUUCAUUCACACCCCUACUCUUGAUCCAAUCUUGCUACAAGAAACAGGUAUGGACACUGAAUUCGACUUAAUUUUCCAGAUGUUAGGUUGGACAAAUUUUUGGAAUAUAACUGAGCUGGGUUCUCGUCUUCUCACCCUCGAAUUUCUUUGCACUUUACAAUAUUAUGAGGGGGGAAUUGUUUUUCGGAUGUUCAAACAGGAGAUUAUGUUGUCUUGGAGAGAACUGACCGACCAUCUUGGUUUCUCUUCAAGAUGCAUCCUUAACAUUGACUCCGACCUACCCAAUUUUGAGAGACACCAGUACUGGAGAGAGAUAUCUAGAGAUAAUUUUUAUAGUCAAGCCCAAACCAGUGACAUGGAACACCCCACUCUUAGGAUGUUCCACAAAUGGCUUCGGUACAAUCUUUUCUAUCGUGAUGAUAUUAGGAAAGUAAGAGUAGGAGAUUUGCAACUUUUAUAUGCUGCUAUUAAUAAAGUACCCACUUCACCUGUUACACUUUUAGUUUCUCAUUGGCUUAGUAUACCUAGUCUUCAGGGACCAGUAGGAUGUACUUCACUUAUCACUCGUCUAGCCUCUAAUCUUCACUUGCUAGAAAACUCGUCGUUGGACUUCAUAGAUGAGUUAAGAAUUUAUCAUGGCUAUGACACAUUUAGACAAGCUCAGAUGUUAAAGAAAGAGGGGAACAUAAUGUAUAUGCUAUAUGAUGAUAAAGGCAAGAUUCAGUUAUCUAACCCGAACCUUGGCCUCUACGUUGUUCAAAAUUUUUUGAUUGAGAUUGCAGCAACAACGGUGAACCAGAGAGCUCCACAACGAGUGGCAUCUAAAAGGAUGACCACCCAUCAAGAACGCACCUGGUAUGGAGCUGAUCCCGGGCUAGAAGAAGCAGCGCACCUGCAUUAUCGCGACUACAACCCUUGAGUCCUUCGAGACCCAUGGGUUCGACAUGCGCAACCACAAGAGCCUACACAGGAGACAUGGCCGGAGAGCCAAGAUCACCAGUGGACAAACCCACCUUUUGAUACGGGCAGGUACUCCACUGAUCCAUAUGGAGCUUCAGGAUCCUGACCUCCACCCCAAUUUGAUGCAGGACGAUACUCCGACGCCUCCUACGCUUUCACGAAUGACUACUACCAAGUGGCCGACGCUUUCUUCACCCGUACCGACAACACCCUCCUCAACAUCCAGAACACGCAAGCAGAAUAUGGACGACUCCUGGAAGAGCAACAAAAAUGGAACCAGGACCACGCCACUGCAGUACAAGAGCUGAGACAAGAUACAACAACAAUGAACGACAACAUCACAACCAUGAUGUGGUUCUGGAACAUCGGGUAAGACCGACAUCAACAUCCAGCUUGGGGGAGUUCCUCCCCAAUUUAUCAAGUAAGUUUUUAUUUGCUCUUCUUAUUUAUUCUUUUCUAUUUUAGUAUUUUAUCUUAAAGAGAAAAACUUAGAAAACCCAAUAAAUUUUUUUUGCUUUAAUUUACUGCAUUUUAUAAACAUGAAAACAAAAUAAAAAGAGUGUGUAGAUAAGUGUGCUUUAUUUAUCUGCUAAGUGUUAAUCUCUAGAAAAAUAAAAAGACCAAAAAGAUGCAUGAUGGAAAUGAUGAACAGUUGCUCUGUUUGCUUACUUUCAAGUACCUAGCUUUUAUAUUAGAAUUCUUCCAGGAAUUACUAAAAACUAAAAUUAUUAUCUAUGGGAAACAUAAAACUAAAAGUCUAGGUAAGAGAAAGGCAUGAUAUAAAGUUUGAGCUGUUGUUUAUCUUGUUCCUACUACACUAAGUUCUGGAGAUUUAUUUUGGAAACUUACAAAUCACAUGAUGAGUUACUAGCAUUACAAAAUUCCUGCCACAGCCAUACUUGCUAUAACAUCUUUUAUUCACAUUGAGUUUGAUCGAGCUAUGUAGACCCUUAGGAGCAUUUCAUGUGGUUAAAUUAAGAUAUUCACUUGCACACAUCUACUACACCAUUCACCACCAUUCAUUAAAAAUUGCUAAAAAUAAUAUUAUCACUCACUGUCCCAAAUGUUGUUAUUCUCUCUCUAAAAAUAUUCAAUGCAGAAGAGGCAUGGGUUAUGCAAAAAUAUGCGAGGAAAUAAAAAGGGGCAAGUGCCCGGAACCUCGGAAAAGAAAGAAAAUGAGUGAGACGAGAGGUAAAAAUGGACAAGUGUCCGGAGUAGAAUUAGGGGUACAAAGAUGCCCACUUGAGCGGAAAAAAAUGGACAAGUGUCCGACAGUACAAUUAGGGGUAUCUACUACCCACCUGAAAAAAAGAAGAAAAAGAUAGCCCAUGUUCUCCCAAAGCAAAGAUCAAAGAAGAGGAGAGGUAGCAAUAUGAGGAGCAAUGAGAAGUGAGCUUUAUCAUUACCUAUAUUUUCACCAUCACUAUCAUUUACUCCAUCACACAUGCACAUCUUGAUUUAAUUAUAUGCUGAGUUCCUUUAGGAUCCAUGGCUCAAUUAGACAACAUAUGUAUGAGCUGUUUUUCACUCCUAUGAGCUCCACUUAAAUAUUCCAUUAGCUAUAGGUAAGUGACAUUUUGGUAAGGAUCCACAAAUACCACAUAUAGAGAGACUUGAGAGAAUCAUUGCUGGGAACUCUGAGUUUUAUUUUGAAAACUCAUGAAAAACUCUGGAACAAAGGUGAAGUAUAGAUAGGAGGAAUAGUGCUUGACUUAAUAUUUUGUCUUGCAAUUACUUAAGACUUAAGUGCAGGUACUAAGCUCCAUAACACUUCACUCUAAUCUAGAAAAAUUUUAUAAAAGCAUGUGUGCCUGUCAGGAAAGAAAACAUCAAAGCAACUCCUGAUCCAUCUGAGUUUAGCUGUUUGCUCAGGGAUGAGCAAAGGGUAAGCUUGGGGGAGUUUGUUGACGGUCCUUAAGUACUAAAUUUAUCCAUCAAAUAAACAUGGAAAAGGAUCAAUAUGCACCAAACAUCUAGAAUUAGGGUUUUAUCUGACAGAAUUCCAUGAGCUUUGGUGUUUAUCUAUUUCUGCAUGGGGUUAUCAGAGAAUAUGGAGAGAAGGCCCACAUGUCAUGUUUACAACGAGAUAAUUAUGUGCUGCGCAAUAUUCCUCAAUCUAGAAGAGUCCAGAAGCCACGGGAACGAACGGAAGACCGAACGGGCUCAGGGCCAGGGUGCCCGCCCACCCCCCUUGGGCGCCUGCCCUGGGUCGGAGUCCAAACAGAACUCUUUUCGGGGACCAAGCUCCACCAACCUAAAGGAUGAAUCUAAACCAUGCAAUCAAGGUCGGUUUCAUCCGACGGCCCAAAUUCACUUGAAAGGACAAUAUAACCAAGGCCUCUCCACCCCUGGUGGAGAGAAAAGAAGAGGAUAAAUCAUUAUCAGAGGUAGCCAUCAAAGUUAGGGUUUAGAGCUUCUCUCCCACAGGGAAUUAGAAUUAGCUAAUCCCUAAUCCUUCAAGUUUAGAGGUUUGAUUAGAUAGCAAUUAGAGAAGUAGAGCACUACGCUCUAGAUUCGGUUCUUCGGUAAUAAAGAUUGGUAUUGUUCAUAUCUUUCUCUAAUACUUUGUUCUAAUUGCAUUAUGUCUCUAUUUAUUAUGCUCUUAGUUUGCUCUACUUCUAUAUUUGAUAUAGUUAUGAUUGAUAAUGAGUUUAUGUAUAAGUUUGCAAAGCGCUUAGCUCUUGACGCGAGGGACUUAAGUGGUAGAUCACAUGUGGGUGUGGUGCUUAGAUGUUAUUUACCUGCAAAUGUAUCCUAUUGGCCUGGUCGUGUGGUAGUUCACGAUAGUGACAGCUUCGUUGAUUCUUAUAUAGUCCAGCCUCCGUUGAUAGGAUAGGCAGAACUUGUAUUGCGGAGUAAGUCUUGCGAUGUUCUAAAUUACUUUAGCAAUGUUCCUUAUACAUGAAUGAAGAGUCUUUUAUGCUAUACAUGAUCUUGUAGAUAACUAGAGUAGAUUGUGACUUAGUAGAUAGUAGAUAAUUUAGAAUCCAUUCUCUAGCUAAUCCGACGUCACCUACAUAUAUGAGGAGUAGUCUAUUUUCUAGUCGCUGUGUUAUUUACCCUUGAACUUAUAAUUCAUUAUCAUUAUCUUUAUGGUUUACCCCCUGCUAAAGUAAGUGACUGUGUGACGAGUUUCUGAUUAGUAAUCAUGUUCUUGCAAGUUUAUCUCUAGUCUAUGCCUUGAUAAAUUCUGUCCUUAAUUUAAUUUCAUCCCUUUUGUUCUCUUAAGCAAAAUUAUAAAUAACGAUACAUGGAAUACUUAUCCUGGUAAAAUGCUACAAUGAGGUGUUUUAUCUGUGCGCUUGCGGAUAGAAUGGAUUAUUUUCUAAAGAGUCUUUACAUUUAUAAAUACCUUUGUACACUUUGGCACCAUGCUGGGGAUGACAACCUAGUAUCUAAGUGGUGUUAGCUAGUGUCAACAAUUACCACUUGAGGAGAACAAGUGUGGCCCGAUCCAUUCUGGUAACUAUCGAUUUAGUGGAAACGAGACACAAAUCAAUCCAGCGUGCGAACAACACGAUUCGAAACCCUACAAUUCUUUUUUUUAUAUUUUUCUUUUACUUAUAAGCACUCAAGAAGUAAUCAUAGGAAAUUUGAGGUUAAACUAGUGAAAGAUGUGGCCUGUGCAAGUUUUUGAAGAUUGCAAAAAAUAUGAAAAAAAAACUUUAGGAGGUGAAAACUCAAACUUCAGAGUCGAAUUUGAGGAUUCUAAAAUUAUGAAACCUGCCCAUGGCGGGGAUAGACAGAUCCAAAUGUUUUUUUUGAUCGAUUUUUAUAUAUGGAACAUCAAAAUCGGAGUUUGUAUGCGAAAGUUAUGGCUGUUUUACAAACGGACUCCAAAUUAGAGGACAAAUCGGUCCAGAAGUGGAAAAAAUUUGCGGCGGUGGCUAGAAAUUGAUGGAAACGGUGUGAAGAAACAUACAAAUUAGACUCUAACAAGACCUAACUAGUAACAAGACCUAGACCAGGACACAAACUCAACACUACGUACUAUGAAACUGAAAUAUGCAAAGGCUAUGGCGCAGAUAGAUUGUAGGACAUGAAAACAAUAUGGCACCAGACUUAUGGGACGAACACAAGGACACUCGAAACUAAGGGUAGAUGUGAACCUAACGGUAUGUGUGAAGCUUUGAUGACCACUUGAGGAGAACAAGUGUGGCCCAAUCUUGCGAAAGGUUCUGGUAACUAUCGAUUUGGUGGAAACGAGACACAAAUCAAUCCAGCUUGCGAACAACACGAUUCGAAACCCUGCAAUUCUUUUUAUUAUUUUUUUUGAUAUUUUUCUUUUACUUAGGAGCACUUAAGAAGUAACCACAGGAAAUUUGAGCUUAAACAAGUAAAAGACGUGGCCUGUGGAAAUUUUUGAAGAUUGUGAAAAAUAUGAAAAUAAACUUUAAGAGGUUAAAACACAAAAUUCAGAGGCGAAUUUGGGGAUUCUAAAUUUAUGGAACCCGCCUAUGGAGGGUAUAGACAGAACCAAAAAUUUUUUUUAUCGAUUUUGAUAUAUGGAACGUCAAAAUCGGAGUUCGUAUGCGAAAGUUAUGGCUGUUUUACGAACGGACUCCGAAUUAGAGGACAAAACGGUCAGGAAGUGGGAAAAAUUUGCGGCGGUGUCUAGAAAUUGAUGGAAACGGUGGGAAGAAACACACAAAUUGGACUCUAACAAGACCUAACCAGUAACAAGACCUCGACCUGGACACAAACUCAACAGUACAGGCUCUGAAACUGAAAUAUGCAAAGGCUAUGGUGCGGAUAGAUUGUAGGACAUGAAAACAACAUGGCACCAGACUUAUGGGACGAACACAAGGACACUCGAAACUAAGCGCAGAUGUAAACCUAAUGGUAUGUCUGAAGCUUUGAUUACCACUUGAGGAGAACAAGUGUGGCCCGAUCUUCCGAAAGUUUAUGGUAACUAUCGAUUAGGUGGCAACGAGACACAAAUCAAUCCAGCUUGCGAACAACACGAUUCGAAACCCUAUAAUUCUUUUUAUUUUUUUUGAUAUUUUUCUUUUACUUAGGAGCGCUCAAGAAGUAACCACACGAAAUUUGAGCUUAAACAAGUGAGGGACGUGGCCUGUGGAAUUUUUUUUAGAUUGCGAAAAAUAUGAAAAUAAACUUUAGGAGGUGAAAACUCAAAUUUAAGAGCCGAAUUUGGGGAUUCUAAAUUUGUCGAACCCGCCUAUGGAGGGGAUAGACAGAUCCAAAAUUUUUUUGAUUGAUUUUGAUAUAUGGAAGAUCAAAAUCGGAGUUCGUAUGCGAAAGUUAUGGCUGUUUUACGAACGGACUCCAAUUUAGAGGACAAAACGGUCCGGAAGUGGGAAAAAUUUGCAGCGGUGGCUAGAAAUUGAUGGAAACGGUGGGAAGAAAAGCACAAAUUAGACUCUAACAAGACCUAACUAGUAACAAGACCUCGACCAGGACACAAACUCAACACUACGGACUCUGAAACUGAAAUAUGCAAAGGCUAUGGCGCGGAUAGAUUUUAGGUCAUGAAAACAAUAUGGCACCAGACUUAUGGGACGAACACAAGGACACUCGAAACUAAGGGUAGAUGAGAACGUAACGGUAUGUCUGAAGCUUUGAUGACCACUUGAGGAGAACAAGUGUGGCCCGAUCUUGCGAAAGGUUCUGGUAACUAUCGAUUUGGUGGAAACGAGACACAAAUCAAUCCAGCUUGCGAACAACACGAUUCGAUACCCUGCAAUUCUUUUUAUUUUUUUGAUAUUUUUCUUUUACUCUGGAGCACUCAGGAAGUAACCACAGGAAAUUUGAGCUUAAACAAGUGAAAGACGUGGCCUGUGGAAUUUUUUGAAUAUUGUGAAAAAUAUAAAAAAACAUUAGGAGGUGAAAACUCAAAUUUAAGAGGCAAAUUUGGGGAUUCUAAAAUUGUCGAACCCGCUAAUUGCGGGGAUAGACGGAUCCAAAAAUUUUUUCUGAUCGACUUUUAUAUAUGGAAUGUCAAAAUCGGAGUUUGUAUACGAAAGUUAUGGCUGUUUUACGAACGGAGUUCGAAUUAGAGGACAAAAUGGACCGGAAGUGUUAAAAAUUUACGGCGGUGGCUAGAAAUUGAUGGAAACAGUGGGAACAAACACACAAAUUGGACUCUAACAAGACCUAACAAGUAACAAGACCUUGACCAGGACACAAACUCAACACUACGGACUCUGAAACUGAAAUAUGCAAAGGCUAUGGCGCGGAUAGAUUGUAGGACAUGAAAACAAUAUGGCACCAGACUUAUGGGACGAACACAAGGACACUUGAAACUAUGGGUAGAUGUGAACCUAACGGUAUGUCUGAAGCUUUGAUGACCACUCGAGGAGAACAAGUGUGGCCCGAUCUUGCGAAAGGUUCUGGUAACUAUCGAUUUGGUGGAAACGAGACACAAAUCAACCCAACUUGCGAACAACAUGAUUCGAAACCCUGCAAUUCUUUUUAUUUAUUUUUUUUAAUAUUUUUCUUUUACUUAGGAGCACUCAAGAAGUAAUUUGAGCUUAAACAAGUGAAAGACGUGGCCUGUGGAAUUUUUUGAAGAUUGCGAAAAAUAUGAAAAACAAAACUUUAGGAGGUGAGAACUCAAACUUCAGAGACGAAUUUGGAGAUUCUAAAAUUGUCGAACCCGCCUAUGGAGGGGAUAGACAGAUCCAAAAAUUUUUUGAUCAAUUUUGAUAUAUGGAACAUAAAAAUCGGAGUUUGUAUGCGAAAGUUAUGGCUGUUUUACGAAUGGACUCCGAAUUAGAGGACAAAACGGUCCGGAAGUGGGAAAAAUUUGCGGAGGUGGCUAGAAAUUGAUGGAAACGGUGGGAAAAAACACACAAACUGGACUCUAACAAGACCUAACCAGUAACAAGACCUCGACCAGGACACAAACUCAACACUACGGACUCUGAAACUGAAAUAUGCAAAGGCUAUGGCGCGGAUGCGUUGUAGGACAUGAAUACAAUAUGACACUAGACUUAUGGGACGAACACAAGGACACUUGAAACUAAGGGUAGAUGUGAACCUAACGGUAUGUUUGAAGGUUUGAUGUCCACUUGAGGAGAACGAGUGUGGCCCGAUCUUGCGAAAGGUUGUGGUAACUAUCGAUUUGGUGGAAACGAGACACAAAUCAAUCUAGCUUGCGAACAACACGAUUCGAAACCCUGCAAUUCUUUUUAUUUUUUUGAUAUUUUUGUUUUACUUAGGAGCACUCAAGAAGUAACCAUAGGAAAUUUGAGCUUAAACAAGUGAAAGACGUGGCCUGUGGAUUUUUUUGAAGAUUGCAAAAAAUAUAAAACAAACUUUAGGAGGUGAAAACUCAAAAUUAAGAGGCAAAUUUGGGGAUUCUAAAAUUGUCGAACCCGCCUUUGGCGGGGAUAGACAGAUACAAAAAAAAUUUCAGAUAUAUUUUGAUAUAUGGAACGUCAAAAUCGGAGUUCGUAUGCGAAAGUUAUGGCUGUUUUACGAACGGACUCCGAAUUAAAGUACAAAACGGUCCGGAAGUGGAAAAAAAUUGCGGUGGUGGCUAGAAAUUGAUGGAAACUGUGGGAAAAAACACACAAACUGGACUCUAACAAGACCUAACCUGUAACAACUCGACCAGGACACAAACUCAACACUACGGACUCUGAAACUGAAAUAUACAAAGGCUAUGGCGAAGAUGGGUUGUAGGACAUGAAAACAGUAUGGCACUAGACUUAUGAGACGAACACAAGGACACUCGAAACUAAGUGUAGAUGUGAACCUAACGGUAUGUCUGAAGCUUUGAUUACCACUUGAGGAGAACAAGUGUGGCCCGAUCUUCCGAAAGGUUCUGGUAACUAUCGAUUUGGUGGAAACUAGACACAAAUCAAUCCACCUUGCGAACAACACGAUUCGAAACCCUGCAAUUCUUUUUAUUAUUUUUUUGAUAUUUUUCUUUUACUUAGGAGCACUCAAGAUGUAAUGUGAGCUUAAACAAGUCAAAGACGUGGCCUGUGGAAUUUUUUGAAGAUUGCGAAAAAUAUGAAAAAAAACUUUAGCAGGUGAAAACUCAAACUUCAGAGGCGAAUUUGGAGAUUCUAAAAAUGUCGAGCCCGCCUUUGGAGGGGAUAGACAGAUCCAAAAUUUUUUUGAUCAAUUUUGAUAUAUGGAACAUUAGAAUCGGAGUUCGUAUGCGAAAGUUAUGGCUGUUUUACGAACGGACUCCGAAUUAGAGGACAAGUCGGCCCGGAAGUGGGAAAAAUUUGCGGCGGUGGCUAGAAAUUCAGGAAACGGUGGGAAGAAACACUCAAAUUGGACUCUAACAAGACCUAACCAGUAACAAGACCUCGACCAGGACACAAACUCAACACUACGGACUCUGAAACUGAAAUAUGCAAAGGCUAUGGCGCACAUAGAUUGUAGGACAUGAAAACAAUAUGGCACCAGACUCAUGGGACGAACACAAGGACACUCAAAACUAAGGGUAGAUAUGAACCUAACGGUAUGUCUGAAGCUUUGAUGACCACUUGAGGAGAACAAGUGUGGCCCGAUCUUGCGAAAGGUUCUGGUAACUAUCGAUUUGGUGAAAACGAGACACAAAUCAACCCUGCUUGCGAACAACACGAUUCGAAACCCUGCAAUUCUUUUUAUUUUUUAUUAUAUUUUUCUUUUACUUAGGAGCACUCAAGAAGUAAUUUGAGCUUAAACAAGUGAAGAUUGCGAAAAAUAUGAAAAAAAAAACUUUAGGAGGUGAGAACUCAAACUUCAGAGGCGAAUUUGUAGAUUCUAAAAUUGUCGAACCCGCCUAUGGAGGGGAUAGACAGAUCCAAAAAUUUUUUGAUCGAUUUUGAUAUAUGGAACAUCAAAAUCAGAGUUUGUAUGCGAAAGUUAUGGCUGUUUUACGAACGGACUCCGAAUUAGAGGACAAAACGGUCCGGAAGUGGGAAAAAUUUAUGGAGGUGGCUAGAAAUUGAUGGAAACGGUGGGGAAAAACACACAAACUGGACUCUAACAAGACCUAACCAGUAACAAGACCUCGACCAGGACACAAACUCAACACUACGGACUCUAAAACUGAAAUAUGCAAAGGCUAUGGCGCGGAUGCGUUGUAGGACAUGAAAACAAUAUGGAACUAGACUUAUGGGAUGAACACAAGGACACUUGAAACUAAGGGUAGAUGUGAGCCUAACAGUAUGUUUGAAGCUUUGAUGACCACUUGAGGAGAACAAGUGUGGCCCGAUCUUGCGAAAGGUUCUGGUAACUAUCGAUUUGGUGGAAACGAGACACAAAUCAAUCCAGCUUACAAACAACACGAUUCGAAACCCUGCAAUUCUUUUUAUUUUUUUGAUAUUUUUCUUUUACUUAGUAGCACUCAAGAAGCAACCAUAGGAAAUUUGAGCUUAAACAAGUGAAAGACAUGGCCUGUGGAAUUUUUUGAAGAUUGUGAAAAAUAUAAAAAAAACUUUAGGAGUUGAAAACUCAAAAUUAAGAGGCAAAUUUGGGGAUUCUAAAAUUAUCGAACCCGCCUUACGCGGGGAUAGACAUAUACAAAAAAAUUUUCAGAUCGAUUUUGAUAUAUGGAUCGUCAAAAUCGGAGUUCGUAUGCGAAAGUUAUGGCUGUUUUACGAACGGACUCCGAAUUAGAGGAUAAAACGGUCCGGAAGUGGAAAAAAUUUGCGCUGGUGGCUAGAAAUUGAUGGAAACUGUGGGAAAAACACACAAACUGGACUCUAACAAGACCUAACCAGUAACACCUCGACCAGGACACAAACUCAAAACUACGGACUCUGAAACUGAAAUAUGCAAAGGCUAUGGCGCAGAUGCGUUGUAGGACAUGAAAACAGUAUGGCACUAGACUUAUGGGACGAACACAAGGACACUCGAAACUAAGUGUAGAUGUGAACCUAAUGGUAUGUCUGAAGCUUUGAUUACCACUUGAGGAGAACAAGUGUGGCCCGAUCUUCCGAAAGGUUAUGGUAACUAUCGAUUUGGUGGAAACUAGACACAAAUCAAUCCACCUUGCGAACAACACGAUUCGAAACCCUACAAUUCUUUUUAUUAUUUUUUUGAUAUUUUUCUUUUACUUAGGAGCACUCAAGAAGUAAUUUGAGCUUAAACAAGUGAAAGACGUGGCCUGUGGAAUUUUUUGAAGAUUGCGAAAAAUAUGAAAAAAAAACUUUAGCAGGUGAAAACUCAAAUUUAACAGGCGAAUUUGGGGAUUCUAAAUUUGUCGAACCCGCCUAUGGAGGGGAUAGACAGAUCCAAAAAAUUUUUGAUCAAUUUUGAUAUAUGGAACAUCAAAAUCGGAGCUCGUAUGCGAAAGUUAUGGCUGUUUUACGAACGGACUCCGAUUUAGAGGACAAAUCGGUCCGGAAGUAGGAAAAAUUUGGGGCGGUGGCUAGAAAUUGAUGGAAACAGUGGGAAGAAACACACAAAUUGGACUCUAACAAGACCUAACCAAUAACAAGACCUCGACCAGGAUACAAACUCAACACUACGGACUCUGAAACUGAAAUAUGCAAAGGCUAUAACGCAGAUAAAUUGUUGGACAUGAAAACAAUAUGGCACCAGACUUAUAGGACGAACACAAGGACACUCGAAACUAAGGGUAGAUGUGAACCUAAUGGUAUGUUUGAAGCUUUGAUGACCACUUGAGGAGAACAAGUGUGGCCCGAUCUUGCGAAUGGUUCUGGUAACUAUCGAUUUGGUGGAAACGAAACACAAACCAAUCCAGUUUGCGAACAACACGAUUCGAAACCCUACAAUUCUUUUUAUUUUUUUUGAUAUUUUUCUUUUACUUAGGAGCACUCAAGAAGUAACCACAGGAAAUUUGAGCUUAAACAAGUGAAAUACGUAGCCUGUGGAAUUUUUUGAAGAUUGCGAAAAAUAUAAAAAAAACUUUAGGAGGUGAAAACUCAAAAUUAAGAGGAAAAUUUGGGGACUCUAAAUUUGUCGAACCCGCCUUUGGCAGGGAUAGACAGAUCCAAAAAUUUUUUCUGAUCGCUUUUGAUAUAUGGAACAUCAAAAUCGGAGUUCGUAUGCGAAAGUUAUGGCUAUUUUACCAACGGACUCCGAAUUAGAGGACAAAACGGUCCGGAAGUGGGAAAAAUUUGCGGUGGUGGCUAGAAAUUGAUGGAAACGGUGGGAAAAAACACACAAACUGGACUCUAACAAGACCUAACCAGUAACAAGACCUCGACCAGGACACAAACUCAACACUACGGACUCUGAAACUGAAAUAUGCAAAGGCUAUUGCACGGAUGCGUUGUAGGACAUGAAAACAAUAUGGCACUAGACUUAUGGGACGAACACAAGGACACUCGAAACUAAAGGUAGAUGUGAACCUAACGGUAUGUCUAAAGCUUUGAUUACCACUUGAGGAGAACAAGUGUGGCCCGAUCUUCCGAAAGGUUGUGGUAAAUAUCGAUUUGGUGGUAACGAGGCACAAAUCAAUCCACCUUGCGAACAACACGAUUCGAAACCCUACAAUUCUUUUUAUUUUUUUGAUAUUUUUCUUUUACUUAGCAGCACACAAGAAGUAACCAUAGGAAAUUUGAGCUUAAACAAGUGAAAGACAUGGCCUGUGGAAUUUUUUGAAGAUUGCAAAAAAUAUGAAAAUAAACUUUAUGAGGUGAAAACACAAAUUGAAGAGGCAAAUUUGGGGAAUCUAAAUUUGUCGAACCCGCCUAUGGAGGGGAUAGACAGAUCCAAAAAAUUUUUGAUCGAUUUUGAUAUAUGGAACAUCAAAAUCGGAGUUCGUAUGCGAAAGUUAUGGUUGUUUUACGAACGGACUCCGAAUUAGAGGACAAAACGGUCCGGAAGUGGGAAAAAUUUGCGGCGAUGGCUAGAAAUUGAUGGAAACGGUGGGAAGAAACACACAAAUUAGACUCUAACAAGACCUAACCAGUAACAAGACCUCGACCAGGACACAAACUCAACACUACGGAUGUUGACGGUCCUUAAGUACUAAAAUUAAUAAUCAAAUAAACAUGAAAAGGGAUCAAUAUGAAACAAACAUCUAGAAUUAGGGUUUUAUCUGACAGAAUUCCAUGAGCUUUGGUGUUUAUCUAUUUCUGCAGGGGUUUAUCAGAAAAUAUGGAGAGAAGGCCCACAUGUCAUGUUUACAACGAGAUAAUUACGUGCCGCGCAAUUUUCCUCAAUCUAGAAGGAUCCAGAAGCCACGGGAACGAACGGGAGGCGAUUCGGGCUCGGGGGCUGGGCGCCCGCCCACCCCCCUUGGGCGCCCGCCCAGGGUUGGAGUCCAACCAGGACUCUGCUUCGGGACAACGCUUCACCGACCUAAAGGAUCAAUCUAAACCAUACAAUCUAUGUCGGUUUGAUCCAAUGGCUCACGUUCACUUGAGGGGACUAUAAAACCAGACCCCCUGACCCCUGGAGGAGAGAGGAGAAAUCAUUAUUCAGAGGUAGCCAUCAAAGUUAGGGUUUAGAGCUUCUCUCCCACAGAGAAUUAGAAUUAGCUACUCCCUAAUCCUUCAAGUUUAGAGGUUGAUUAGAUAGCAAUUAGAGAAGUAGAGCACUACGCUCUAGAUUCGGAUCUUCGGUAAUAAAGAUUGGUAUUAUUCAUAUCUUUCUAUAAUUCUAUUGUUCUAAUUGCAUUAUGUCUCUAAUUAUUAUGUUCUUAGUUUGCUCUAGUUCUAUAUUUGAUAUAGUUCUAAUUGAUAAUGAGUUUAUGUAUAAGUUUGCAAAGCGCUUAGCUCUUGACGCGAGGGAGUUAGGUGAUAGAUCACAUGUGAGCGUGGUGCUUAGAUGUUAUUUAUCUGCAAAUAUAUCCUAUUGGCCGGGUCGUGUGGUAGUUCGCGAUAGUGACAGCUUCGUUGAUUCUUAUAUAGUCCACCCUCCGUGGAUAGGACAGGCAGAACCGGUAUUGUGGAGUAAGUCAUGCGAUGUUCUGAUUUACUUUAUCAAUGUUCCUUAUACAUGAAUGAAGAGUCUUUUAUGCUAUACAUGAUCUUGUAGAUAACUAGAGUAGAUUAUGACUUAGUAGUUAGUAGAUAACUUAGAAUCCAUUCUCUAGCUAAUCCGACAUCACCUACAUAUAUGAGGAGUAGUCUAUUUUCUAAUCGCUGUGCUCUUUAUCCCAUGAACUUAUACUUUAUUAUCAUUAUCUUUAUGGUUUACCCCCUGCUAAAGUAUGUGACUAUGUGACGAGUUUCUUAUUAGUAAUCAUGUUCUUGCAAGUUUAUCUCUAGUCUAUGCCUUGAUAGAUUUUGCCCCUUUAAUUUAAUUUCAUCUUCUUGAGAUCCCUAGAGCAAAAUUAUAAAUAACGAUACCUGGAAUACUUAUCCUGGUGAAAUGCUACAAUGAGGUGUUUUAUCUGUGCGCUUGCGGAUAGAAUAGAUUAUUUUCUAGCGAGCCUUUACAUUUAUAAAUACCUUUGUACACUCUGGCGCCAUGCUAGGGAUGACAACCUAGUAUCUAAGUGGUGUUAGCUAGUGUCAACAAGCAUUUCUGGCGCCGUUGCCGAGGAACUUAUAGGAAUUAUAUGAGUCUUAGGAAUAAGUCAUAAAAGGGAACAAAAGGGUAAUAUUAAGGAAAGCCAGAAAAUCGAUCAAGGUUAUUCAUAUAAAAUAUUAGACUAGACUAUAGAGAAAUAAUUGCAUAAAACAGCUACUAAGUGAGAAAUCAUAACAAGGCACCUCUGCUUUGGCAGGUUCACCCUAUUGUUUUUCUAUGUUUAUAUUUUUAUACAGGGUAUAACAGGAUUGACUUUGGGUACAUUCAACUCUUCAUUAUCAGAACCAAAGCAAUCAAGAGAAGAAGAAGCUAGCUACCAAUUGCUGAAGCUAUGGCACACAAGACCUUGCAAGAAUUCUCUGCUCCAAGCCUUGAGAACAUUCCAACUGGUCCAAGAUUUGCAGUAGAAGAAGGAAUACCUGAGUUUGAGCUCAAGUCAAGCCUCAUCAAUUUGGUACAAGCUACACAAUUCAGUGGAAAGGCACAUGAAGAUGCCAGUGCACACUUGCAGAAUUUCUUAGAGACUGGGAGCACAAUCCACAUCAAUGGAGUUGACAAAGACGUCAUACUGCUUCGCCUCUUUCCAUUCUCACUAGAAGGAAAAGCGAGGAAGUGGUUCUACACUCAUCAGGAUAACAUCAACAACUGGACGAACUUGUCAGAUGCCUUUCUAUCAAAGUUUUUCCCUAUAGGCAAAACAACUGCCUUAAGAGGAAAUAUUGUUAGUUUCCAACAGCGGAAGACAGAAGCCAUUUCAGAAGCAUGGGAGCGUUUUCAAGGAUACGUAUCAGAUUGUCCUCACCAUGGAAUGGCCACAUGGUUACUUAUGCAGACCUUCUACCAUGGAUUAACCCAGAAGACUCGUGAGUGCCUAGAUGCAUCUGCUAAAGGAUCAUUCUUGGAGCUUACAACUGGAAAAGCAGAGAUACUUUUGGAUAAGAUAGCAGAAAACCAAAGCUGGUUCCAAGAUAAAGCUCAACAAUGUCAUCAAACUAAAGAAAUACCAGAAGAAGUAAAAGCAUUAUCAACGAAGAUGGAAAAUUUGCUCCAUUGGAUUGACCAGAGGGCCAAGUUCAAAGAAGAUCAAAGGGCUAUUGAGACAGCAUACAAAUAUCAACCAACUUUGAGUCAACCCAAUAGCAAAGGUAUGAAUUCAGGUAAUACUUUCAAGCAACUUUCAUUAAAAGAGAUAAUUGUUCCACAAACCAAAAUUAAUGAUGAAGUUAAACAAAGGCUAGAUACAAAUGAAUCAUCUCUAAAAGAUAUACACAAUAAAAUGGAUUUUCUACUAACUGCCUUUGAUGAGCAAAACACUCUUAAUAAAAGUGUAGAGCUUAAAUUAAUAAAGAUAGAUGCUGCACUGCCUGUUGCUACUAACCUUGAGCAGUUAAAGAAUAUAACUACUAGAGGAGGCAAAGCUACCAGAGAUCCACCAUACCCAAAAGAGAAACAAAGAACAUCAGCACCAGUGCAACCAGCAGUGAUAGAAGAAGAAAUCCCAGUUGAAGCAGAAGAUCUGCUCCAACCACCAAGAACUGGAGAAAUGAGGAAGGAUUUUUACGACACCAACUAUUUGCCAUUUCCCGGAAGAAACAGAGGACUGCAGUCGGAUGAGCAGUUUGGUAAGUUUGUAGAGGUCAUUCAGAAACUACAUGUCAACAUACCUCUGAUCGAUGCCAUACAGGUACCUACAUAUGCGAAGUACAUCAGAGAUAUUCUUAACAAGAAGAGACCACUGCCCACCACUGAGGUUAUCAAGCUGACAGAAGAAUGUAGUGCAGCCAUCCUCAAUAAACCACCAAAGAAGAAGGAAGACCCCGGAUGCCCCACUAUUGAUUGCUCAAUUGGAAACCAACACUUCAACAAUGCACUUUGUGAUCUUGGAGCAAGUGUCAGUGUGAUGCCAGCAUCAGUCUACAAAAAGCUUGAGCAUGCAACCUUAGAACCAACAUCAAUGUGCCUACAACUAACGGAUCAAUCGGUUCGACACCCGCUGGGCAUCGCCGAGAACAUUCCAGUCAAGAUCAGAGAUUUCCUGGUGCCAGUAGACUUCGUAGUACUGGACAUGAGUCCUAACUCGAAAGUUUCCAUCAUCCUUGGAAGGCCAUUUCUGAGCACUGCCAAUGCCCACAUCGAUGUCGGAAAAGGAGAAAUCAAGUUCAACAUAAACGGUCAAGAAGAACACUUCACAUUCAAACCCAGACCAGAGAGAGACUCUACAGUGAAGGAAGUUCAUGAAGAACCACUGGAGACACCAUCUCCGGAGGAAGGAAACUCAGAAGAUUAAAAGAUUUGGAGGUCCAGCUUGGGGGACCUAAAAAUCCAAAACCCUCACCGGGAGGUAAAUCGGUAUUUAUCCGCAUUAAUUUUCUCAUAUUUAAAUUCUUGCAUAAUUAAUUUUUGCAUUAGUCAUAGCAUAAUUAUAAUAAUAAAAAAGCCCCAUAUAAAUAAUAUUCGUGGUGUGUAACAACCCAUAUUUAUUAAUUAUUGUGGAGGCAUAAAAAUAUUUUCCAUUAUCAUUUUCAAUAAGUUUUAAUUCUCAUAGAUUUCUCUGCAUUAUAUUUAAUUAUAUUAAUCUUCUAGAAGCGUGACCCACACACCUUGGGUCCCACAUGUCAUACACUUCACCUCACAUACAUCCCAUCACAUAAUUUCAUCCACCAAUAUGUUUCCACUCACCUGACAUCUUUCCACCGUCCAACCACUACCAACACAAUAUUAUUCUGCGUGGGAUCAAAGCAAGGAAGCAAGUGGAGGAGGCACACCCAGGAUGGACACCAGGGGUGGGCACCCGCCCACCUACCUUUGGCGCCCGCCCUAUCCUCUGCUCAGCUUAUAAAAGGCCACCUCCAGCUCCCCUCCUCUUCACACACACUCCAGAAAACCACACAAGUCUCAGUUUCCCGAGAAGGAGUUCUUGUAGUGAAGAGAAGAGAGUAGAGAGAAAGAGGAGAGUGGAAGGGAAGGGUGGUAGUUCUUUUGAGAGAGUGAUUAUCACCUAGCAAGUAGUGAUCCCGUUGUCUAAGCGGAAGUAAAAGUUGUUUAGGGAGGCUCUACCAAAAUAGAAACUUUUCUUGAACGAUUAACCCCUAGACUACUGACACUCCGGACAGCUGACCACUAACAUUUUAUCUCACAUUUUCCACCAGUUGUGUUUUUGCCAACUUUUGUUUGCAGGAUGUUUAAGAAGGUGAAGAAUGCAGGGAAGGCUCUCAAGAACAUUGGUACAAGGAGUUCAACCUGACACUCCUCACAGCCAUCAGAGAUGAGCGUCGACCCGACACCCACACAAGCUCCAUCAUCUUCAUCAGGUCAGCAAGUUAAGGUUCUUCUCAAGAUAGGAGACCUUGGACUAAAGACCCGAAGAGAGAAGGAAGUCUAUCAGCAAUUGAAGAAUAAAGAUUUCAUUCAUACCCCUACUCUCGAUCCAACCUUACUACAAGAAACAGGUAUGGACACUGAAUUUGACUUAAUUUUUCAGAUGAUGGGUUGGACAAAUUUUUGGAAUAUAACUGAGCUAGGUUCUCGUCUUCUCACCCUCGAAUUUCUUUGCACUUUACAAUACUAUGAGGGGGGAAUUGUUUUUUGGAUGUUCAAACAAAAAAUUAUGUUGUCUUGGAGAGAGCUAAGCGACCAUCUUGGUUUCUCUUCAAGAUGCAUCCUGAACAUUGACUCCGAUUUACCCAAUUUUGAGAGACACCAGUUUUGGAGAGAAAUAUCUAGAGAUAGUUUUUACAGUCAAGCCCGAACCAGUGACAUGGAACACCCCACUCUUAGGAUGUUUCACAAAUGGCUUGGGUACAAUCUUUUCUAUCGUGACGAUAUUAGGAAAGUAAGAGUAGGAGAUUUACAACUUUUAUAUGCUGCUAUUAGUAAAGUACCCACUUCACCUGUUACACUAUUAGUUUCACAUUGGCUUAGUAUACCUAGUCUUUAGGGACCAGUAGGAUGUACUUCACUUAUCACUCGUCUAGCCACUAAUCUUCACUUACUAGAAAACUCAUCGUUGGACUUCAUAGAAGAAUUAAGAAUUUAUCAUGGCUAUGACACAUUUAGACAAGCUCGGAUGUUAAAGAAAGAGGAGAAUAUAAUGUAUAUGCUGUAUGAUGAUAAAGGCAAGAUUCGGUUACCUAACCCGAACCUUGGCCUCUACGCUGUGCAAAACUUUUUGAUUGAGAUUGCAGCAACACCAGUGAACCAGAGAACUCCACAGCAAGUGGCAUCUGAAAGGAUAACCACUCACCGAGAACGCACUUGGUUUGGAGCUGACCCUGGACCAGAAGAAGCAGCGCACCUGCAUUAUUGCGAUUACAAUCCACGAGUCCUUCGAGACCCAUGGGCUCGUCAUGCGCAACCACAAGAGCCAACAGAGGAGACAUGGUCGGAGAGCCAAGAUCAUCAGUGGACAAACCCGCCUUUUCAUACGGGCAGGUACUCCACUGAUCCAUAUGGAGCUUCAGGAUCCAGACCUCCACCCCAAUUUGAUGCAGGACGAUACUCCGACGCCUCCUACGCCUUCACGAAUGAUUACUAUCAAGAGGCCGGUGCUUUCUUCAUUCGUACCGACAACACCCUCCUCGACAUCCAGAACACGCAAGCAGAACAUGGAAGACUCCUGGAAGAGCAACAAAAAUGGAACCAGGACCAUGCCGCUGCAGUAGAAGAGCUGAGACAAGAUACAACAACAAUGAACGACAACAUCACAACCAUGAUGCGGUUCUGGAACAUCGGGUAAGACCGACAUCAACAUCCAGCUUGGGGGAGUUCCUCCCUAAAUUUAUCAAGUAAGUUUUUAUUUGCUCUUCUUAUUUAUUCUAUUCUGUCUUAGUAUUUAAUUUAUCUUAAAAGGAAAAAACUUAGAAAACCAAAUAAAUAUUUUCUUGCUUUAAUUCACUGCACUUUAAUAAACAUGAAAACAAAAUAAAAAGAGUGUGUAGAUAAGUGUGCUUUAUUUUCCUGCUAAGUUUAAUGUCUAAAAAAAAAUAAGACCAAAAAUAUGCAUGAUGGAAAUGAUGAACAGUUGCUCUGUUUGCUUUUAUAUUAUUAUUCUUCCAGGAAUUACUAAAACCAAAAUUACUAUCUUUGGGAAGCAUAAAACUAAAGUCUAGGUAAGAGAAAGGCAUGAUAUAAAGCCACUGUUUAUCUUGUUCCUACUACACUAAGUUCUGGAGAUUUAUUUUGAAAACUUACAAAUCACAUGAUGAGUUCCUAGCAUAACAAACUACCUACCACAGCCAUACUUGCUAUAACAUCUUUUACUAUAUUUACAUUGAGUUUGAUCGAGCUGUGUCGACCCUUAGGAGCUUUUCAUGUGGUUAAAUUAAAAUAUUCACUUGCACACAUCUACCACAGCAUUCAUCACCAAUCAUUAAAAUUGCUAAAAAUAUUAUCACUCACUGUCCCAAGUAAUGUUAUUCUCUCUCUCUAAAAAGAUUCAGUGCAGAAGAGGCAUGGGUUAUGCAAAAAUAUAUGAGGAAAUAAAAAGGGGCAAGUGCCCGGAACCUCGGAAAAGAAAGAAAAAAGAGUGAGACGAGAGGUAAAAAUGGACAAGUGUCCGAAGUAGAAUUAGGGGUACAAAAAUGCCCACUUGAGCGGAAAAAAUGGACAAGUGUCCGACAGUAGAAUUAGGGGUAUCUACUACCCACCUGAAAAAAAAAAAAAAGAAAAAGAGAUAGCCCAUGUUCUCCCAAAGCAAAGAUCAAAAAGGAGGAGAGAUAGCAAUAUGAGGAGCAAUGAGAAGUAAAUUUUAUUAUCACUUGUGCAUUUUCACCAUCACUAUCAUUUAUUCCAUCACACAUGCACAUCUUGAUUUAAUUAUAUGCUGAGUUCCUUUGGAUCCAUGGCUCGAUUAGACAACAUAUGUAUGAGCUGUUUUUCACUCCUAUGAGCUCCAUUUAAAUAUUCCAUUAGCUAUAGGUAAGUGAUAUUAUGGUAAGGAUCCACAAAUACCACAUAUAGAGAGACUUGAGAGAAUCAUUGCUGGGAACUCUGAGUUUUAUUUUGAAAACCUAUGAAAAACUCUGGAACAAAGGUGAAGUAUAAACAGGAGGGAUAGUGCUUGACUUAACUAUUUUGUCUUUUGAUUACUUAAGACUUAAGUGCAGGUACUAAACUUCAUGACACUUCACUCUAAUCUGGAAGAAUUUUUAUGUAAAAGCAUGUGUGCCUGUCAGGAAAGAAAACAUCGAAGCAACUCCUGAUCCGUCUGAGUUUAGCUGUUUGCUCAGGGACGAGCAAAGGGUAAGCUUGGGGGAGUUUGUUGACGGUCCUUAAGUACUAAAAUUAAUAAUCAAAUAAACAUGAAAAGAGAUCAAUAUGAAACAAACAUCUAGAAUUAGGGUUUUAUCUGACAGAAUUCCACGAGCUUUGGUGUUUAUCUAUUUCUGCAGGGGUUUAUCAGAAAAUAUGGAGAGAAGGCCCACAUGUCAUGUUUACAACGAGAUAAUUACAUACCGCACAAUUUUCCUCAAUCUAGAAGGAUCCAGAAGCCACGGGAACGAACGGGAGGCGAUUCGGGCUCGGGGGCUGGGCGCCCGCCCACCCCCCUUGGGCGCCCGCCCAGGGUUGGAGUCCAACCAGGACUCUGCUUCGGGACAAUGCUUCACCGACCUAAAGGAUCAAUCUAAACCAUACAAUCUAUGUCGGUUUGAUCCAAUGGCUCACGUUCACUUGAGGGGACUAUAAAACCAGACCCCCUGACCCCUGGAGGAGAGAGGAGAAAUCAUUAUUCAGAGGUAGCCAUCAAAGUUAGGGUUUAGAGCUUCUCUCCCACAGAGAAUUAGAAUUAGCUACUCCCUAAUCCUUCAAGUUUAGAGGUUGAUUAGAUAGCAGUUAGAGAAGUAGAGCACUAUGCUCUGGAUUCGGAUCUUCGGUAAUAAAGAUUGGUAUUAUUCAUAUCUUUCUCUAAUUCUAUUGUUCUAAUUGCAUUAUGUCUCUAACUAUUAUGUUCUUAGUUUGCUCUAGUUCUAUAUUUGAUAUACAUGAAUGAAGAGUCUUUUAUGCUAUACAUGAUCUUGUAGAUAACUAGAGUAGAUUAUGACUUAGUAGUUAGUAGAUAACUUAGAAUCCAUUCUCUAGCUAAUCCGACAUCACCUACAUAUAUGAGGAGUAGUCUAUUUUCUAAUCGUUGUGCUCUUUAUCCCAUGAACUUAUACUUUAUUAUCAUUAUCUUUAUGGUUUACCCCCUGCUAAAGUAUGUGACUAUGUGACGAGUUUCUUAUUAGUAAUCAUGUUCUUGCAAGUUUAUCUCUAGUCUAUGCCUUGAUAGAUUUUGCCCCUUUAAUUUAAUUUCAUCUUCUUGAGAUCCCUAGAGCAAAAUUAUAAAUAACGAUACCCGGAAUACUUAUCAUGGUGAAAUGCUACAAUGAGGUGUUUUAUCUGUGCGCUUGCGGAUAGAAUAGAUUAUUUUCUAGAGAGCUUUUACAUUUAUAAAUAUCUUUGUACACUCUGGCGCCAUGCUAGGGAUGACAACCUAGUAUCUAAGUGGUGUUAGCUAGUGUCAACAACGGACUCCGAAACUGAAAUAUGCAAAGGCUAUGGCGCGGAUAGAUUGUAGGACAUGAAAACAAUAUGGCACCAGACUUAUGGGACGAACACAAGAACACUCGAAACUAAGGGUAGAUAUGAACCUAACGGUAUGUCUGAAGCUUUGAUGACCACUUGAGGAGAACAAGUGUGGCCCGAUCUUCCAAAAGGUUCUGGUAACUAUCGAUUUGGUGGAAACGAGACACAAAUCAAUCCAGCUUGCGAACAACACGAUUCGAAACCCUGUUUACUUAGGAGCACUCAAGAAGUAACCACAGAAAAUUUUAGCUUAAACAAGUGAAAUACGUGGCCUGUGGAAUUUUUUGAAGUUUGCAAAAAAUAUGAAAAAAAAACUUUAGGAUUUCAAAACUCAAACUUCAGAGGCGUAUUUGAGAAUUCUAAAAUUGUCGAAACUGCCAAUGGCAUGGAUAGAUAGAUCCAAUUUUUUUUCUAAUCGAUUUUGAUAUAUGGAACGUAAAAAUCGGAGUUCGUAUGCGAAAGUUAUGGCUGUUUUACGAACAGACUACGAAUUAGAGGACAAAACGGUCCGGAAGUGGGAAAAAUUUGCGGUGGUGGCUAGAAAUUGAUGGAAACGGUGGCAAAAAACACACAAAUUGGACUUUAACAAGACCUAACUAGUAACAAGACCUUGACCAGGACACAAACUCAACACUACAGACUCUGAAACUGAAAUAUGCAAAGGCUAUGGCGCGGAUGGGUUGUAGGACAUGAAAAUAAUAUGGCACUAGACUUAUGGGACGAACACAAGGACACUCCAAACUAAGGGUAGUUGUGACCCUAACGGUAUGUCUGAAGCUUUGAUUACCACUUGAGGAGAACAAGUGUGGCCCGAUCUUCCGAAGGGUUCUGGUAACUAUCGAUUUAGUGAAAACGAGACACAAAUCAAUCCAGCUUGCGAACAACACGAUUCAAAACCCUGCUAUUCUUUUUUUUGAUAUUUUUCUUUUACUUAGGAGCACUCAAGAAGUAACCACAGGAAAUUUGAGCUUAAACAAGUGAAAGACAUGGCCUGUGGAAUUUUUUGAAGAUUGCGAAAAAUAUGAAAAAAAAUUUAGGAGGUGAAAACUCAAAUUCAGAGGCCAAUUUGGGGAUUCUAAAAUUGUCGAACGCACCCAUGGUAGGAAUAGACAGAUGCAAAAUUUUUUUCUGAUCGAUUUUGAUAUAUGGAACGUCAAAAUCGGAGUUUGUAUGCAAAAGUUAUGGUUGUUUUACGAACAAACUCCGAAUUAGAGGACAAAAAGGUCUGCAAGUGGGAAAAAUUUGCGGCAUUGGCUAGAAAUUGAUGGAAACGGUGGGAAAAACAUACAAACUGGACUCUAACAAGACCUAACUAGUAACAAGACCUCGACCAGGACACAAACUCAAUACUACAGACUCUGAAACUGAAAUAUGCAAAGGAUAUGACGCGGAUGGGUUGUAGGACAUGAAAACAAUAUGGCACUAGACUUAUGGGACGAAUACAAGGACACUCGAAACUAAGAGUAGAUGUGAACCUAACGGUAUGUCUGAAGCUUUGAUUACCACUUGAAGAGAACAAGUGUGGCCCGAUCUUCCGAAAGGUUCUGGUAACUAUCGAUUUGGUGGAAAGGAGACACAAAUCAAUCUAGCUUGCGAACAACACGAUUCGGAACCCUGCAAUUCUUUUUUUUUGAUAUUUUUCUAUUACUUAGGAGCACUCAAGAAGUAACCACAGGAAAUUUGAGCUUAAACAAGUGAAAGACAUGGCCUGUGGAAUUUUUUGAAGAUUGUGAAAAAUAUGAAAAAAAACUUUAGAAGGGGAAAACUCAAAUUCAGAGGCGAAUUUGGGGAUUCUAAAAUUGUCGAACCCACCCAUGGCAAGAAUAGGCAGAUGCAAAAAAAUUUUCUGAUCGAUUUUGAUAUAUGGAACGUCAAAAUCGGAGUUCGUAUGCGAAAGUUAUGGUUGUUUUACGAACAAACUCCGAAUUAGAGGACAAAAACAGUCCGGAAGUGGGAAAAAUUUGCGGCAGUGGCUAGAAAUUGAUGGAAACAGUGGGAAAAAAUAUACAAACUGGACUCUAACAAGACCUAACCAGUAACAAGACCUCGACCAGGACACAAACUCAAUACUACGGACUCUGAAACUGAAAUAUGCAAAGGAUAUGACGCGGAUGGGUUGUAGGACAUGAAAACAAUAUGGCACUAGACUUAUGGGACGAACACAAGGACACUCGAAACUAAGGGUAGAUGUGAACCUAACGGUAUGUCUGAAGCUUUGAUUACCACUUGAGGAGAACAAGUGUGGCCCGAUCUUCCGAAAGGUUCUGGUAACUAUCGAUUUGGUGGAAACGAGACACAAAUCAAUCCAGCUUGCGAACAACACGAUUCGAAACCCUGUUUACUUAGGAGCACUCAAGAAGUAACCACAGAAAAUUUUAGCUUAAACAAGUGAAAUACGUGGCCUGUGGAAUUUUUUGAAGUUUGCAAAAAAUAUGAAAAAAAACUUUAGGAUUUCAAAACUCAAACUUCAGAGGCGUAUUUGAGAAUUCUAAAAUUGUCGAAACUGCCAAUGGCAUGGAUAGAUAGAUCCAAUUUUUUUUCUAAUCGAUUUUGAUAUAUGGAACGUAAAAAUCGGAGUUCGUAUGCGAAAGUUAUGGCUGUUUUACGAACAGACUACGAAUUAGAGGACAAAACGGUCCGGAAGUGGGAAAAAUUUGCGGUGGUGGCUAGAAAUUGAUGGAAACGGUGGCAAAAAACACACAAAUUGGACUUUAACAAGACCUAACUACUAACAAGACCUCGACAAGGACACGAACUCAACACUACGGACUCUGAAACUGAAAUAUGCAAAGGCUAUGGCGCGGAUGGGUUGUAGGACAUGAAAAUAAUAUGGCACUAGACUUAUGGGACGAACACAAGGACACUCCAAACUAAGGGUAGUUGUGACCCUAACGGUAUGUCUGAAGCUUUGAUUACCACUUGAGGAGAACAAGUGUGGCCCGAUCUUCCGAAGGGUUCUGGAAACUAUCGAUUUAGUGAAAACGAGACACAAAUCAAUCCAGCUUGCGAACAACACGAUUCAAAACCCUGCUAUUCUUUUUUUUGAUAUUUUUCUUUUACUUAGGAGCACUCAAGAAGUAACCACAGGAAAUUUGAGCUUAAACAAGUGAAAGACAUGGCCUGUGGAAUUUUUUGAAGAUUGCGAAAAAUAUGAAAAAAAAUUUAGGAGGUGAAAACUCAAAUUCAGAGGCGAAUUUGGGGAUUCUAAAAUUGUCGAACCCACCCAUGGUAGGAAUAGACAGAUGCAAAAUUUUUUUCUGAUCAAUUUUGAUAUAUGGAACGUCAAAAUCGGAGUUUGUAUGCAAAAGUUAUGGUUGUUUUACGAACAAACUCCGAAUUAGAGGACAAAAAGGUCUGCAAGUGGGAAAAAUUUGCGGCAUUGGCUAGAAAUUGAUGGAAACGGUGGGAAAAACAUACAAACUGGACUCUAACAAGACCUAACUAGUAACAAGACCUCGACCAGGACACAAACUCAAUACUACAGACUCUGAAACUGAAAUAUGCAAAGGAUAUGACGCGGAUGGGUUGUAGGACAUGAAAACAAUAUGGCACUAGACUUAUGGGACGAACACAAGGACACUCUAAACUAAGAGUAGAUGUGAACCUAACGGUAUGUCUGAAGCUUUGAUUACCACUUGAGGAGAACAAGUGUGGCCCGAUCUUCCGAAAUGUUCUGGUAACUAUCGAUUUGGUGGAAACGAGACACAAAUCAAUCCAGCUUGCGAACAACACGAUUCGGAACCCUGCAAUUCUAUUUUUUGAUAUUUUUCUUUUACUUAGGAGCACUCAAGAAGUAACCACAGGAAAUUUGAGCUUAAACAAGUGAAAGACAUGGCCUGCGGAAUUUUUUGAAGAUUGCGAAAAAUAUGAAAAAAAACUUUAGGAGGUGAAAACUCAAAUUCAGAGGCGAAUUUGGGGAUUCUAAAAUUGUCGAACCCACCCAUGGCAAGAAUAGGCAGAUGCAAAAAAAUUUUCUGAUCGAUUUUGAUAUAUGGAACGUCAAAAUCGGAGUUCGUAUGCGAAAGUUAUGGUUGUUUUACGAACAAACUCCGAAUUAAACGACAAAAACGGUCCGAAAGUAGGAAAAUUUUGCGGCAGUGGCUAGAAAUUGAUGGAAACGGUGGGAAAAACAUACAAACUGGACUCUAACAAGACCUAACCAGUAACAAGACCUCAUGACACAAACUCAAUACUACGGACUCUGAAACUAAAAUAUGCAAAGGAUAUGACGCGGAUGGGUUGUAGGACAUGAAAACAAUAUGGCACUAGACUUAUGGGACGAACACAAGGACACUCGAAACUAAGGGUAGAUGUCAACCUAACGGUAUGUCUGAAGCUUUGAUUACCACUUGAGGAGAACAAGUGUGGCCCGAUCUUCCGAAAGGUUCACGUAACUAUCGAUUUGGUGGAAACGAGACACAAAUCAAUCCAGCUUGCGAACAACACGAUUUGAAACCCUGCAAUUCUUUUUUUAGAUAUUUUUCUUUUACUUAGGAGCACUCAAGAAGUAACUACAGGAAAUUUGAGCUUAAACAAGUGAAAGACAUGGCCUGUGGAAUUGUUUGAAGAUUGUGAAAAAUAUGAAAAAAAACUUUAGAAGGUGAAAACUCAAAUUCAGAGGCGAAUUUGGGGAUUCUAAAAUUGUCGAACCCACCCAUGGCAGGAAUAGGCAAAUGCAAAAUUUAUUUGUCAAAAUCGGAGUUUGUAUGCGAAAGUUAUGGUUGUUUUACGAACAAACUCCGAAUUAGAGGACAAAAACGGUCCGGAAGUGGGAAAAAUUUUCGGCAGUGGCUAGAAAUUGAUGGAAACAGUGCGAAAAAACAUACAAACUAGACUCUAACAAGACCUAACCAGUAACAAGACCUCGACCAGGACACAAACUCAAUACUACGGACUCUGAAACUGAAAUAUGCAAAGGAUAUGACGCGGAUGGGUUGUAGGACAUGAAAACAAUAUGGCACUAGACUUAUGGGACGAACACAAGGACACUCGAAACUAAGGGUAGAUGUGAACCUAACGGUAUGUCUGAAGCUUUGAUUACCACUUGAGGAGAACAAGUGUGGCCCGAUCUUCCGAAAGGUUCUGGUAAGUAUCGAUUUGGUGGAAACGAGACACAAAUCAAUCCAGCUUGCAAACAACACGAUUCGAAACCCUGCAAUUCUAUUUUUUGAUAUUUUUCUUUUACUUAGGAGCACUCAAGAAGUAACCACAGGAAAUUUGAGCUUAAACAAGUGAAAGACAUGGCCUGCGGAAUUUUUUGAAGAUUGCGAAAAUAUGAAAAAAACUUUAGGAGGUGAAAACUCAAAUUCAGAGGCGAAUUUGGGGAUUCUAAAAUUGUCAAACCCACCCAUGGCAGGAAUAGACAGAUGCAAAAAUUUUUUCUAAUCAAUUCUGAUAUAUGGAACGUCAAAAUUGGAGUUCGUAUGCGAAAGUUAUGGUUGUUUUACGAACAAACUCCGAAUUAAACGACAAAAACGGUCCGGAAGUGGGAAAAAUUUGCGGCAGUGGCUAGAAAUUGAUGGAAACGGUGGGAAAAAACAUACAAACUGGACUCUAACAAGACCUAACCUGUAACAAGACCUCAGGACACAAACUCAAUACUACGGACUCUGAAACUGAAAUAUGCAAAGGAUAUGACGCGAUGGGUUGUAGGACAUAAAAACAAUAUGGCACUAGACUUAUGGGACGAACACAAGGACACUCGAAACUAAGGGUAGAUGUGAACCUAACGGUAUGUCUGAAGCUUUGAUUACCACUUGAGGAGAACAAGUGUGGCCCGAUCUUCCGAAAGGUUCUGGUAACUAUCGAUUUGGUGGAAACGAGACACAAAUCAAUCCAGCUUGCGAACAACACGAUUCGAAACCCUGCAAUUCUAUUUUUUGAUAUUUUUCUUUUACUUAGGAGCACUCAAAUAGUAACCACAGGAAAUUUGAGCUUAAACAAGUGAAAGACAUGGCCUGCGGAAUUUUUUGAAGAUUGCGAAAAAUAUGAAAAAAAACUUUAGGAGGUGAAAACUCUAAUUCAGAGGCGAAUUUGGGGAUUCUAAAAUUGUCGAACCCACCCAUGGCAGGAAUAGACAGAUGCAAAAAUUUUUUCUAAUCGAUUCUGAUAUAUGGAACGUCAAAAUCGGAGUUCGUAUGCGAAAGUUAAGGUUGUUUUACGAACAAACUCCGAAUUAAACGACAAAAACGGUCCGAAAGUGGGAAAAUUUUGCGGCAGUGGCUAGAAAUUGAUGGAAACGGUGGGAAAAAACAUACAAACUGGACUCUAACAAGACCUAACCAGUAACAAGACCUCAUGACACAAACUCAAUACUACGGACUCUGAAACUAAAAUAUGCAAAGGAUAUGACGCGGAUGGGUUGUAGGACAUGAAAACAAUAUGGCACUAGACUUAUGGGACGAACACAAGGACACUCGAAACUAAGGGUAGAUGUGAACCUAACGGUAUGUCUGAAGCUUUGAUUACCAUUUGAGGAGAACAAGUGUGGCCCGAUCUUCCGAAAGGUUCAGGUAACUAUCGAUUUGGUGGAAACGAGACACAAAUCAAUCCAGCUUGCGAACAACACGAUUUGAAACCCUGCAAUUCUUUUUUUAGAUAUUUUUCUUUUACUUAGGAGCACUCAAGAAGUAACUACAGGAAAUUUGAGCUUAAACAAGUGAAAGACAUGGCCUGUGGAAUUUUUUGAAGAUUGCGAAAAAUAUGAAAAAAACUUUAGAAGGUGAAAACUCAAAUUCAGAGGCGAAUUUGGGGAUUCUAAAAUUGUCGAACCCACCCAUGGCAGGAAUAGGCAAAUGCAAAAUUUAUUUCUGAUCGAUUUUGAUAUAUGGAACGUCAAAAUCGGAGUUCGUAUGCGAAAGUUAUGGUUGUUUUACGAACAAACUCCGAAUUAGAGGACAAAAACGGUCCGGAAGUGGGAAAAAUUUUCGGCAGUGGCUAGAAAUUGAUGGAAACAGUGCGAAAAAACAUACAAACUAGACUCUAACAAGACCUAACCAGUAACAAGACCUUGACCAGGACACAAACUCAAUACUACGGACUCUGAAACUGAAAUAUGCAAAGGAUAUGACGCGGAUGGGUUGUAGGACAUGAAAACAAUAUGGCACUAGACUUAUGGGACGAACACAAGGACACUCGAAACUAAGGGUAGAUGUGAACCUAACGGUAUGUCUGAAGCUUUGAUUACCACUUAUGGAGAACAAGUGUGGCCCGAUCUUCCGAAAGGUUCUGGUAACUAUCGAUUUGGUGGAAACGAGACACAAAUCAAUCCAGCUUGCGAACAACACGAUUCGAAACCCUGCAAUUCUAUUUUUUGAUAUUUUUCUUUUACUUAGGAGCACUCAAGAAGUAACCACAGGAAAUUUGAGCUUAAACAAGUGAAAGACAUGGCCUGCGGAAUUUUUUGAAGAUUGCGAAAAUAUGAAAAAAAACUUUAGGAGGUGAAAACUCAAAUUCAGAGGCGAAUUUGCGGAUUCUAAAAUUGUCGAACCCACCCAUGGCAGGAAUAGACAGAUGCAAAAAAUUUUUCUAAUCAUUUCUGAUAUAUGGAACGUCAAAAUUGGAGUUCGUAUGCGAAAGUUAUGGUUGUUUUACGAACAAACUCCGAAUUAAACGACAAAAACGGUCCGGAAGUGGGAAAAAUUUGCGGCAGUGGCUAGAAAUUGAUGGAAACGGUGGGAAAAAACAUACAAACUGGACUCUAACAAGACCUAACCUGUAACAAGACCUCAGGACACAAACUCAAUACUACGGACUCUGAAACUGAAAUAUGCAAAGGAUAUGACGCGAUGGGUUGUAGGACAUAAAAACAAUAUGGCACUAGACUUAUGGGACGAACACAAGGACACUCGAAACUAAGGGUAGAUGUGAACCUAACGGUAUGUCUGAAGCUUUGAUUACCAUUUGAGGAGAACAAGUGUGGCCCGAUCUUCCGAAAGGUUCAGGUAACUAUCGAUUUGGUGGAAACGAGACACAAAUCAAUCCAGCUUGCGAACAACACGAUUUGAAACCCUGCAAUUCUUUUUUUAGAUAUUUUUCUUUUACUUAGGAGCACUCAAGAAGUAACUACAGGAAAUUUGAGCUUAAACAAGUGAAAGACAUGGCCUGUGGAAUUUUUUGAAGAUUGCGAAAAAUAUGAAAAAAACUUUAGAAGGUGAAAACUCAAAUUCAGAGGCGAAUUUGGGGAUUCUAAAAUUGUCGAACCCACCCAUGGCAGGAAUAGGCAAAUGCAAAAUUUAUUUCUGAUCGAUUUUGAUAUAUGGAACGUCAAAAUCGGAGUUCGUAUGCGAAAGUUAUGGUUGUUUUACGAACAAACUCCGAAUUAGAGGACAAAAACGGUCCGGAAGUGGGAAAAAUUUUCGGCAGUGGCUAGAAAUUGAUGGAAACAGUGCGAAAAAACAUACAAACUAGACUCUAACAAGACCUAACCAGUAACAAGACCUUGACCAGGACACAAACUCAAUACUACGGACUCUGAAACUGAAAUAUGCAAAGGAUAUGACGCGGAUGGGUUGUAGGACAUGAAAACAAUAUGGCACUAGACUUAUGGGACGAACACAAGGACACUCGAAACUAAGGGUAGAUGUGAACCUAACGGUAUGUCUGAAGCUUUGAUUACCACUUAUGGAGAACAAGUGUUUCCCGAUCUUCCGAAAGGUUCUGGUAACUAUCGAUUUGGUGGAAACGAGACACAAAUCAAUCCAGCUUGCGAACAACACGAUUCGAAACCCUGCAAUUCUAUUUUUUGAUAUUUUUAUUUUACUUAGGAGCACUCAAGAAGUAACCACAGGAAAUUUGAGCUUAAACAAGUGAAAGACAUGGCCUGCGGAAUUUUUUGAAGAUUGCGAAAAUAUGAAAAAAAACUUUAGGAGGUGAAAACUCAAAUUCAGAGGCGAAUUUGGGGAUUCUAAAAUUGUCGAACCCACCCAUGGCAGGAAUAGACAGAUGCAAAAAAUUUUUCUAAUCAUUUUUGAUAUAUGGAACGUCAAAAUUGGAGUUCGUAUGCGAAAGUUAUGGUUGUUUUACGAACAAACUCCGAAUUAAACGACAAAAACGGUCCGGAAGUGGGAAAAAUUUGCGGCAGUGGCUAGAAAUUGAUGGAAACGGUGGGAAAAAACAUACAAACUGGACUCUAACAAGACCUAACCUGUAACAAGACCUCAGGACACAAACUCAAUACUACGGACUCUGAAACUGAAAUAUGCAAAGGAUAUGACGCGAUGGGUUGUAGGACAUAAAAACAAUAUGGCACUAGACUUAUGGGACGAACACAAGGACACUCGAAACUAAGGGUAGAUGUGAACCUAACGGUAUGUCUGAAGCUUUGAUUACCACUUGAGGAGAACAAGUGCGGCCCGAUCUUCCGAAAGGUUCUGAUAACUAUCGAUUUGGUGGAAACGAGACACAAAUCAAUCCAGCUUGCGAACAACACGAUUUGAAACCCGACAAUUCUUUUUUUAUAUUUUUUCUUUUACUUAGGAGCACUCAAGAAGUAACCACAUGAAAUUUGAGCUUAAACAAGUGAAAGACAUGGCCUGUGGAAUUUUUUGAAGAUUGCGAAAAAUAUGAAAAAAACUUUAGAAGGUGAAAACUCAAAUUCAGAGGCGAAUUUGGGGAUUCUAAAAUUGUCGAACCCACCCAUGGCAAGAAUAGGCACAUGCAAAAUUUAUUUCUGAUCGAUUUUGAUAUAUGGAACGUCAAAAUCGGAGUUCGUAUGCGAAAGUUAUGAUUGUUUUACGAACAAACUCCGAAUUAGAGGACAAAAACGGUCCGGAAGUGGGAAAAAUUUGCGGCAGUGGCUAGAAAUUGACGGAAACAGUGCGAAAAAAUAUACAAAUUGGACUCUAACAAGACCUAACUAGGAACAAGACCUCGACAAGGACACAAACUCAAUACUACGGACUCUGAAACUGAAAUAUGCAAAGGCUAUAGCGCGGAUGGGUUGUAGGACAUGAAAACAAUAUGGCACGAGACUUAUAGGACGAACACAAGGACACCCGAAACUAAGGGUAGAUGUGAACUUAACUGUAUGUCUGAAGCUUUGAUUACCACUUGAGGAGAACAAAUGUGGCCCGAUCUUCCGAAAGGUUCUGGUAACUAUCGAUUUGGUGGAAACGAGACACAAAUCAAUCCAGCUUGCGAACAACACGAUUCGAAACCCUGCAAUUCUUUUUUUUGAUAUUUUUAUUUUACUUAGGAGCACUCAAGAAGUAACCACAUGAAAUUUGAGCUUAAACAAGUGAAAGACGUGGCCUGCGGAAUUUUUUGA
rnacentral:lncRNA from 1 species